rnacentral:lncRNA from 1 species
UUUUUUUCUUGUUAUACCCUCAGGUAGCAGUACUUUGAUUUUUCUCCUGCUUAUUGAUAUAAUCUUGAUAGCUUGUAGGUUCAACUAACAUAUGUGUCAUUCCCCAGGUUGUUGAAAAUGGGGGCACUGGAAACCAGUAAAGUUACCAAAGAUCAUGAAGGCUGGCGCCUCAUUACGUGCAUUUGGUUGCAUGCUGGAGUUAUCCACAUACUCGCUAAUAUGUUGAGUCUCGUAUUGAUCGGAAUCAGGCUCGAGAAAGAAUUUGGUUUCAGUAAGUGUCAUCUUCUUUUUUGAGGAAAACAGAUUCUUAAUUCCUGUACACUACAUUUUUUUAUUAUCUGGAGUUCAUUUUGGUGCCUGUACACUGCGUCUUCCAUUAUCUGGAGUCUGAUGGUUGAUGGUUCCUUCAAGCCUGAUGAUCAUAUAACUUGACCAUUAUUUAAUGAUUGUCUGUUGCAGUGAGGAUUGGUGCACUGUAUGUGAUCUCUGGUGUUGGUGGCAGCUUGCUGUCAUCUUUAUUUAUGGUGUCAAAUAUAUCUGUUGGCGCUUCAGGUGCACUAUUUGGACUAUUGGGCUCCAUGCUGUCAGAGCUCAUAACAAAUUGGACUAUAUAUGAGAACAAGGUUGAUUCUAAAAUGUAUGCAAUCUUUUCACAAAUUAUUCCAUAUUCCAUGUUUCUAAUUCUGUUAUUGUUUAUAAAAAAUCAGAUCGCAGCACUCUUGACUCUUGUUAUGAUCAUUGUCAUCAACUUAGCUGUUGGGAUCCUUCCACAUGUUGACAACUUCGCUCACCUUGGAGGAUUUACAUCAGGGUUCUGUCUUGGUUUUGUGUUGCUAAUGCGACCGCAGUUUGGAUAUAUUAACCAAAAGAAUUCUCCUCUUGGAUAUCCGAUGGGCGUAACUAAACGGAAGUUCAAGAUAUAUCAAAUCAUACUUUUUGUUAUUGCUACAGUGAUAUUAAUUUCUGGGUAAAUAUCAUACUGAUCAAAAGAAUGAUAAUGAUCUAAUCAGCCUCUACGUUUCAACUGUCUUUUGCUAAACUUUUUUGUUGUCAGGUUCACUGUUGGCUUGGUGUUGCUUUUUCAAGGGUUCGAUGCUAGUCAACACUGUUCUUGGUGCCAUUAUUUGAGCUGUGUGCCUACUUCAAAGUGGAGCUGCAAAACACCAAACAACUCUUGCAUGGUAAGCCUCUUUCUGCACAUGCGUGUCUGAUGUGGCAAUCACUGGAUUUGAUACUAUUUUAACUUUGACAACAACAACAACAACAUAGCCUUUCAGUCCCAAGCAAGUUGGGGUAGGCUAGAGUUGAAACUCAACAAGAGCCACAAAUUAGGGUUCGGGCGCAUGAAUAGCUGUUUUCCAAGCACUCCUAUCCAGGGCUAAAUCUUUGGGUACAUUCCAUCCCUUCAAAUAUCCUUUUAUUGCCUCUUCCCAUGUCAAUUUUGGUCUUCCUCUGCUUCUCUUCACAUUACUGUUAUGCCUUAGGGUUCCACUAUUUUAACUUUGAGUUGGGACAAAUUGUGUUUAAGAGAAAACCUUAAUAUAUAUUAGCACGGGAUAUGCACGAAUGCCAACUCUUGAGCAUUUUUAACUUUUUAUAAAUCUCUUAGAUAAAAAUCAUGAAAAUCAUCAGAACUCAACCACAAGCUGUAACAGCGUAUUAUGAUAGUGACAAUAUUGCCUUGAUUGGUUUUCAACUAAUAUACUGUAUUGAUGUUAGCAGUUUUACUCUGCCUUUCCUGUAAGUGUAAUGAGAACUUUCUUGGGGAAACUAUUUACUUUCAUAUGAUUGGCAUGUUAUCAUUGCAUCCAUUAAGUGCUUAAAUUCAUGUUUCAUUUUUUAUUUAUAGCCUCACUGUAAGUUUACUAAUAUAAGCUUCUUCUGCAGUCUUCACAGCUUGGAAAUCAAUUAAAUCUGACAUGCCAAAGCACUGGAAAGACUGCAUCAUAUGUUCUGAACAAUCCAAACAGCCAAGAAGCAAUUAGAAAUCUUUGUGUUCACCUUUGCAGUUAAUGGUGAAUGUAUGUACUUUCUAACGAGGAAUUAAUGCCAGCAUACCUAUGGAAAAGAUAAAUGGAAGCUGAUGUUGACAUUGAGAUUCUCUGGUAAUGCUUAUAUGGCUUCUAUGGUUUUAUUCUUCUUGUGCAUGUUGUGUAUUAUGAACGUCAGUUGGAUAUAUAAAAGACGGACAAUUAGAGGCAGUAGUUUCUGUUACAAAGAUAAAGAGGUGCAAACAUAAACUCGUGUUGAGAGAAUGAAGGCUUGGUGACUAUACCCCCCCCCCCCCCCCCCCCCCCCAAAAAAAAAAGGAACAGUAGAUGGAACAUGUACAUAUCUAGAUUGUUUUCCCAAGUAUUAGCUUUUGAGAGGGAGAUAGAGGCAACCAUAGUAGGAACUAGGAGUUGUCCUGGUUAAAGUAAAAGUGUUGCAUCACAUAUACUGAAGAUGCUUAUACAAGAUCCAAGCCAAGAGUCAAGUCUAUGCUGUGCUAUUUCUUCCUAGGUUAGCAUUCCUCUUCAUUGUUUCCUUCCACUUUUGACAUGGAUAUCUUAGUGUCUUAUUAGCAGAAUUUUAUGUUUGUUUUGUGCUAUUUUGGAUGGUCAAAGGAUGUAAAUGUUACAGAAGUUGAUGGAAUGAUACAAGCAAAGCAAAACAAUAAAUAUCAACUGAGACUUGAAUGCUAAAUCUGGAUCCAUUUAUAUCCCUGGUUCCCCUGCUCUUGCCAAUGGUUGUUCCAUUAGGUCAGGGAUUUAUUCUUGCACUUAUAUUUUAUUCUCUUGAUCCAUCAAAUAUACUAAGUAUUCAACUGCAUGACAGAGUCUACACCCAUCACUUGAUAUAGACUACCCAUGUCUACGGUUUCCUGCAUCAUUUAUAUAGCACAACUAUUUAUGGGUUCUUGUCACUACAUGUUUAUGGCAUUAAGAGAUUAAUGGAUAACCACUAGGUCCGUAGUGAAAUAAGUUCUGACAUGGGUCCAUCUUUUGGAAUGAUUAUUUCAUAAGGAAAUCUCCUUUAUGAGGCAACUACUAACACUGGACUAGAACUAGUGUUAACGACCCAAAUUGCACAUGACUGAUGUCUAAUAGUACAAAAACGGAAACAGGGAUACAAAGUUCCGUUAAUGUUACAGGUUAGGAGAGAAGUAGCAUGAUGUUGCAGCCUACAGUGGUAUGACUUACAAAUACAUAGCAGACUGGUGCCUGUCCUAUAUGCAAAGAGCAAAACAGACAGACCCUGCAGGACGUUUACGUCGAGACCUCUAGAUGUGAGACGUGCCAUAGCUUCAACCCGUAUUCCACCAUUAACUGCUUGUCUUCAGCUGCUCGAAAAUAUACUUCACCACCUCUGCCAUUGUUGCCUUCCUCCCUUCCCUGAAAUUCCAGAGCUCAUUCACUGCAUGCCGUCCCCGAGGACUGUAGUCGUUGAGCUCUGUCAGGGUAACCUUCACUGCGUUGCAGACAUUGUCACCGUACUCGGUCCAUAACUGUCUCAAUUUUGGAUCAUCUUCAUUCACAACGUCCUGAAAUCAUCCAGAUGCAAGGCCUUUAAUUAAUGACUCUUCAAACAAAAUUGAGAUUCCAGAUGCAACGCCAGAUAUCAAUGUACAUAAAUUGAACAGGUACCUUUUCUUCUCCAUCAACCAAAAAAGUGGUAAAGGGAUUCCAGGAUUUGUUCUUGAGUUCCUCUUGCCAACUUGAGACCAACCUUGCUGCUUUGCCGUCUGGAUCAUUGUCACUGUACUUCCUCUUGCACGCAUGGUGAAAGGGCUUUUCAUCAAGUUGUCCCAUCCUUUUGAUCCCUAUAACUGUGAAAUCGCUGAUCAUCAUGCUCUCCAAACACUGAGCAUUAUGAUCAUUCCACGAAGGGAACUUUUUAUACAUAGCAUUGCUCAUACAGGUGGAAUUGAAAAUGUAAAAAAACAACACGUUUACCUUGAUCACUUCUUGGCGGGUCUCUUGAAGCUCAUCUCUGUUCAGCUGAUCUCGUUGUGCUAGGUCAAUGUAUACAUUUUGAAACCUUUCACGUUCUUGCUCUAGACACUCUUUUGAAAUUGUCACUAAUCUAUGCAGAUGUCCAUAUGCUUCCUUCAAGUUUUCCUCUGCCUGUAGUUUCGUGUUCAGCAGACAUAUUGCAGACUCUUGUGCUUCCUUUUGCUCCAGCUGCUUCUCAAGUUGAAUUACUUUUGCGUUGAUGGCUUCCAUCUCUUCCUAAAAAGCAUACAUGCAUGUAAAUGCAUUUGUAUGAAUUGGUUGGUCAUUUGUGAAACAGCUGAUGCAAAUGGUCUUGCUAACUGUUCAAUCCAAAUGGAAAGAAACCUUAUAUUUAUCAUGAAGCAUUUGAGCAUGGUCACUCGCCUCGGGCUUCCUAUCUGCCAUGUCCAAUGAAUUGACCUCGAUAACUAGCUGAGAGAACCAUCAUAUCAGAAACAGCAUAAGAUAAAAUGUUGUAUUGAGAAGGUUAGACAGAGGUAGACAAAAAACACAGAAAAUGGAACAGAUUGCGUGACCACUUGUGGUAUAAUGAGCCAAUUCUGCCAAUAUUGGUCUUGGGUGACUGCUUUUGGUGUAAUAAGCAAGUUCUGCCAAUAUUGGCCUUGGCGACCACUCGUCGUGUAAUACUGGAACAAAGAAAAAAAAUACUAAUGCUAUAGCCUAACACAUGGGGGUAAAUGAAGGUGAUGUUUAACCGAUGUUAUUUUUGUUUCCAGCUGCUUGUAAAUUUAACUACAGCAGGGAAACCGGGUGUAGCAUGACAAUGCAGUGACAGUGAUCCAUAAAAUCUUUAAUGGAAGGAGAGAGGUGGUACUAUACUAUCAUAUGGAAUUGUAAAAUGUGUUCUUUCAGGCUUCUGCUGCUGAAGAUUUGGUGCUACUGUUCAUGGACUGCUGAUACAUUGACUCUAGUUUUCAAGGUAAACAGAUGUUUCUGUAGUGAACAACUCUUGAGUCUUGACAGCAUCCAUCACUACAGCAAGGAGUCGGUUCAGACACAUGCAUGUUUAUGUGAACUGCAGAUCCAUACUGAACUCUGCGAUGCAGAUAUAUAGAACUCUGUAUACCUUCUCCACUUUGCUGCAGUGCAGUUCGGUUCUGCAUUCCUUGAGCUCCUGGAUUCUGUCCACCCUCAACUUGACCUCUCCCUUGAUCGCAUCCAGCUCGGCCCUGAGCUUAUUGUUCUCCUCAUCGGCGCCACGGAACAUCUCUAGCAGGGUAUUGUCUGCUACGGCUUUUAGCUCUGCCAACAAUUACAGGAACAUUUGCGUUAUCAUCAGAUUCGGACAGAAGUCUAGGAUCAUUACCAAUGCAAUUAUCCUAAACACGUGUUCUGAAAGCAAUCAGGGAUAUUUUGGUCAUACAAUUUUGAAAAUGGUAUUUGACAUUUGGACCAUCCUUUUUUUUAAAAAAAAAAGCAUUUUCUUGCAUGGAUUAACCUUUGAGCUCGCUGUGGAGCCUGUUGCUCUCCUCCUCCAUCCUCUGGACCACCCUGGCCAUCUCCUCGUUCUUGGCGGCCAAGAACCUCUCCCUCCUCUGGUACUCGCUGGCGACGGCGCCGAGCAUGACGGCGGCGCUGGCCUCGUCCUUCUCGAUGUCCUCCACGCUCCUCGCCGCGGUGCCGGACUCCCUCAGGAACCUCCCGACCGCGCCGUCGCCGAUGAGGUCCUCUCGCACGGCCGCCCAGCCGAAGACGCAGCCGGCGUCGCCCUCGCCGCGCCGCUGCCACCUCCUCCUCCCGGCGCCGGUGAAGUAGGCGGCCAGCGACAUGGCGUCCCGGAGGCCCGCCCAGCUCUUGCCGAAGUGGAGCAGCAAGAAGUGUUGCUGGCGAUGCUGGUGGGUGGUUGGCUCCUCCCGGAGCGCGGUGGUUGCGACGCCGGCGAAGCGCCGAUGGGCGUGGAAGGCGAGGGUGGCCGCGGCGUCGGCGUCCUCAUCAGCGGCGGUCGUGGAGAGAAUGCCGGUCCACGGCCAGACGAGGAGCUCGCCUGCGUCGUCUGCUCCGGCGGCAUCAGCCUCGUCAGCCGACAUGGGAAUUUUGUUGCUCGUCGAGGUUUCAAUGCCGUGUGGUUGGGUACUUGGGUGGGUGUGGCUCUGCUCUGAAAUUCAGGAUGGCAUUGCCUCUGUUUUUUAUGGGUGUACGUUGUACUUACCGUGUCAUGUGUUCAUGGAAUGUACGUGCUGUGUGAUGGCGAUAUUUUCGUGUUAUAUCUCGGUGGCUAUUUUUGGGAUCAUGGUAUUUUACUUAUACGGAAACAGCAGUGAGCGAUGCCUGAAGGGUUAUUUACUGAUUUCAGGUUCUGAAUUUCUUCCGAAGAAAUAGGUGAAGUAAUUUCACCCAAUCACAAGUCAUGCAGCAUAAGCAGAAGUUGCUUAUCAAUUACUCCAUUCGUCCCAAAUUAUAGGUCGUUUUAGCUUUUUUUUUAUUCAUAGAUUUUAUGUUACUCCAUUCGUCCCAAAUUAUAGAUCGUUUUAGCUUUUUUUUUAUUCAUAGAUUUUAUCAUGCACUUAUAUAUAUCCUAUAUCUAUAAAUCUAGAAAGGCUAAAACGAACUAUAAUUUAGGAAGGAGGGAGUAGAUAACUGCAGUUGUGAUCACAUAAAAGUGUUUCUUACACAUCAUGCAAAAGAACAUAACUUUCUGUUGACUGAAGUGUUCACUGAUGAUUAAACCAGAAAGUCCAGGGCGUAACCAUAAACAUCACAAACACUAACAUAAAACGGCGACUGAUCAGAUGCAUACAUCUUCAUGUUCUGCUGCAAAUUCACUAGUUAGAGCAACUCCAAGAGACUGCUAAUCUUACCCCCAAUACCUGUUUUAGGGAAAAAAAAGAGAAAAAACGGACUCCAACAGUCCACCCAAAACUCCCCCAAAAAAUUAGCGAUGCUAAAAAAACACCACCUCACCCCGUAUAUUUUCGCAGCCGCGGUCUUCCCCCAAUCCUCCGCGAGCUCCUUCCCGCGCCCGCUCUUUUUUUUUCGCGCGCUUAUCUCCUGGCGGCGCCGUCCUCCCCCGGCGGUGCCCUCAUCUCCCGGCGGCGGUUCUCUCCCGGCGACAGGCGGCGGCGACCCUCCUCUCCUGGCGGCGCCCUCCUCUCCCGGCGACGGGCGAGCGCUAGGCGGCGGCAGGCCGGGACGCGGCCCUCCUCUCCCGGCGGCGGCUCUCUUCUCCCGGCGACGGGCGAGCGCUAGGCGGCGGCGGGCCGGGACGCGGCCCUCCUCUCCUGGCGGCGCCCUCCUCUCCCGGCGGCGGCUCUCUUCUCCCGGCGACGGGCGAGCGCUAGGCGGCGGCGGGCCGGGACGCGGCCCUCCUCUCCCGGCGGCGCCCUCCUCUCCCGGCGGCGGCUCUCCUCUCCCGGCGACCGGCGAGCGCUAGGCGGUGACGGGCCGGGACGCGGACCUCCUCUCUCGACGGGGCCCUCCUCUCCUGGCGAGCGCCCACCGUGCGUUGGCGGCUUCCACGAGCAACAGGUACGUCCGUCUCAAGGUUCACCAUUUGCUGCAAUGCGGAUAAUGUCUCACGAUUUCGGUCGAGCGAAUCGCCAUCCCUAGAUCGUUUUCGAUUUGUUCGUCAGUAGUGUGCCUGGAAACUGAACUAGUUAUAUGAAUGCUAUCUACUUUUCUGACACUCUGUAGCAAGGAAGUUGUUCUUCUGCUGGGUUGCUAUUAGUGUAGAACAACUGGAAGCAGCUCUGACCACUGUCAUCAGAAACAAAACGUACAUUAGUAGUAGGGGCCGGGGAAGCCUUUCUUCUAAACAAACAUUCAGUAGUAUGUACAUAUGUAUAUCCCACCAAUAUCUCCACUAGAUGUUUGGGGGGCAUGGAUGCAUAAAAAUUCUUAUAAUAAAUAUGCAACCAAUUGAACAGAUAGCCAGCUCACCAGCUGUGCAGAACCAGGCUAAAAAAAGAUGGUGAAGGUGUAGCCGAUUCCUGUCAUGCAGUAGACGAGGGCCAGAAGAACCACGUAGUUUUCCCAGAUUGAUGACCUCAUGUUGUUAAAGAAGUAAAACGUGGAGAGGUAGACGAUCGGCUUGAUAAUUGUAUCGAAGUGAUCUAUUGUAUGUUUGGACAAGAAGUAUGCCAGUGAGCUCAUGCCAGAUGCUCUCUCCCUCCAGUAGUGUAUUUUCUCCAGUGAAAAUGACCUCAGGGCCCCAAUCUUGCACAGCAGAGCUGCAGCCAACAGAAGCUUAUUCGCAAAUGAACCUAAAAGUUAUGAUUAUUGCUUAUAAAGUUCAAGCAUACAAUAAUUGCAAAAUCAUCUCCUUUCCAUGACAGGUUCAGAUUAAUUUAGAGUCCUAAGCAUACUGCACUCAACUUACCAGUUUGGUAUGUUACCAGUUUGAUGCAUACCAUUUGUACAAAUAUAUGUAUGCCUUCAACUUAAUUUAGAGUCCUAAGCAUACUGCACUCAACUUAGUUUUCCAGAAGUUUCUUAUUCAUCCGUGUACUAAUGCUUUAGGAGAGCAUUGCUGCAAUCAGAUCAUGUGGAAUUACUUGUGCAUUUUUUUUUGAAGAGCAAUUACUUUUGCACUAGUUACAGCAUACUUUGUACAGUUUUGAUGAGCUAGAUAUGAAGCUUACCUCAAAAAAUCAAAGUGCUGAUUUUAAUUCCUUUUGUUGCCUGUGCAGAUGCAGGCACCACGGCCAACCGCUCCUGUCCGGCAAGGCCAAGUAAGACGCGGCGGAGGGAUGCUUCAACGGCGCGUGGUGGUCGUCGGCGGCCAGCACCCUCAAUGGCCCGGCGGUGACCACAUGCCUCAAUGGACCGGCGGUGACCACGACCUCGAUCUGGCCGGUGGUCCUCCGAUGGCAGCCCUUGCCGGCGACGAUUUCAAUUCCGUAUCCAGUGACCCCUCAGCUGCCUUCGAACAAGUGGUCAACGACAACUCAUUUGGGAAUGGUAUGAAUCAUAAGCUACUCAUUUCAAUUCUCUAGGGUAAUCCGGACUAAGCAAUGCAUGUCGGCUUAUUAAAGUUUAUAUCUCAGAGUUGAUGAGUAAGAGUUUGACAUGCAAGCAUAUGACAUUGUCUGAAAUUGUCCUAUGAAUUUUACCUAUUAAAGCAAUGAUGUUGUCUGAUGCAGCAUAUUACCAUUUGACUGAAAUUGUCUUACUGAAUUAACUCAGUCUUACUAGGUUGUUGGGUUAGGAUUGUGAUGGCUGCCACUGAUGGAUGUUAAAUGUCACUGGUAAUUUUUUAGACCCAUGCUAAAUUUUUUGAUGUUUAUUUUCUACCUACUGGGCAGGAAAUGGAUAUUUUUCGAACAUGAUGAUGGAUGAAACCAAUCUAGGGGAUUCUGAUUAUUAUAGCAACACAUUUGCUGACCAACAGUCACAGGCAAUUGAAGUGGGUCCAGUAGCCCCCUCUGCGAGGCCAAACCAUAAGAGAUCAAAGAAUUUCAGUGACCACGAAGAUGAGGUUUUGGUUUCAGCGUGGCUGAAUGUAAGCUUGGAUCCGAUCGUAGGCAAAGAUCAAAAAGGUGGCAAGUAUUGGUCUCGUAUCUAUGAGUACUUCCAUGAACACAAGACGUGCACCUCAAAGCGUACCAUAAAUUCUCUCAUGCACCGGUGGGAGACCAUACAAAAAUGUGUGAACAAGUUUUGUGGGUGUCUAGCACGGAUUGAGUUAAGACGUUCGAGUGGUAGUACAAUGAAAGACAAGGUACUUACUACGCAAUACCAUGAUUUGUUUCAACUAUUUUAUUUUUAUAUAUCGUAUAUGAAUAUCCCUUGUAUGUUGGUGCGUGUAGGUUGCAGAGGCAUGUGCUUUGUACAAGUCUGAAGACGAACAUCAGAAAUCAUUCCAGUUCAUGCAUUGCUGGAAUAAGUUGAGAACACAACCAAAAUGGCUUUCUAAAAUUGAUGAAUUGGUUGCUGCUAAAACAUCUAACAAGAAGCAGAAGACAAGCUCAACUGUUGACCCGAGUGCAAGUUUACCUAAUGACAUAGGACAAGGUGAAGUUCAAUGUCUAGAGGAUAAUGCAUUGACAAGACCAAUUGGUAAGAAGAAGGCAAAAGCAGCACUGCUGCAAGAGAAGAAAAAAAGUGUGACAGCAACCUUAGAAAAUAUGUGGGCACAGAAGAAAGAAACUGAUGGGGAGAAAGAGCUAAAAAAAGAGGAGAGGUUCAACAAAGCAUUUGCACUUGAACAAGAACGAGUUGCUCUUGAACAGGAUCGAGUUGCAAAUGAAAAAGUACUUCUUGAGUUGAGGAGCCAGGAGGUCCAAUUGCAAAAAAGGAGGGAUGAAGAGAGGAUUAUGACCAUGGACCUUACCGCCAUGCCAGAUGAGCAAAAGAAAUACUACAUGUCCUUGCGCGCUGAGAUCAUGAGUCGACUAUCUAUGUCUAGUACUUAAUUACUAUCAUGUUUGUGUUCUGUUGAUUUAGGAACUCUUUACCAAUUUCAUACUUGUUUUAUUCACUUCGAACCUAUCGAUGAUUUAGUCUGUUUGAUAUUGAACUAUAAAGUCAUUUAUAAAUUUCCGUUGCUUCCUGGAAAUAGGAGAGAGAAUGGUCAGGGUUGAGCUGAAUCUGCUGAUGGUGCUUGGGGUCUGCCGGCAUGACGAUGGCCUGGGGUGUGCCGGCGUGAUGGUGUGGGUGGCCUUGUUUAGGUGGUUCAUCUUUUAGAAAAAAUUAGAAAAAGAUCGUGUUUGAUAUUGAACACUACAACAAUUUAGAAAUGGAGCAUAUACCAUGCUGAUGAACAUCUACCUUAGUCUACCUUAAUUUCUAAAUGAUGAAUACUAAUGCGCCAAUUACAAAUAAAUUUAUAAAGUAGCAAAAAUUAUUGAAAAUAACAAUUACUAGAGUUGAACUAUAGGUAAUCAUUUGUAGAGGUCUGGAUGAUGUUGCCACAAGUGCUCGAUGAGGUCAUCUUGAAGCUGAUUGUGAAUAUCUUUGUCCCUUAUAUUCUUGUAAUUUUUAAUAAACUCCUCGAGUUCAGGUGUUUCAUCGUGAGAAGUCUUCACCUUUUCUCCCACUCCAUCAUAAUUUAAAUCAUCUUCCUCAUCACGCUCAUCCUCAACUAUCAUGUUGUGCAUAAUGACACAAGCCCUCAUGAUUUGUCUGAGGGUGGCUUCAUCCCAAAAUCGAGCUGGCCCCCUAACGAUAGCGAAACGAGACUGUAGAACCCCAAACGCUCGUUCCACGUCCUUCCUACAAGCUUCUUGGGCAGUUGCAAAAUAUUUCUUCUUGUUACCUUGUGGAUCAGGUAUGCUCUUCACAAUUGUGGCCCACGAGGGAUAUAUGCCAUCAGCAAGAUAAUAACCCAUUGUAUAUUCGUUGUUAUUAAUGGUAUAAUUCACCUUUGGAGCUUGACCUUCAGCUACCCGUGCGAAUAAAGAAGACCGGUGCAAAACGUUGAUGUCGUUGUGGGAACCAGGCAUCCCAAAAAAAGCAUGCCACAUCCAAAGAUCUUUAUCUGCAACAGCUUCAAGUAUAAUUGUAGGCUCAUGCACAUGCCCGGUAUACAUACCUUGCCAUGCCGAAGGACAAUUUUUCCACCUCCAAUGCAUACAAUCAAUCGACCCAAGCAUACCAGGAAAACCUCUACUCUCUCCAAUGGCAAGUAAUCUAGCAGUAUCAUCUUCAUUAGGUGAUCUCAAGUACUCAUCUCCAAAAACCUCAAUAACAGCACUGACAAACCUUCUCAGACUCUCAAUAGCAGUACUCUCACCAAUACUGACAUAAUCAUUUGUAGCAUCAGCUGCUACUCCAUAAGUUAACAUCCGAAAUGCUGCAGUAAUCUUUUGCAGACUAGAAAGGCCAAGUACACCGGCAGCGUUUCUUUUCUGCACGAAAUAUUCAUCGUGUUCCUCUACGGCAUUCCAUAUGCGUACAAACAGUGUACGCCUCAUGUAUAAUAUAAUUUUUUUUGAAAAAAAAUGGUUGAAAUAAAUCUAUUGUUUACGUACCGUCGUCUGAAAUAACUAUGUCCGUACGUAGGAUCAUCUGAAAAAUAAUCUUGAUACAACCUUUGAUGCCCUGCGUGUCUGUCUCGCUGAAGUACUCGAUGACCUAUGAUAGAACCACGAUGUUUUGUUUCAUCAUCGGACUCAUUCACAUUCACGGUCACAUGAGUAACAGAGAUUAAGAAAUCAUCAUCGUCAUCAUCUGACGACGAAUCCAACACUAGGUGCAUCGAAAGGCUUCGAUUCAUAGCAAUUCCUUUUUAGAACUAUUUUUCCUAGGUAUUGACAGCCACAUAAAAACUCAUUACGACAGAAUCCUCGUGCCAAAGCUGAUCGCAACAAAAAAACAAAAUGAAAAUGAUGCUGCGAAGUAAUCAUUACUUUGAUCCGCGCGGUGUACGGAGGAUGCUGGACGGAUGCCGGCAAGGAAUGCCGUGCAGGGGCUGCCAAAGUCCACCGUGCGCGGGGGUGGCGGCGUGAGACCUCUUGCGCACGGGCAGGUGGUGUGAUAGAGUACCGGAGAAGAAUUUUUGAUGGGCUCUGGACACGGUACCAGGGAAAAAAAAAUCAACGGAUACUAAUGGGCCUAAUCCGAUGACGUGGCCUCUUUUAAAUUAUUGGGGAGUAGUUUUUAGCGAUCUGCUGUGGGCUGAUAUGUUUUUUGGGGAAAAAAUUUUUAGCAUAGCCCCCAAUAUCUCAUUUUGGGGAAGAAUUUUUUGGGGAACUCUUGGAGUUGCUCUUAUACGCUACCUGACACUAGAGUAAGCUCCACCUUCACUACAAGGAACAAAAGACACUGCAAACUCCUGGGUAUCAACAGACCGAUGCUUGGGUGCAAAAGGGAUGCGGUGAACAGGCUGCAGCCUAGUAGAGUGAGUCCUCUCCGUCCUCUUCUUCAGGGGAACUAGCAGCUUGUCGCCUCUUAGGGCAGUUGCGGUAGUCAUGAAAGACAUGUUCAUUACAGGACCUGAAGUGUAACUUGAAAUUUGAAAUACCAUAAUUUACAGGUCCCUGCAAAAGAUCAUAAUUUAUUUCUUUGUUCAUGUACAGAUCUAGCAUUUGUGAUACGAGGAGGUGUAACUUGAAAUUUGAAAUACCAUAUUUUGUUUAGGAGGACCUCGUUCUGGGCUUUUAGCUCCUCAUUUUCCUCGAUUAGAUUCUCCAUGUCUUUUGCCUUCAGAGCCAGAUCUGCCCUCAGCUUCUUGUUCUCCUGAGAGUAAUAAUUUAUUUCUGUGUUCAUGUACAGAUCUAGCAUUUGUGAUACCAGGAGAUGUAACUUGAAAUUUGAAAUCAUACUUUGUUUUGGAGGACCUCGUUCUGGGCUUUUAGCUCCUCAUUUUCCUUGAUUAGAUGCUCCAUGUCUUUUGCCCUCAGAGCCAGCUCUGCCCUCAGCUUCUUGUUCUCCUGAGAGUACUGAAGCUCUUUCUUUUUCAUAGCUAACUGAGACCUUAAGAAUUCAAUCUCCAUGGAGAUCCUAGAAGAGUCCUCUCCCUGGGACGAGACAUCCAGAUCUUCUAAAUGCAGAAAAAAAAAGGUCAUGUCAUGUAAAAGAAAGUGAGGAUCAAAAUGAUGGGUUCUACAGUUCUAAACUCCCACAUAACUUCAUUGCCCAUAAUAAGUGAUUUGAAGUCAUCAAACUCAGUGCACACCACUGCUGCUAUUAUCUUGCUACACCUGAAUUCUCUCCCAAUUGUCUGACACGUGCAACUGCAGGAAUACUAUCCAAUCCGCAGGUUUUAGAUACCCUGCCACAAGCCUGAUGCAUGCGUUACUUAAGUAAAGCUAGCUAAGAGCAUGCGUGUGAUGUCAUGUGUAAUUGACUCAAACAAGGUGAUUAUUACAUUGAUACAGUUAGACAAUCACAAAACAAGGUAAAAUUGGCUGUAAAGAUGCCGAUGUCCAAGUGUUAGCCUUGCUCGAUCCAUUCAAGUACUAGAAUUUUGCAGCAUGUAAAUGAUUCAUUUCGAUUGAAAGCAAAGUGUGGUACAUAAGAGCCUAUACAUAAAAGGACUUGUAACACGAGCAGAUACGUUUGCAAACUUCAGUACAUUGCAGUGCUCUCAAGCUUCAAUCUUGUAUUUCUCUACUUUUAGAUCCAACAUCACCAACAACACUGGUAUCUGGUCUGGAGUCAGAGAUAGCUGAGCUAUAAUCCCCGGCCCAAAACACCGGGAUCUGAUCUAUCUAAAGCGCCAGCAAAGUCCACAGCCAGACAAUCCAAGAACACCAACGUUGCGAUGAAAUCUUAACGAGGCAGCAACUUGGCAGUAUUUGUAAUGCAUCACAGAUGGAGACUGUAUAUCAGGCUCCCAUCAAUUGCGACCACGAGCAUAACAAUGGCGGACGUAGAAUCGUCGAUUGACUGCUAUCUGAAAUGGGUAAAAAAUUAAAAGAAGUACGUGCAAUCUCUUACCAUCCCCAUAUCAGGAGCUCCACCGAUGCCACCAAGCACGCCUAUGCCGCCGCGCCCAGCCGCCUCGUCGCCUCCGCCGGCCGGGUUGCCGGAGGAGGAAGAGAACAUCGUGGAGAGGCCUUUUCUUCGAUUCCGGUUGCGGAGAUACACGGGAACAGCUACUGAGUGCAGAACUUCUUCUCUGUCCUGCGGGCUGUGUAUUCCGGUUUGAAACAGGCUGUGUCCCUUUGCCUUCCUCCCACCUUUUUAUUAAUGCGGUCCGGGCUAGACGCAUGAAACCAUAAUUUUUUUUUUGAAGUUGCAACGCUGACGGUUGAAUUACAUCUUUUACAAAGGCCAAUGCACAUUUCAUAUAGGCUGUGUCCCUUUGCCUUCCUCCCACCUUUUUAUUAAUGCGGUCCGGGCUAGACGCAUGAAACCAUAAUUUUUUUUUGAAGUUGCAACGCCGACGGUUGAAUUACAUCUUUUACAAAGGCCAAUGCACAUUUCAUAUUUAUUUUCCAAAAAUAUCACAUAAAGUCAGUCUUAAUGCACAAUUUAAUUGGACAGUUACCGAGACUGAGAACUUAAUAGCUGUGCUUGAUGAGUGUCAUGGAGAUGAAACUCCUCUCCCAUAUGAUGAAAUUCUUUAUUCUCUCCCCUCGUAAUGGUCUUGUCAAGUCAGCAAAAUUGAUAAUACGGUAUACAAUUUAAUGCUCAUGAAAAAACCUUCCAUUGAAACUGGCCUAAGUAAGAUAGCAUUUAUUUCGAUGUUGAAAUAGCUCCAUAGAAUGCAUAAUUCUAUUGUUUAUUAUUUCCAAGACUACAUACAAGAAAUGAAUUUUGAAAAACAAUGUACAUAGGUUUCAAUUAGAUGAAAUCCAUCAUCUCUCUCUUCGUUGAUUCUUUGCCACGUAUACGUCAUAAAAGACACUAACAUGACGCUUCAUAUAAUGAGAAUGAAAAUCCCAUCAAGAUUGAUCCAAUACUAUCUCAAACUAUGACAUGCUAGACCAAGAUUCAAAUAUUUUAAUUUUAACUGAUUUACAUAGUAUACUGAAAUUUGAUAUCAUUAGAUUUGUAUUGAAAAAACCAAUUCCAUACGAUUUCAAAGUAUUUUGUGGUUAUAUACAUUAUAAUAUAUAAGAUAUUAACGGUCAAAAUAUGACAUUGAAGACUGUAAUUAGUCAAACCACAUCUUAGGCUAAUCCAGUUGAGAGUUUAACGGUGUUUAACGGUCAAAAUAUGACAUUGAGAGUUUAGGACAAGGAAAUGGUGUUUAACGAGUCACACACUAAUUAAUGAUUAAUGAGAAUGAUGAGACGUACUAGGAAAAAAAUAAAUCCUAGAAAUUGUAAAAAAAUUAGAAACAUUUGGCCAUCCAUCCGGUAGUUCAAAUUAUCGUAGCCAUUAAAUUUUAUUUAACAUUUUUCCACAACGGUGGAAGGUUUCAAUAGAACUUGAUCGUCUAUGCAUGGUAGCUAUGCUAUAUAACGGCUUUCAUGAACAUGCCAUGCCAUGGCACCUCAGUUAGCCCCGGCAGUAGCUGCUGCCGUCCACACUUGAGAAAUUAGUUCAGCCGGCGUUUCUUGUGCUUGAGCUGCCUGAGCCUGACAACCUCACUGACAGCGCUCCUGCUCACCGUCGCCUUCCGUCCUUCACCAAAGUUCCAGAGCUCGCGCGCCAGGUAACCUCCGCUGGUGUUGUGCUCGUUCAUCUCGAUCACCGCGCGGUCUUCACCGCCAUCGCCGUACUCGUCCCGCGGGCGCCUCUCUCAGCUCCGCGUCGUCGUCGUCGUCGUCGUCGUCCACGACUUUCUGCAACACCCCGAUGAUGACUCGUUAUAUUGCUGCUUGACAAAUUGUGAAAUUAAGACCUUGCAAGUUGGAUAUAAGUAUAUGCCUUGGUUUUGCCAUUGGCGUCGUCAAAAAUCCUGAAAGGCACUUCCUCCUGCCAAUCAGAGAUCAGCGUUGCCGCUCUGACCUGCUUGAAACAAAAUAGCUAAUGCAUACUGAUGGAUGGUUAGUAGCUAAGAGUACCUUUGACUUUUCAACAUCCAUAAUGACACCACUUUUCUUAGCCAAUGAUCCAUCGAUCAACUUGGAGCUUGAGCUUAGUAGAGCCAUUUGUGUCAUUCUUUGUGCUCUUCUCAAACCAGUGCAUGUCCAAGUUCCAUUGUGUCUCGUAACCUCUCCAGUUGAUGCAAGUGCGUCUUUUUAACGUCAAUCUGGGUUUCCAAUAUAUCCACCACUACUGGAAAACGGAAUUUCCCUGUGUGUAUUCAAUUUUCCUGUGGGUUUUUUGAGCACACACAGGGAAAUCAAUUUCCCUGUCGGUGUGCAAACACCACACAGGGAAAUAACCAAACCCACAGGGAAAUUCGCUUUUCCUUGUCGGUAUUAAAAAACACACAGGGAAAUGGUUAAACCCACAGGGAAAAUACUCAUUUCCUUGUGCGUUAGGUAAAACACACAGAGGAAAUCGCAAAAACACACAGGAAAAUACUCAUCAGGUAACCUGUAGUAAAUAGUUAACCAGAGCCUUAUACUACGUAGUAGUAAACUUUAACUGCCACUAAAUUUUGUUUGAACUUGAUUUCACAAUUAUUUCUCCUUCACGUUGAUGCUUUCAUAAAUUGACAUUAGAGUUUUUGAAUCAUAAAAUUUUGACGUUGUAACGGGCCUUUUCAGCAUAUUUGUGUGUGGGCGCUUGAUAAUGUUGGAUUUGUGUGCAGCAUGCUCCAUUUGUCCGGUCCGGUUAGUCUCAGGUACAUGGUGAAAAUAUAUCUUUGUGAGUACUAGAGAUAUGAAAUGGGUAAAAAUUAAAAGAUCCGCGGAAUUUAUUACCAUUCCCCUCAACAGGUCCACCAACGCGGCAUGCUCAUGUUGUCGUGCGCAGCCGCUUUGUCGCCAAUGCCGACCGGGUUGCCAGAGGAGGAAGAGGGCAUUGUAAAGGCCUUUUCUUCUGUCGAUUUCGAUUGCUGAGAUACGCACGGGAACGGUGAUAUAUAGUGACUAUAGCUAUUUCUUAUCUGAUCUGUUUGUGGGCUGUGGCUUCCUGUUGGAAACAAGAAUGUUUCCACCCUUCGCAUUCCUCCCACCUUAACUAAUGUGAUCUUGGCUGGAAGAUGGGAAUCAUAAACUUUUAAAGUUCUAACGGCACCUUUUAGGGAUAUUUGUGUGUUGGACACUCGAUAAUAUUGGAUUUGUGUGCAACACACUCCAUUUGUCCACUCAGUCUCGGCACACGGUGAAAUUAAGUCUUUGUCCAGAACACCAGGGGCGGAUCCGGGACUUCAGGGAGGGGGCUCAUCCUCCUCUUCUAACUCCCUCCUCUCUUUCUCUUCUUCCUCCUCCUCCUAUUCACCCAUGGAUGAAAUUUUUAAGGGGUCUUUAGGGGCUUCAUGGGAUGCAUGGAGAUAGGAGAGCUCCAGCAGUCCAGACCCCAUAGUGGAUCCACUCCCGCACAACACACUAUAGUCACUCCCCUUCCACUUUCUCCCCCGUUCACAAGCUCCAUCACGUCUCCCUCUCACCUCCUGCCCCCACGAGCGCCUCCAGCCUAUCUCGAGUGCAGCUCCAAUGCCUUGGUGUGCCAGCGUCCAUGGUACGCCGGCUAGCUAGCUUCUGCUUAUUUGCAGCGCCUUGUGUGCUGCACCUGCACAUGAAGCCGAUAUAGCUGCAAGUGCUGCACACUUCUACCCAGCUGCAACUGCUGGGCUUGAUGUUGGCUGGCUGCAUCUGCUAUAUAUAGGUGCUGCUAGCUAGCUGCUGCCGCGGCAGCCCUAGCGGACGCUGCAACUAGCACUACUGAAUCCUUGUGUGCAACAACUCUAAGCCUCAGCUAGCAAGUCACACGAGCCUGAGCAAACGUGCGCGUGAGAGAGCCGAUUGAGCGUCACGGGACAUAGGUUCGCUUGGGUGGCCACACGGCACAAAUCUAAGUUAUGUGACCGUGUCAGCUAAUUAAUACAAACUUUUUGCUUGUUGUUCUCGCACGUGUUCAUAUAUACGCAGGGCUACAUCUGCCUCGUGAGCGGCCUCAAGUUCAACGAAGCGCUCGAUUACUGCUUCUCCAGGGGGAUGGAACAUGCCUACCCUUUGCCUUCAUCCCACCUUAACUAAUGUGGUCUGGGAGCCUAGGAUGGGAACAAUUUUUUUGAAGUUAUAAUAACGAUGGUCAAAUUUUGUGCGUGAGACACUUAAACAUUGGAUUUAUGCACAACACAUUUCACUCUUCCAUCCUUGUGUGCAACAACUCUAAGCCUCACCUAGCAAGUCACACGAGCUUGAGUAAACGCACGUGUGAGAGAGCAGAGUGAGUAUCACGGAGAUAUAGAUUCACUAGCCACAUGGCACAAAUCUAGGCCAGGUCCUCACACUGUUGGAUGAUUGACCUUUUGUACCAGUUGGGAAACCCCAUUUAGUGCCGGGUGCCCGACCGGUACCGGGCAGCUCAAUCGGCACUAAACUUAGUACCGGUUGGUUUUACAAACCGGUACUAAAAUUUUAUUCAUUUACUUGUUUUCCUUUUGUUUUAAUUUGCAUUCGUAUCCGUUUGCAUAUACUAAUAAUAUUACGUUAAUAUAUCAAACCAUUCAAAUUCAAGCCUCACAAGUUCGUACAUCAAUACUUAAGGUCUUAAAGACAAUAAGUUCAAAUCCAUAUGAAAAGGGUAUGAGUACAUCCAUGUACGCUACAUAUUUUAUACUUCACUUCGCUUCCUUAGAUAUGCGGCAUAGUUUAAGUCUCCAAUCUUAAAGAACUUCAUCAAUAUAAACUAGAGCAUGAAUUAGUGCACUCUCUAUCGCUUCACAUGGAUGGUCACAUCCACUACCAUAAAUCUCAAACAAUGGAGAGGUAAACUCAUAUGGCCUAUAGAAAGUGAGAUGAGCCUAGAGCUUGAAAUUUCUGAUGCGUACCGGGUUUCCAUCAGUGUAACUAUAAUUCAACACAUCCAAGACUUGAGCCAGAAUAGCAUGAAAGCUCAUUGCUGCAAUGGUUUGACCAAAGAGAUCCUAAAAGAUGAGAAUAGCAUGAUGAAAGUUAAAAGAUGUAACAUAACUAAAGAUAAAAAGAAUGAUUAGACAUGUUCCAUACCAUGUCAUGUUGAUUUAGUUGACAAAGCCUCUCAGUAGUCAUAAUCACGUUGCUUUCUCCCUCCUUGAACGCCUUUAUUCAAAAAUAUGAGAAGUCUGGCACAUAGUACCCAUUAUCCUUAAGCUGUUGUAGGCAGGCGUGGACUUUUCAAAAGUCUACCUAAUUGGUGCUUCCUUACUCCAUCAGCAAUUCAUAACAUUGAGAUGGCCUGUCCUGGUCGUAUCGAGUUGGCCUGUCCUCCUCGAAUCAGGUAGUUCAAAAGAGAUCUUAACUCAUAGCAAAUUACUUGUACCAAUACCUCGGAUUGCACUAAAGGAGUAGUACCGCCUAGAGCUUUGACAACAUCUUUGAGCCAUCUAAUAGGGUUGAUAAGCUACAUUGUAUGAGAGUAAAUUUAUGAAUUAUUCAUGUGCAGUACAGAAAACUAAUUACAAGAAGGAAAAAUAUUACUAUGUUGGGUUUUGCUCCUUGGCUUUGAUUGCCGGUAGGCAAGUCAAUGACGCCAUUAGGGAAUAUUUUUUAAGUUAUAAUAACGAUGGUCAAAUUUUGUGCGUGAGAUACUUUAAUGUUGGAUUUAUGCAUAGCACACUUCACUCAUCCAUCCUUGUGUGCAACAACUCUAAGACUCAACUAGCAAGUCACACGAGCCUAAGCGUGAGAGAGCUGAGUGAAUGUCGCGGGGACAUAGAUUCGCGUGGGUGGCCAUAUGGCACAUAUAUAAGCCGGGUUGUCAUGUCAUGGUGAGCUCUUUGUAGACCAUCCCCACCUAAUUUUCUUCCUUAAUUUGAAUUGGUCUUGGUGCUACUAGGAAAGCGCAUAAACCCGCCAUUGGAAAGGCUAUGUGAUCGUGUCAGCUAAUUAAUAGAAACUUUUGCUUGUUGUGUUCGCACGAGUUCAUAUAUACGCAAGGCUACAUCUGCCUCAUGAGUGGCCUCAAGUUCAACCUAAGAAGUGAAGUGCUCGAUUACUGCUUCUCCAGCGGGAUGGAACAUGCCUACCCUUUGCCUGAGGUCUUGGAGCCUGGGACGGGGAACAAUUUUUUUGAAGUUAUAAUAACAAUGGUCAAAUUUUGUGCGCGAGACACUCUAACAUUGGAUUUAUGCACAACACACUUCACUUGUCCAUCCUUGCAUGCAACAACUCUAAGCCAAAGCUAGCAAGUCACACGAGCUUGAGUGAACACGCGCGUGAGAGAGCCGAGUGAGCGUCACUGGGACGUAGAUUCGCUUGGGUGGCCACACAGUACAAAUCUAAGCUGGUCCUCGUUGUGAGCUCUUUGUGGACCGCCCCCAUCUAAUUUUCUUCCUUAAUUUGCAUUGGUCUUGGUCUGCUAGGAAAGUGCAUAAAACUGUCAUUAAAUAGGGCUAUCUUACCAUGUUAGCUAAUCAAUACAAACUUUUUAUUGUUGUGUUCGCACAUGUUCAUAUAUAUGCAGGGCUAUAUCUGCCUCAUAAGCGGCCUCAAGUUCAACCUAAGAAGCGAAGUGCUCGAUUACUGCUUCUGCAACAGGAUGGAACAUGCCUACCUUUUGCCUUUAUCCCACCUUAACUGAUGUGGUUUGGGAGCUUGGGAAGGGAACAAUUUUUUUUAAGUUUAAUAACGAUGGUUACAUUUUGUGCGUGAGACACUUUAACGUUGGAUUUAUGCAUAGCACACUUCAAUCGUCCAUCCUUGUGUGCAACAACUCUAAGCCUCGGAUAGCAAGUUACUUGAGCCUGAGUAAACGUGCAUGUGAGAGAGCCGAGGGAGCGUCACGGGGACGUAGAUUCGCUUGGGUGGCCACACGGCACAAAUCUAGGCUGGGUCCUCAUGGUGAUCUCUUUGUGGACCGACCCAAUCUAAUUUACUUCCUUAAUUUGCAUUGGUCUUGGUUCUGGUAGGAAAGUGCAUAAAGCCGCCAUUGGAGAGGCAGCUAAUUAAUACAAACUUUUCAUUGUUGUGUUCACACAUGUUCAUACAUACGCUGGGCUACACCUGCCUCAUGAGCGGCUUCAAGUUCAACCUAAGAAGCUAAGUGCUCGAUUGCUGCUUCUCCAACAGGAUGGAACGUGCCUACCCCUUGACUCAAUCCCACCUUAACUAAUGUGGUCUGGGAGCCUGGGACGGGGAACAAUGAUUUUAAAGUUAUAAUAAUGAUGGUUAAAUUUUGUGCGUGAGACACUUUAAUAUUGGAUUUAUGCACAGCACACUUCACUCGUUCAUCCUUGCGUGCAACAACUCUAAGCCUCAGCUAGCAAGUCACACGAGCCUAAGUAAAUGUGCGCGUGAAAGAGCUGAGCGAGUGUCGCGAGGACGUAGAUUCGCUUGGGUGGCCACACAGCACAAAUCUAGGCUAGAACCUCAUGGUGAGCUCUUUGUAGACCGUCCCUACCUAAUUUUCUUCAUUAAUUUGCAUUGGCCUUGGUUCUGCUAGGAAAGCACAUAAAACCGCCAUUGAACAGGGCUAUCUGACCGUGUUAGCUAAUUAAUACAAACUUUUGCUUGUUGUGUUCGCACAUGUUCAUGUAUACGCAAGGCUGCAUCUGCCUCGUGAGCGGCCUCAAGUUAAACCUAAUGAGCGAAGUGCUCGAUUACUACUUCUCCGGCGGGAUGGAACAUGCCUACCCUUUGCCUUCAUCCCACCUUAACUAAUGUGGUCUAGAAGCUUGGGAUGUGGAACAAAAUUUUUACAAUUACGAUAGUCAAAUUUUGUGCGUGGGACACUUGAUAAUGUUAGGUUUAUGUACAUGACGCUUCACUUAUCCAUUGACACACACCAUGAAAAUAUCUCUCUGUCCCCUCGACUUCCACUCUCUCCCCGUCCACAAGCUCCACUCCCUCUCUCGCCUCCUACCCCACAAGCACCUCCAGCCUAUGUCGUGUGCAGCUCCCCUAGUUGCCUUGGUGCGCCGGCGUACAUGGCAUCCUGGCUACGCCGAUGAUAGCGACUCUUAGCUAUUAUUUCUGCCUAGUGAUGGGCCUGCACCUACUUUGUUCCUCCAACUCAUCGUUGCCUCCCAUGCCACGGCACGAUGAUCAUUGCAGUGGCGCUCGCCACUUGUGCCAAGCCACCGAGGUGUGCAGUGCAGGCGCCAUGGCUAUAUGUCACAUAUGAGACAUAUAGCAAUCUAUCACAUACCAGCGGGACCCACCCGUUAUUGACAGGUUCCUCCUGCUUCCUCUUCCUCUGUCCCGAGCCCAUCCACUCUCCCCUUCCCCGCUGCUUCCUCCUCUCCCUUCGGUCACCUCCAGCGCUGCUAGGGUUAGGGGCUUCGAGCUUCGGGGUUGCCGGGGGAGGUCUAAUGGCCGCUGGUACUAGAAAAAUGGGUGGGGAUGGGAGGGGAGACCUGCGGUGGAGGUGGGUUGUGGGGCGGUGUGGCGCGGCGGCGGGGACGCCACCGGUCGGGUCCAACGGCUUGAUUGCCGGUGGGCCAAGGAUGGGCCGGGGCGAGGGUUAUGAUGGUGGAGGUGAGCUCCUAGUGGAGCCAGGUUAGGGUGGCGGAGGGUGGUGGCGGGAGCCGUCGGAGCCGGAGGAGGAAGGUGGCACGGGGGUGACGAGCUAGGUUAGGACGACGGAGGGUGUUGGCGGCGGAUGCGGCUGCGGGAGCCGCUGGAGCUGGAGGAGGAAGGUGGCGCAGGAGUGAUGCUAGUGGGCCGUCACUGAAGGCAACAACGGCAGAUUUGUUGCCUUCAGUGAAAUAUAGAACCACCCCGCGCAGGCUCGCGAACGUCAGGGCCGGGGCGGCACCCAAGGGUGGUGGAGUUGCUGUUGCUGCAGUACAUGGUGAUGGGCGCCUCAACGUGUUGGGUAGCUGGAGUUCUACGACCAGGCGCCAGUGAACAGCUUUCCCCUUUUUGUUUACGUCGUCAAGAAACCAAUUUACUUCCUUAAUUUGUAUAUUGUUCUAGUUCUUCUAGAAACCUGUCUAAAAUCACGAUUGAAUAUGGCUAUCUGACCGUGUCAACUGAUUAAUACAAACUUUUACAUGUUGUGUCCGCGUGUGUUCAUAUAUACGCAGGGCUAUAUCUGCCCCGUGAGCGACCUCAAGUUCAACCUGACGAGCGAAGUGCUCGAUUACUGCUUCUCCGGUGCUGCCUUCCUCAUUCCUUAAUUAACGUGGUCUGGGCUGGAAGCCUCGGACUGGGAACAAAAAAAAAAGUUGAAGUUAUAACGGCGGCGGUCAAAUUUUGUGUGUGGAGCACUUGAUAUGCUGGGUUUAUGCGCAACACGCUCCACUGGGUAGUCUCAGACAUACCGUGAAAAUAUCUCUAUGUCCACGACACAUUAUAGUCACUCGAAAGACCAUAUUAUCUUUCUGUCUCCACGACGGGGCUCCGCCUCCUCACACGGCUCCAAGGCGCCAACCUCUGCUCCGACGGUCCGGCCCUACACGUCGCUACUCCGUCACAGAUGGCCAAGCUCCGGCACUCGUUUCCUCCUCUCCUGCGCUACCACGGCACGAUGAUCGCUGGAGUGGCGCUCGCCACUUGCGCCAAGCCGCCACCGAGGUGCACAGCGCAGGCUCGCAACGUCAGGGCAGGGCCGCCCGGCCGGGACGGCACCCAAGGGCAUCGUGUUGCAGCUGCCGCAGUACAUCAUGUACACGGUGAUGGCUGCCUCAUCAAGCCUUCAACAUGUUGGCCUUGGGUAGCUGGAGUUCUACGCCCAGGCGCCUUGGAUGACGGGUGGACACAAGGGACAAAGAAAGAGAGAGGGAGGGCAUACAAAUCAUUUUAUUAGCUGAAGUGUCCUGGAGACAAAAAUCAUGUACUCGCGGUGUGUGCAUGAGGCUAACUCGACGAAUGGAAAUACUUAGUCUAGGAAUUUAUACAGUACAGUAAAAAAAAGUUACCCACAACUGCUACUGAAAAUGUGCUCCUACACCAGUAGGACUGGACUGGGCAGCUCGCAUAAGCAGUAGUACUUGCGGACAUACAUCGAACAAAGACAAGAAACGAUUUAAAAUCAGUACUUUAUUUAACAUUUUCACAACGGGAGGAAUUGAAGGUUUCACUGGACUUGAUGCUCUAUUGGUAGGCUAUAGAGCUUCCAUUCACCAGCCAUGGCACCUCAGUUAGCCCGGCCGACCGCCGUCCCCCUUGCGCAGCUGCUGCAAUCCACGUCCUAUUUCCGCGUCCAACUUUGCUACUUCCUUCUCCAGUUCCUGUUCAAAAAAAAUUGUAAUUAAACAACUAAGCUACUAGGUCUCGAAAGAAAAUUAGCAAUGCAUAAGAAACACACUGACACUGAGUCACUGAUGACAGUUCGCUAAGAGUACCUUUGAUUUAUCAACUUUCAUAAGGACACCACUUUUCUCGGCCAAUGAUCCAUCUAUUAACUUGGAGCCUGAGCUUAGUAGAACCAUUUGUGUCAUUCUUGUGCUCUUCUCAAGCAGUGCAUGUCCAAGUUUCAUUGUGUCUUGUGACCUCUCCAGUUGAUGCAAGUGCGCUUUCUUAACGUCAAUCUGGGUUUCCAAUAUAUCCACAACCUUCAUGGACACAGGGAAAAUAAGAUGCAUCACUAAAUUUUAUCUGAACUUGAUUUCACAGUUAUUCCUUGAUGAUGAUGCUUUCAUCAAUCGACAUUAGAGUUUAGAACUCCACCGUCUCAGUUUCAAUAGAAAUCCACUGAAAUACGAGUACGUCAUUUUCCUGAGGAGCUAAACCAAUAUAUGAUGCAUUAUUUACACACUAGAAAGGAGAGUUAACAGAUUUCUAACAAAGUUCCGAUCACAAUUCGCAAGCUUACAUCCUUUUGGGAACCUUCCAUGUCAGUUAUGAGCUUCUCGUUCAACUUCGUCGGAAAGUCCAUUUCUUGAGGCAUCUUGGGAUCUUAAUCUGCACGCAGAAAGAAAAAAAAAAGAGUCGCAAGCCGUUAAGUGUUCAGAAUAGUGGUUCUCCUCCUGGGCAACUCAGCAUCUUUUGCACGCAGAAAACAAAAAUCCAAAGCCAUUAAACUACAGUAUGUCAGAGAGGAUUAAUUUAAAAAACAUGCAAAUAAAUCAGAGUACGAGUUCAGAGUAGUUCUUUGUGGAUUUAUCAUGAUUGCAAGGUACAAAUGAAGAUCAUAUAUCGGAGCAUUAGAUUACUGACACAGAACACCAGAUUGAGCAGAUAGUAGGCUACUCCUGCAGACCGAGAGUGACUGGUACAAAUUAAACUAGCAAGGUGAUGAAACCUCGAUCUCUUACCACCACCGCCACCACCGGCACCAGGUUGGUUGACGCUACCGCGCACGCUCUGGUCACCGAGCACACCGACCUCGCCGUCGCCGUCUCCGCCGGCAAGGCCCGCCGCUGCAGCGGAGGAGGAAGAGGCCAUCAGGAGAUGGUGCUUGGUAAGGUGCGGUGGAAUGGGAGCAGUGGUGCUGGCUUUAUAGGCCACUUCGUCUCUGUCCUCUGUUCUCUGGCCUCCCAACCCUCCAGCUUCCGCAUUUCUUUAUCGGUUAAUGCGGUUCAGUUUUUCUCUGGCAGCCAGAAACCUUGGAAACUGUCCGUGUUUGCCAUUUUCUUUUUGAGAUCACAAUCGAUUAGCAAAGAAGUCCGGAAGUCUAACGCUAACGCCGAUGCAUGCUUGCGAGCUGUCGAGUUCUCUGUACUAAACUUUAAGCACUCUGCAGAAGCCAGAUAGUUCAGUCAAAUGCUACAUUCUAUCUAAGGCUUAAUGGCAACUUUUUUGUAACUUCUUUUUUAAUUCAGGAAUAUGCUCGACAAUCUGUCCAUGUAGGCUAUCAUUAUCAAACACCUACACGAAUAGGAUUGUAGCGUUCACUCAUCCUACUUCCAUUCAUCCAGCAUGUACGAUGUGCACCUACACGAAAGCAACCAAACACACCCUUCGUUCAUCUUCAGAGCCAGAAGAGUAUAGGUAGCGGUCUUCCGGGGUCAGUCAACCAAAUGCUAGGCGUCAGGAUAGCCUUACCAGAGUUUACUCCUGCAAAAACAAUCACGUCAACAAAUUCACGUGCUACCUCCACCACCAUACGAACAAAGCAAGCGCUAUCUUAAUGAUGUGAUAUGAGAUUCGAACAGCAACAGUCAAAAAGUCUGUUGCUCGGUACUCUGCUUAGUAUCAAGAGGUGUUUGGGAUACAAGUUGCUAAACUUUAGCAGAAUCAUAUCGGAUAUUCGGAUGCUAAUUAGGAAGAGUAAAUAUGAUCUAAUUACAAAACUAAUUGCACAGAUGGAGUCUAAUUCGUGAGACGAAUCUAUUAAGCCUAAUUAGUCCAUGAUUUGACAAUGUGGUGCCACAGUAAAUGAUGGAUUAAUUAGCUUUAAUAGAUCUCGCGAAUUAGACUCCAUCUGUGCAAUUAAUUUUAUAAUUAGACUAUGUUUAAUACUACUAAUUAGUAUCAAACAUCCAAUGUGACAGGUGCUAAAGUUUAACGGGAGUAUCCAAACCACCCCUUAGAUCAUAUGCCAGUGCUACCAAUAGAAACGUGUCAUUAAUUCAAUCAGUCAGUGGCAAAUUAAUACACAGUAAGCAUCAUCAAACCGAGCAUACAGAUGCUAGAAAUAGGUAAGCAUGAUUAGCCGGUUACACAUGAACGAUCAGAUGAUCGCACACAAGAGAAAGCCAAGCAGGCUACUACAUAUGCACACCUGCACAGCAUGAGGCAGAGUCUUGCUUCGCUAUCUCCAUGACACCAACAAAGUUGUGAUCUUCGAUUGCGUCCGAGAUAUACCGAUAUUUAGACAAGUCGGGUCUGCUAUUCCAAUAGAAGCCUUUCAUGAGGAAACUUUCCCGCCGGUUUUGGUGUCGCUCCUAUGUUGUUUAUUUUUCUUGAAACUUGACUUUGACUUGCGACCGGUAACCAUGAGAUCACAAAUUCUCAUGUCUACCUCUGUAUCAUCAAAGCCAAUAUCCGAGACAUCUUGGACCUGCUGUGUCGUAGCCAUCAGCUGUUUAGCUGAAGCCUUCUCGGACUCUGCCUCUUCAAUUUUCUUCUGAGUGCGUUCCAGGUAGGCAGCAUAGGCUUGCAGCAAACAGAAGAUCAGUAAAUUGGUUGAAAAGGCCAUCAUAUGUAUACAAAUUAUAUAUAUACCCAAAAAAAAAGCCUUACCAGCAAUCUCCUUCUUGAGAGCUGCCUUGGUCUCAACAAGUUUACGGUCCAUAGCCAUCAGCUGGUCAACGGCAGUCUCCGAUUUGGUCACUUGAGUUUGGAGAUGGCCGAUCUCCUCGAAGUUAGAUGCAGCUUGGCAAAGGAUUGCCUGCAAAACACGUGUAAGAAAAAGAAAAAGAUCAACAACUUGACUACAGGUCAUACCUCUGCUUGCUUGAGGCACGGAACAGACUCCAGAAUAAUGUCCCCGGAGUUUUUGGUCCCAAUAUCAGUGCAUCCAUUGAGCCCGUCAUUCAAGCCCUGAGAAGUUGACUGAACUGUUGGAAUGUGGAAAGUUUAAAGAAGAGAUGGGCUCAGUGACAAUGUUGAAAUCUAUUCAGAUGAACAUGGAGUUACGAGAUACGCAGAGAAAAUCCAUAGGCAGAAUUGCAGAUGAAAUGGAGUUACAAGAUACACAGAUGAACAUGGAGUCACAAGUUUACUCGGCCAAGUUUUUUUUUGAAUUUUCUAAAAAAUGUAUCACAUACUCCAGAUGAAUAAAUAUGGACACUUCAAUGGACAGUUGGCUUACUUUUGACUAAUCUUCAGUUUUUCUAUUGACACCAAUUUUCUCAGCCAAUGAUGCAUACACCAAGUUGGAGCUUGAGUCUAAUUGUUUGAAAGUGGGAAAGAAAACGAACUUUGUCAUAAUGCCUUUGGUGCACAGCCCAAAAAAAAACAAAGCUGAACAAUGAAUAUUAGGGCUGGCUAUGCUUAAAACCAACCUGCUUGCAUAAACAAGUGCACAUCAGACCAAAAUAAUUUGGCAAUACUUGAAAAGGGUUAAACCCUAUUACUCAGGUAACCUAUAAUAGCUAUAUUAAAAAUUUCAGCAUCAAUACUUUUAAGGAUUUUUUGUAACUAUAUUUUGAAGGUUUGAUGGAACUGGAUCAAUUGAAAAUAUGUGAUGCAUGGCAUAAAUAUAACUGAUGAUUCUAUUUUGGUGAAUUUUGAGAAACUUCCCAUCACCAUACAUACAAAAAGGGGCAUGUAAAAAGAUUGUAUACCUUCCACAGACGACUUGACCUCCUCAGGCUGUGGAAUUGGAAAGAAUGUUCUGUACAGCUCCUCAAGUUGCAGCAAGUCCUUUCUCUUAGUGUCAAUCUCAUUUUCCAGAAUCUUCAUAAUCUUCAUAAUCUUGAUUGAUAACAAGAAAAGUUACAGCAAAUUAGACAUUUCUACUCUACCUCCAGAACUUAGUAAGCAUUCACAAACUUCUAAUGAACCAUGAUUUCAUUUUGAUUAGCCCAGGUUUACAUUGAACUAACCCUUCAUCCAUGGUACAAGUGUAAUAAACAUAGGAGGUCUCAGGUCUAGUGUUGUGAUUCUCUUCUUCUUAAGCGAAUGGCCGAGCUCCUGCGCUUCCUUUAAAAGAAAUUACUAAAUGAAAUCUUACAUGCUUAUAGAGGCCUUGCAGCUCCUUAUUCCACUUCCUCAUGCUAUCGUUGAUCUUGGCCUGCAACUCCUCAUUCCCCUUCGUCAGGCCAUCAUCCUUGGCCUGCAGCUCCUCAAUCCGCUUCGUUAGGCUGUCAUUCCUGGCCUGCAGCUCCUUGUUCCCCUUCGUUAGGCUUCCAUUCUUGGCUUGCAGCUUCUCACUCCGCUUCCUUUGGCCGUCAUUCUCUGCAUGCACCUCCUCAAUCCGCACCAUGAGGCCGACAUUCUUGGCUUGUAGCAUCUCAGUCUGCUUCCUGAGGCCAUCAUUCUUGGCUUGCAGCUCCUUAUUCUGCUUCAUCAGGUCAUCAAUCUUGGCUUGCAGCCCUGCACUCCACUUCAUUAGGCCGGCAUUUUUGGCAUGCAGCCUCCUGUUCUGCUUCAUCAUGACAUCACUAAUGGUUUGCAGCUCCGCUAGGCUGACAUUCUUGGCUUGCAGCUGCUCAUUAUGAAUCACUAGCCCAUCAUGCUUGGAUUGCAGCUCCUCAUUCUGUUGCAUCAGGCCGUCAUUGUUUGCUUUCAACUCAUUCUGGAUAGUUAGGCCGCCAUUUUUGGCUUUUGGCUCCCCAUUCACCAUCUUCAUGCCGUCAUUACUGGUUUGCAGUACCUCAUUCUGCUUCACCAGGCCACCAUUAUUUGCUUGCAACUCCUCAUUCUGCUUCACCAGGCCAUCAUUCUUGUCGUACAACUCCUCAUUCAGCUUUCUCAUUCCAUCAUACUUGGCCUGCAUCUCCUCAUUCUGCUUCCUCAAGCACUGUAUCUCUUUCACUUUCACAGCCAGCUCAACUCUCAGCUUCUGAUUCGCCUCACAGUAUCCAAGCUCUUUCACAUCCUCAUCUAGUUGAGCCCUCAGGUCUUUGAUCUCCUUUAAAAUUCUCUGAGAAUCCUCACACACCACCGUCAAAUGUUCUGCCCAUGGGUGACAAAUAUUAAAGCCAGCAUGAAGAAGAGCGUGAAUGAUUGAAGUGGCUUUUCAGUAACACGUACCUCCAUUCCCAACCAGACUGCCCAAAUCUCCGGACAGAACCGCGGCUUUCCUCUUUCUGCUUCCAGAUUCUGCCCCAAGAUCCUGACCUGCUGCAGCUGCAAAAACAAAGAAAUGAUUUCCCUUGAGUAAGUGUAAGCUAGAUACCCCAUUUCAGGUGCAGCAAGGCGAGUAAUGUAGUACGAGUCUGUUCCUGAGAAUAUUACACAUCACUGCUGACCACAAACAAAGACAGUAAAAGGAAUGAGAGAAUGAGAUGGCUGAACACAAACUGAUUUGUUUCAACAAUAAGAAGUGUCAACAAAACUGAUGAUCCAAGCAACCGAUUAGAGUCAGUCGACAUAUCGUGUCAGCAUUCAGAUACUCUGCAUGCUUGAUUUUGACCAAUACUCACAGUUGAUUUCACUUGACAUUUGCCUUAAUUCAAGCGCGAUUGCUCCCCGGUAGCCGUAUCACGCCACUAUACUCCUCUAUUUCCACAAGUUCCACCAUUCAGACUAUUACUCCUGAAGGCCAAAAGGUCUCGAAUCGAAAGAGUAUGCGACCCUCACCCAAGGUCGCAGGAAAUGAAAUGAAGGGAAUGAGCAAUCCGGUAUUCGAAAUGCAUGACAGAUCAGACUAGGUAUCCACGCCGCUCGACCGCAAAGAACAACAGGGAAGUGUAGCUAAACUGAAAUGCAGGGAAGUAGUACAAGCAGAUCAAGGGCUCCAGGCACCCUCGCAAACAAAAAUAAAAAAUAGAAAAAGAAAUGUGAUCAGGUGGGAGAAAGAGAAAUCGUGGCUUCUCUUACCACCAGCAGCACUUGGAUCGACUCCACGGGGGAUGGGCCGCCCGCCGCCCUCUCCCGCCCCGUCGUCUCCGCCGGCGGGGGCCAUGGCUACGGCGGAGGAAAGAGUGGUGUUUUUCUUUGUUGCCUCGCUUGCUAACGGCAGGCCACGGGGGUGCGACGUGUCACUUGUGAGCUCUCUGCCUCUCUGCGCCUGUCUCUCGAGUAUCCACCUCCCACUCUCCCCAAUAAAAAAUAUUUUUUAUGCUCUCUUUCCAAAAUAUUGUUUAUGCUUUGAUUGCCUACUUAACGCAAAGUACUCCUCUAUCUACAAAUGAGACACCGAAGAGAGAGAGAGAGAGAGAGAGAGAGUGCAUGGCAUUAACUGCACAUUUUACCUGAAAACGAUUGAGGGUGCCAUGAACAGACAUGUCUACAUACAUACAUCAUUAUCAUUGUGUCAAACUCUAAAAUAACUUACCGAAUGCAUUUGCAGUCGUGGGGAAUAUUUCUAGAACAAUUUAAAUUGCAUUUAAAAACUCAUAUAAGAAAAGAAGACAUUGCAUAUACAAUGGAAUGGAAUACCAUGUUUGAAUGCAAAACUGAAUCCCUGCAAUGGAACUGGGGUUUUUUUUUCAAAGAAAAAACAAAAAAAUUGCUCAUCUCACAACAGUAGGCGUCAGUGUAGCCUUAUCAGAGUUUGCUCCUGCUAAAACCAUCACCAUAUGUCCAUAACCCCUCAUGCACGCUCUGAAAUGAGAUACCUCAACCACGCAAGAACACAACGGCUUAGUAAUCAGAUGCAAUGCAAGUGCCACCAAUAGAAACUUGUUCUCCAAUGCAGACAGUCAGUGGGAAAUGCCACUGCAUUGAUUUUACAAAGAAAAAAAUGAAUACUCCAAAAUGAUCAGAUGAACAUGUAUCAUCGGACCAACACCAGGUAGCUAAAUUACGGUACAAAUGCUGUAAAUAGGCAGCAUGAUAAGCCGAUUACGCAUGAAUGCUCAGACGAUCGCACACAAUUGAAAGCCAAGCAAGGCCACAGCACUUGCACCACACCUGCACAAUAAUACAAUAUACAGACACCUAGGAACACAAAGGCAACGGGUUGGUGUCAUUCAGUUCACCGAUCACAUCAGUUUUCAGGACAGAAAGCGGCAACAACACCACCACAUGCACACAUCACAUACGCUUGUAAUGUCUCUAGGCAAAGGGAGAACACAGAGGAUACAUCUCCUACCUCAGGAGUCAGGAGGGGGGAUCCAGCAGCACAGCUGCACGCGGCUCCCACAAAAGCACCAAUGGCGCGCAUGCACUACUACUUAGUGGCUUGGUGGGCUUGAGGACCCUGUGUUGUUUCACGUUUCAUCUGCCCAAACAGGUGCUUGAGGACCUCCUCCAUCGUCGCCCUCCAGCCUUCCCCAAAGUUCCAGAGCUCGGGCACCACAUAACGCCCGCUGGGGUUGUACUCGUUCAUCUCCAUCAGCGCGGCCUUCACUGCAUUGCACACAUCCUCGCCAUACUCGAUCAGCAGGAACUUCAGUUUUGGAUCAUCGUCAUCUAGAAAUUCCUGCAACAAAGUAGGAUGACUAUGAUUCCCAAACAAAUACUAGCCUCUACAAAUGCCAAAGAUAACACCAAACUUGGAUAGAAAAAUACAGUAAAUACCUUGUGUUCUCCAUUAACCUGAACAAUCAUAAAAGGAUGCCAGAAUGGGUUCUUCAAUUCCUCCUGCCAAGUUGAGACCAACUCUGCUGCUCUCAUCUGGUAAUCGUCGUCUCCAUAUUUUCUCUUACAUGCAUCUUGAAAUGGCUUCUCGUUAAGUUCUCCCAUUCUUUUGAUCCCAAUAGCUCUCUGCCCAUUUAACUCGUCUAAACCCUGAGGAUCACGAUAAUCAUUUCAUCAAUGAAAAACAGCUUAUGAACAUCUGCUGAUGGAGAACACGUUAGAUGCAUGGUAACUGUUAAAACAUUCACAAAAAUAAAACGAGCAGUACCACAAUCAACUCUUCAAACUUUCACGCUCUUUCCUCACAAGACAUCCGGUCAAAUCUUCCAGCCCGUCAUUAUUAGAUUCCAGCUCCUCAAUCCCAUUCAUCAGGCUACAAAUCGUGGCUUGCAGGUCCUCAUUCCUCUUCAUUAGUCCAUCAUUCUUGGCUUGAACUUCCUCACUCUGCUUUGUUAGGCCAACAUUCUUGGCUUGCAGCUCUCCAUUCCGCUUCCUCAUGCUGUCUAUAUUGGUGUGCAGCUCCUCAUUCUCCCUCGCCAGAUCGUCAUUCUUGGUUUGGAGGUCCUUAUUCUGCUUAGCCAGGCAAUCAUUCUUGGCCUGCAGCUCCUUAUUCUGCUUCACCAGGCCGACAUUCUUUGCUUGCAGCUCCUCAUUCCCCUUUGUUAGGCUUACAUUCUCGACCUGCAGCGCCCCAUUCCGCUUCCUCAUGAUGUCUAUUGGUUCGCAGCUCAUCAUUCUCCUUCACCAGAUCAUCAUUCUUGGCUUGCAGUUCCUUGUUCUGCUUCGCCAGGUCAUCAUUCUUGACAUGCAGCUCCUCAUUCUGCUUCCUCAUUCCAUCAUUCUUGCCUUGCACCUCCUCAUUCUGCUUCCUCAGGCACUGCAUCUCUUUCGCCUUCAGAACCAGCUUAACUCUCAGCUUCUCAUUCUCCUCAACCAGAUCAUCAUUCUUGGCUUGCAGGUCCUUGUUCUGCUUCGCCAGGCCAUCGUUCUUGGCCUGCAGCUCCUUAUUCUGCUUCACCAGGCCGGCAUUCUUUGAGUUCAGCUCCUCAUUCCACUUUGAUAGGCCGACAUUCUUGGUUUGCAACUCCCCAUUCUGCUUCCUCAUGCUGUCUUUAUUGGUUCGCAGCUCCUCAUUCUCCUUCACCAGAUCAUCAUUCUUGGCUUGCAGUUCCUUAUUUUGCUUCGCCAGGCCAUCAUUCUUGGCUUGCAGCUUCUCAUUCUGCUUCCUCAUUCCAUCAUUAUUGCCUUGCACCUCCUCAUUCUGCUUCUUCAGGCACUGCAUCUGUUCCGCCUUCUGAACCAGCUCAACUCUCAGCUUCUCAUUCGCCUCACAGUACCCAAGCUCUUUCACAUCCUUAUCUAUUUGAGCCUUCAGGUCUUCAAUCUCCAUUAAAAGCUUCUGAGAAUCCUCGUACGCCACCUCCAAAUGUUCUGCCCAUGGGCAACAAAUAUUAAAGCCAUGGCAUGAAGGGUGAAAGAUCGAAGUGGGUUUUCAGUAACACGUACCUCCAUUCCCAACCAGAUUGCUCGAAUCUUCAGACAUAACUGCAGCUUUCCUCUUUCUGCUUGCCCCAAGAUCCUGGCCUGCUGCAGCUACAAAAACAAAGAAAACAUUUGCUUUCAAGAAGUGCAAGCUAGAUAACCCACCACAGGUACAACUAGGCGUAUAAUAUAUCACAAAGUCUGUUCCUAAGCCUUACAUAUCACCGCUGAACACAACCAAACACAGUAAAUGGAACGAGAGAAUGAGAUGACCGAACAGAUACUGAUUCUUUUUCAAUAAAACUAAACAUAAAGAUGUGUCAACAAAACUGAUGAUCCAGGCAACCAAUUAGAGUUGACAUAUCGUGUGACAGCCUUCAGAAACUCUGCACGCUUGAUUUUGACUAAUUGUCGCAGUUGAUUUAACUUGGCAUUUGCUUUAAUUCAAAUGCGAUUGUUCCUUGUAGGCAGCAUCACGUCAAUAUACUCCUCUAUUCCUACAAGUUCCACCGCUCAGAUAGUCAGAUUAUUACUCCUGAAGGCCAAAAGGCUUGUGCCUCCAAUCGAAAGAGUAUGGUAUUCGAAAUGCAUAACAGAUCAGACUAGGUAUCCAAAUACACCGCUCGAUCGCAAAGAACAGUAGAGAAGUACUGUAGUAGAUAAACUAAACUGCAGGGAAGUAGUACUAGUAGCAGAUCAAACGCUCAAGGUGCCCUCCCGCAAACAAAAAGAAAAAAAAAUGUGAUUAGGUAAAAGAAAGGGGAACCACCAGCAGAAGCAGAACUUCGAUCAACACCACGGCGCAUGGGCGGCCCGCCGGACUCUCCAGUCUCGUCCCCUCCGCCGUCGGUGGCCAUGGCUACGGCUGCGGAGGAAGAGGGCACUGAUGAAGAGAUGGGGUUUUCUUUUUGCUUUCCUGCCUCGCUUGUUAACGGCACUACCGCACUAGUAGGUAUACAAACUACGCCACUCGACCGCAAAGAACAUCAUAGAAGUAGUAGACAAACUAAACUGCAGGGAAAUUGUAGUUGCAUAUCAAGGGCUUAAGGCACCCUUGCAAUUUGCAAACAAAAGUAGAAAAGAAAAGGGAAAUCGUUUCUUCUCUUACCACCACCAGGAGGAAUUCGAUCGACACCACGGCACACGGGCGACCCGCGGGACUCUCCCAUCUCGUCACCUCCCCGGCGGGGGCCAUGGCUACGGCGGCGGAGGAAGAGGGCACCGAUGAGAAGAGGGGGUUUUCUUCCUUUCUGCCACGCUUGCUAACGGCACUACGGCAGGGGAACGGCCCAAGGUGGGGUUCUGUGAGCUCUCUCGACCUUCCAAGAGACCCACAAGGCUGGUUUGGUUGGAGGCAAUUGAUGGGGGUAGAGAGAGUUUAGAUGCAAAAAAUUAAAAGUAUAUUGUUUGUUGUCUGUUUGGUGGGUUUAGGAAUUUUAAUUGAAAGAGUAAUGGGAGUUUAGAAAAGUAACUCUCACCGAUCACUUUAUAUGAAAGGGGUGGAAAUUUAUUUUAAGUGGAAGAUAGAUGAAUCUACACUGUUAAUCAUUACUUGAUAUAAUUUUCCACCUCUAAAGUCUAAAGCCCACACAAAACAAGAGAUAUGAAAAUCUCACUUAAAUUUCUACUCUUAAUUCCAUCCAAAAGACAAACAUGCAAUGGGACUUGUUGGGAUCUGGAUUUGAAUUGUAAACGUCACCCUCACAUGCCGCUUUAAAGAAUUGGAUCAUCACAAUGAUAAUCGAAAUAAUCUUCACCUUCGCUCAAAGGUAACACCCUCGUUUCCUUUUCUUACCUUCAUCACCUCGGCUGCGAGGGUGCGGGGAAAUUGUUUUGAUCGUGUCUGCAGGUACUCGCGCUGGAGGGCGUGAAGCGAAGGUAUUCGGCAAACUUAGAAGAGCGAGGCGAAGGUUGUGAGCACAUUCGAUGUCCAAAAUCCAAGGCCUAAGAUCAUUUGGGCGAAGGUGUGAAGGAUUAAGGUCACGUUGUGAACGUGACCCCGGUGAUAUGAAUAGCAUGACUCGGUUAGGGUGUACAAAUCGGAUUAGAACUCUUUCUUGUACAACAUAUUUUUGGAAUGUAAUGGUUAAGUGAGGGUAAAUUCGGUAUGUAAAAGUCGGUUGGCCUCCCUAUAAAAGGGGAGGCACCCCCACUGUACAAGGGUUCACAUUUUUUAGAAAUACAAGCCUUAAGAGUUUUGUUUUCCAUUUGUGUGUGCUUUCUUUAAGUUUUCGUUGAAGAGCUCACUCUAAACCAACAUUUUGGCGCCCAUUGUCGGUGUUUUACACUCGGCAACCUACCGAGGGUAUCCUUAGAUAGUAGAUUGGUUGGUGGGGGAUCGUCGGAUCUGGAACUUGAUGGUAAAAUCAAGGAGAUUUAUACAGGUACGGACCGCCAGAGUAGCGUAAUACCCUACAUCCUAUUUGGGGUGUUGUAUAUUGCGGCCCUACGCUUGGGUGUUGCUUGGUGUUGAGGAUUUGAUCCUCUGUUGUGGUUUUGCCGAUCUAGGUACCCCUACCCUCCUUUAUAUACUCCAAGGGGGGUGGGAUUACUAGUCGGUUACAAGGCAGAAGUCCUAUUAGAAUUAUAGGGUACGAGUCCUAAUAGAAUUACAGGGGAAUCCUAGGAGUCCGUCUUCUUCCUUCCUUGCAGAUACUAGGGAUUUAUCCCCGACAAGCCACCAAGCGCUUCAUAGUCGAAUGCAGUAGUCUUCAAAUACUUUGUAGAUCCUCACCAAGUAGUAUUAGUUCUCCUCGAGUAAUUUGUCUAGCUGAAUCUUCAAAGUUAUUUGAAGCUACCAUGAAAUUAUGGUGUGCUCAAGUCCUUGAUCGUCUUGAUUUCGUAAUCUUCAUCUUUGGAAUGUGAUAUGGAGGGCGGCGGAAGUUGCACUCCAUAUGGAGUAACCCCUGAGCCUUAGGUUGAAUCGAAGAAUCAGGCUAAGGGUCAAUAAAAUCUUGAAUCUUCUUCUUUUAUCUUGAAAAAAUCAACUACUGGGUGUAGCUUAUUAGCCCCCGAGCCUUGGAAUGAUUAAAUAAUCAAUCUGAGGGUUUUCAAUCUUCACAAAAUUAUCAUCUGAGUAGUUUCGCGGCAUUCAAACCCCAAGCUUUGGAGCUGGGUGAACCGUAGGAGCCACAUCGAGUAGUUAUUUGGCGCUUAGCCCCCGAGCUUGGAAGCUAGCUGAGCCAUUGGAGAUAUUACUGAGUACUAAUUGGUGCUUAGCCCCUCGAGUUUAGGAACUAGCUAAGCCAAUGGAGGUAUGCUGAGCGUCCUGGAGAGUCAUCGCCCAAGCUUGACCUAAAAAAUGAUGCAUAUAUUAUGUAGCGUAUUGUAAAUUUUGGAACUACUGAAAAUUAUUUAGUGAUGAAUAUAAUGUAAAUGUUGUGUACCAUGCUCUUGUUUCGGUCAUAUUUUUUUCGAGUAGUUAGCCUAUUACAUUUAGGCUCUCAGUCCCUGUUUAGCCAUUGCCACUGCGUGUGAGAUCUUUGUCUCGUGUACGCGUACUAGCACUGCUGCUACGGAGAUCUUUGUCGCCUAGCGUUUAGGCAUGACAGAAGAUCCGAGACUUUCACGGAUUAAGGUGUUUUCUACUCGAAGAGAUUAGCGACCGCUAAGAAGAGACAUUGAAAAUAAGUAGUUGGCAUUAUGAUAAUAAAAAGAGUGCACUUAAAGUAGUCGUUAAGACUUUUUCUGCCUUUUGGCGAGUAUAGCGCGUGUUGCCAUGCACAAUAUUUGUGCCUCCUUAGGGUGUAACCAAUGUGAGCCUCCAGCGCUCAGUCCAUCAAACUCGUGGCCAUAGCCUCCGAAAUUAAAUGUACCAAACCUAUGGUGGUGCCUCCAGAACUCAGUGCACCAAACCCGUGGCUAUAGCCUCUAUAAUUUUGUGUACCAAGCACAUGGCUGUCGGUCAACAUCCCCCAAGAGUAGUUGGCGAAGUGUAGCUCUAGAGGGUAAUUCUUGUCGAGAGAUGUACACAGAUAGGUAGCCAGCGUAUUGGCCAACCACGCUGAAAACAAGUCAGAGAAAAAAUAAUUAUUAAAAAAGUGAUUUAGCUUGAUUCAUGGGCGAUUGCCGAUGAAGCCAUGGCGGUCGUAGAUGAAGCCACGACAAUUUGUUGAUGAAGCCAACUAGUCGAAGUUGAUUCCAACUAGUUGUCGAUGGUGUGCGACCUGCCCUGACUAGUUUUUUAGUCGAGACGAGUAGUCGAAGUAGUCGUUGGCAAGUCGCGGGUCAAUUUUGUCGAAUGUAUCUAUGCGUGCUGAAACCGCAUACUGCUUUGCCAGAGAUUUGUUGGAGGUUACUAACCUUUAUUGGAGAAUCACCGUGUAGGGAACAGGUGCGGCUCUUUGUUGAUCUCGAUGCUUCCCUUGUGCUCCGUUUUCUUUUUUGCCUCUGCAUGUGAGUAGUAAUUUUCAACUAGUUGAAUUUUUAGCCGCACAGUAGGGACAACAGCCAUGCUCUGCUCCAUUUUGAUGUGUGUGCUGCUACUUGAUUCAACUUUCUGCAGACUUGAUUUUCUACCGAUAACGCAGUAGCUUGUGGAGAUGGAGUCAUUAACGAUUGGUGCAAGUACUCCUCUCCGCCUUGGACUUGAAGAAGUUGACUCCCCCUUGAAACAGAUGCCAGGUCCAACGGGGCCCGAAAAAAUUGAAUCUAUCUCGGAUUGAUAGCAGUAGUCUGCUCUCCGUUGUAAAUUGACUUAGACCAGUGACGCUGACUUCUUUUUUCCGGACUCUGGCGAAUUCCAAAGAUGCGAUGAUGCGCGUCGGCUCCUUCUCGGACUCGACGAGCAACAAAUAGAUUGAUUUUGUGGAUGAGGUCCUUCAAGCUCACCCGAUGAUCUCGACAAUCACCCCUACCUAGCGCGCCAGAUGUCGGUGUUUUAUACUCGGCAACCUACCGAGGGUAUCCCGAGGUAGUAGAUUGGUUGGUAAAGGAAUCGCCGGAUCAGGAACUUGAUGGUAAAAGUGGGGAAACAAGGCACAGAUUUAUACAGGUUUGGGCCGCCAGAGUAGGAUAAUACCCUACGUGCUGUUUAGGGUGUUGUAUAUUGCGCCCUGCGCUUGGGUGUUGUUUGGUGUUGAGGAUUUGGUCCUCUGUUAUGGUUCUGCCGAUCUAGGUACCCCUGCCCCUUUAUAUACUCCAUGGGGCGGGAUUACUAGUCGGUUAUAAGGUAGGAGCCCUAUUAGAAUUACAGGGUAUGAGUCCUAGUGGAAUUAUAGAGGAAUCAUAGUAGGAAUCCAUCUUAUUCCUUCCUUGCCGAUACUAGGAAUCUAUCCCCGACACCCACCAUUUGUGCUCGAGAAGAAUUCACGAUGGCUCCUGCUAGGAAGAAGAUAACGAUGGCAAAUUCAAGCAAAUCAAUCCCGAGUGAAGAAGCAAACCCUAGAGGCCCAAAUGCAAGCAUAAAUCAAGAAGCCAAAGGGAAAAUGGUGAGAAUCCCCCACAGCAAGAGACUACCACAGACCAGCAAGAAACAAGAGCUUCCAUUAAUUUGACUGCACAUGAAAUUGAAAUGGCUAGGCUCAGGCAAGAAGCGGUGGAAUUGAACCAAGCAAGGCAAAUAUUAAUAGAUCAAGCAACAUCGCAGGCCGCUAAAGAGGUGCAACUAGCUAGAGACGAAAUCAAGAGAUUAUGUGAGUGGAAUUGGAACGACUCAAAGAAAAGCAAGUUCAUCAGCAAAACACCUAUGCUCAUCCCAAUCAAGAGAGGCAAGCCCAUCAUCAAAACACCUUCGCUCAAUCCAAUCAAGAAAGGCAAUUCAAGCAGCUGAGCAACUUCGCAAACGAAACACAAGGUUUGGGGUAGGAAUCAUGGCUAAAUAGUUUAAGUCAGGUCCUUCAUCACAAGAAGUGAGAGUCUUGCAUACCAGAACAUGGGAUCAAAAAUCGUCUUUGUCACAAGAGCUCCAGCUAACCCCUUGAUCUCAAACUUACAGGCUAGGACCCUUGCCAAAGUACUCAGGACACUCUGAUACAAGGAAAUUCUUGAUGAGUUAUGAGGCUGCAAUACUAUCAGCCGGAGGUGAUGAAUCAGUUCUGGCAAAGUCUUUUAUCAUUGCAGCAGAAGAUGCAGCAACUAUGUGGUAUUCAUUGUUGAACCCAGGGGUAAUUCAUUCGUGGAAAGAUUUGAAGCUAGGGAUACUGGAAAAUUUCCAGGGUUUUUAGAGACUAAAAUUGACGGAAAAUGAUCUGUUUUGUUGCAAGCAGAAAGAAUAGGAGUCAUUGCAAGGCUAUUUCAAAAGAUUUGUGCACUUGAGAGCGCAAGCUCCAAAUGUGUUAGCUUCAGUAGCUAUCAGAGCGGCCAUCAUUGGCUUAAAGAUAGGGCAAUGUCGAUCCCAUCUCAUGCGAGAAACACCAAAGACAAUCCAAGUGUUGUAUGAAGAAUUUGAGAAAUAUUGUAGGUCUGAUAAUGACUACCUCAUGUUCAUGGAGGAGCAAUCUCAACAAAAGCAGGCUGCAAGACAAAACUAUAGCAACAACAAGGGUUGGGUCAGUCCUAGAAGUAUUCCCACCCAACCAACAAGAAUAGUAUUUGGUGUCAAGGGAAACAAUCAGUCAAAACAGAUGGAGCAGAAUUCUACUAACACAAACAACCAAUCUGCAAACAAUUCAAACACUUAGUCCCAGGGAGGAUUUAGAGGUGGAAGAGGUGGAGGAAGAGGAAGAGGCUGAGGUAGAGGUCAACCCCCUCACCAGAGAAGGAAAUUUCAUUGCAUUUUUCAUGGGGAAAAUUUUGAUCAUGGCUCCACAUAUUGCUCGAACAAGAAAAGGAUGGAUGCAAUACUCGAGAAAGAGAAAAAAACAAAAGGAGAGAAUGAACCUAGUUAAUCACACAUCUACACCUUGGCUUUCACAACCUUAUUGCCCAGUCUACUGAGGAGUAAAUUCAAGAACAGUUCAUGCUUCUACACUUGCAAGCUCAGCAUCCACACCAACUUUCAAUUAUCAGCCAACCCAUGCAUUCAAUUAUUAACCCACACAAGCUUGCAGUUAUCAGUCAACUCCCACUUUCAAUCAUCAACCAAUUUGGCAAUCUCAAACUUUACAAGCUCAGAACGUGGAAAAAAGAGCUCUGCAUGAACACCACAUAAUCCCGUAGCCACCACCAUAUUUCGGAGUAUCAGCACCUCCACAGCCAACGAAGGUGGAAGGGAAAUUAGAGAAAUCAGAUGCAUUGCCGACAAUCGGGAUGAUUAUGCCAAUAACCAGAGGAUCAGCCUUGGAAUUCGAAAGUAAGAAACAAAGAAACAAUUAAAAUUUAGAGAGGUAGGCAACAUAUUUGUGGAAGGCAAAGUGAAGAAAACCAAAUGAUCUCAUGUCCCAAUCACCUUGACGGAGGAUGACAUGCAGUUGAAAAGCUAUCAUCACAAUGAUGCCAUGGUAAUCAAUGCAAACAUUACAAAUUGGGAAUUGGAAAAAUCUUGGUGGAAAAUGGCUCUUCCACGGACAUCAUGUUCGCCAGCACCUUCGACAAGAUGGAGUUAAACAGGAAUCUGUUGCAACCCCCAGACACGCCGUUGUAUGGUGUCGGAGGAAAAGUAAUACAUGCAUUAGGAAAAAUUUCCUAACCAGUCUCGUUCCAAACAGUUCAAAAUUCAAGAACAGAGUAUAUAUCAUUUGAUGUGGUUGAAAUGUAUUAUCCAUAGUUCGGAAUUUUUGGUAGAGGAUUUUUUGAACAAAUUUGAAGCUGCAAUUCAUCAACCCUAUCUAUGUAUGAAGAUGCCUACGUUGCAUGGUGUCAUCACCAUUUUUGGAGAUCAAGGUGACGGAAAAAACAUAGAAAGGAGGAGAAUUCUGGGUCAAAGAAAUGUGAAUGCACUUGAGGCAGAGAGUCAAGUAAAGAAGGUUAUCAAAGAGCCCAAAGGAGAUAAAGAGAAAGUAAACAUCGAGGAAAAUUGUGACACAAAAAGAGUGUUAUUUGAUGACAUGGUCUUUGGCCAUGAAGUAAUCAUCAGGACUGAUCCUGAUCCUGAGGAGGAAGAGAAAUUGGUUGAAUUUCUUCGCAAGAACAAAUAUGUAUUUGCAUGGUCUGCAAAUGAAUUAGUGGGGGUCAACAGAAAUAUUACUGAACACAAGCUAAGCAUCAAAAAAGCAAUAAGACCAAAGAGGCAGAAGCUGAGAAAGAUGUCAGAUGACAAGGUAGCAGCAAUUAAAUCUGAGGUCCAGAGAUUGCUCGAUGCGAAGGUCAUCAGAGAGGUUGAGUAUCCCCAAUGACUAGCCAAUACAGUCCCUAUCAAGAAAAAGAAUGGAAAGUGGAGAAUGUGCAAAGAUUUCACCAAUCUGAAUAAGGCUUGCCCAAAAGAUAAUUUUCCUCUACCUAGAGUUGACAAAGUGAUUGAUGCGGCAGCAAGAGCAGCAUUAUGUCACUCCUCAAUUGUUUCUCAGGUUAUCACCAGGUGUGGAUGAGAAAGGAAGACGAAGAGAAAACCAAUUUCAUCACCCCAUUCGGAACAUAUUGUUUUGUCCAAAUGCCGGAGGGGCUCAAGAACGCUGGGCCAAUGUUCACGCGCAUGACUGAUGAAGUGUUGAAACCUCAUAUUGAUAGAAAUAUAAUGCAUACGUUGAUGACAUCAUCAUGAAAAGUGACCAAAGAGAGGAUCACAUCCAAGAUCUUGCAGAGACUUUCGCUAGGCUCCGCGAAGCAAACUUAAAAUUGAAUCCGGAAAAUUGUGUUUUUGGAUUCCAGAAAGGGAAAAUGUUGGGUUGUCUUGUGUCCACCAAGGGGGUAGAGGCAAACCUAGAUAAGAUAAAAGCAAUCAGAGUUAUGGAAGAACCCAAUUCCAGAAAGGAUCUCCAAAAGCUCAUCGGAAGAAUUGUGGCGCUAAACAGAUUUAUAUCAAAAUCAGCUGAAAGAAGUUUGCCCUUUUUCAAGGUGCUAAGGGGGGCUGGAAAGCUAGAAUGGGGUCCUGAGCAGAGCAAAGCAAUCGCGGAAUUGAAAUAUUACCUUGAGAAAAUAGCUAUACUAUCACCUUGGCAAUUGGGGGAACAUCUCUUCAUGUAUAUUGCCGCAUCCCAAUCAGCGGUAAGCGUCGUCCUAGUGUGAGAAGUUGAAAGCGAAGGUGCAAUGAAACAAAUGCUUGUAUAUUGUGUGUCAGAGGCACUGUCAGGUUCCAAGUUAUUGUAUUCUGAACUGGAAAAGAUUGCUUUUGCAGUGAUCAUGGCAUCCAGAAAGUUAAGGCAUUACUUUGAGGGUCACAAAGUUACCGUGCUAUCAGAUCAACCGUUCAAUGACUUGUUUCCAAACAGAGAAGCUUCAAGCAGAAUUGCAAAAUGGGCAACUGAAUUGUCCAAGCAUGUAAUAGACUUUGAGAAGAGGGGAGCCAUAAAAUCUCAAGUGCUGGCAGAUUUUGUCAUACAUUGGACCGCUCCAGACCAUAGUUGCGAAGGUGAAGAGGUCAUUCCAGUCCGAGAUAUCACCUACGAUGGUGCCUGGUGACGCAAAGCAGUUGGAAUCGCUGCAAUAAUAACAUCACCAUCAGGAGUGAAAAUCAGAUACACUGCAAGACUGCAAUACUCAGAUCCAUCACAUAAGUGCACAAACAAUACCACAGAAUAUGAGGCACUAUUGCUUGGUCUACGCAAAGUUAAAGCAUUGAGGGCAACAAAUUUCUUGGUAAAAUUGGAUGCAAAAGUAAUCAAAGAGCAAAUCGAAAAAGAAUGCGAGGUCAGAGAGCCGGAAUUGAUAAAAUACUUAGCGAAGGUUAGGAGAAUGGAAAGGCAUUUUAGGGGAGAUUGAAGAUUAUCUUGACCCCCUAAGUGGGUUUUGGUGAAUUAAUGACACAAGCUUAAGUGUCUAAUGAACUUUAAAGUGCAUGAGCAGGUUUAAAAUGAUUGGUGGACAUGUAGGACUUGUGGAUGACCCUCAAAAAGGAAAUGAAUGAAUAUGAGGCAUACCUUGAAGGCUAAAUUUAUUUUUUGUUUGAAUUUUGAGUAUAGGAAUGCCGCACUAUUAAGAAGGAUACAUAAUCUUUGGUCAUUACGUUGAAAAAGGUGCUUAAGAUGACCUAAUCAACCUAUGAGAGAUAUCUUUGCACUGGCACUUCACUUGGGGAUACUUAGAAUGGUGCUGAUAUGAGAGCUCCAGAAUAUUCAGGAGGUUCCGGAGUUUUCGGAGAAAGUUCCAAAAAACUCCAGAACUUAACGUCCCAACGGCUAGUUUUGGGGCGAAGGGGUAUAAUUACCCCCUCACCCUCUCGCACAGUUAGGCUCUUGACCUAACUUCGUGCUGAGCUUCAGAAAAGCAUUCAAGUCCUCCUCUUUACUCUCCUUUAGCAUUCUUAGUGAGAUUUGGUGGAGAUUUAAGGAGGGAUUCAAGGGAAGGGCAAGAGAGUGUGCUAGUGAGCUGAUUUCCCAUCUCUUGAGCACCUUGUUCUUCAUCAAGCCGGUGAUUUUGUGUUGGUUACUCUUGGAGCUUCAAGCUCCUAGCCGGCUAGGCAUUGCCCAUGGAGCAUCCAAGGUUGUGGCUACCUACAUGAAGUUUGUAUUACCCCGAUGAUUGAGUAAGUGACUCUAUCUCAAUCUUUAUGGUCGCUAGAGUGAGGAAAGUGGCUUAGGUGAGAAAAGCUCACCCUUUGUGGGUUCCUCAAUGGAGACGUAGGCUUCAAGUGUGGAGCUGAACUUCGGUAGACAAAUCCUUGUGUCUCUUGUGCUUGUUGUUCUUCAUUCCGUUCAUAUUCAAGCAUGGAACAUAUUUCUAGGGUUUGUGCUCAAUCUACUUUUCUAGAAGGUUGCUUGCAGUUCUAUCUUGUCCCAGAGACUUAGAAUACCCUAUCGCUUAACCUAUAUUUGGCGAUUUACUUUUGGACAAGCAUUUCUUAGGGUUGUAGUUCACUCACAUUAUUCUCCGGAGAAUCCGCAGAUUUCUCCGAAAAUUCCGUAAGUUGCGGAAUUUCUGGAACAAUCUUUGAAAACUCCGAAUGUUGCUUAUAAACUUGUUCAAAGUUGUGUAAAAUUUUCAAGUUCGACUAUUCAACCCCCCCCCACCCCCACUCUAGUCGACAUCCUAGAUCCUUUCAGUUUCACUGUUGAGCAUUACCAAGAAAAGGGAAUGGUGAGGUUGAUGAUUUAGCAAAGAAAGCCUCCAAAAAUGAGCAAUUACCACCAUAUGUAUUCUUUGAAGUCAUUACAACUCCAUCGAUAAAACGAGACAAGCAACCAAUGAGUUUAGUAAAUGCAAUUAGCAGCAUGGAUUGGAGAUCCCCAAUCAUCGCUUACCUUCGCAGCAAGUAUGAACCAGUAGAGGAGCACAAACUCAAGCACAUGAAGCAAAGAGCGAGAGGCUACAUCAUGAAAGGGGAAUAUUUGUACAAGUUGGGAGUGAGUGCAUCGUUGCUAAAGUGCAUCUCACAAGAAGAGGGAAUCGAAUUGCUGAAAUAAAUCCACAGUGGAUACUGCGGAUGUCAUAUUGGGGUUAGAGCAUUAGUUGGAAAAGCUUUCAAGCAGGGAUUCUAUUAGCUAAUGGCAAUCAGAGAUGUUGAGCAAAUUGUCAGAAUGUGCAAGGCGUGCCAAUUUGCAACCAAACAUCAACGAGUACCGGGAUUACCUUUGCAGUUAAUCACUCCCACCUGGCCGUUACAGAGAUGGAGAAUGGAUAUAGUGGGUCCAUUGCCAACAGCUCAAGGAAAUUACAAAUAUGCAGCCGUAGCAGUCGAAUAUUUUACCAAAUGGAUUGAGGCAAGGCCUUUGACAACAAUCACCUUCGAAACCAUGAGAAAAUUUUUCUGGCAGCAAAUCAUAUGCAGGUUCGGAGUCCCAAGGGAAUUAACCAUCGAUAAUGGCAAGCAGUUUGAUUGCUAUGAGUUCAGGCAGUAUUGUGGGAUGAUUGGAACCAAGCUAAACUUCGCAUCAGUAUACCACCCAAGAUCCAACGGGGCUGUAGAAAGAGCAAACAGUGAGAUUUUCACCGCAAUCAAGAAAUGCCUUUUCGAUUAGAAAAAGGGAAAGUAGGCAAAAGAGUUGCCGAGGGUAGUUUGGUCUCACAACACAACCGAGUUCAAAAUAAUUAAGUUCACUCCAUUCAUAUUGCUCUACGAGGCUGAGGCAAUGUGCCUGGAGGCAAUAGCACACCAGAGUGCGAGGGUAAUAGCUGAGCAAAAUGAGGAAAAUGAGGCAAUAGACAAAUAUAUCAUUGAGAUUGAUAGGCUUGAGGCAGCCGAGAACUUAGAAAAAUAUCAAGAACAAACAAGAAAGUGGAGAGAUAAAAAGGUUGUCAGAAAAGACAUCAAAGUGGGAGAUUUCAUUCUUAAAAGAAAAAAGAGUGCAGAAACCGUAGGCAAAUUGCAAGUAGCUUGAGAAGGACCGUAUCUGGUUGUGAGCAGCGUCAGGCCAGGAGCUUAUCAUUUGGCCGAUGAAGAGGGGGAGGAGCUGCCACAUUCGUGGAAUGUGGACAACCUUUGCAAGUUCUAUCCUUGAGCAAAAAAUAGGUGCGGGGUCAGUUGCAUGGAGUUAUAAGCACAAUCAGGUCCUAAAAAUAGCAUAGUUUUACUUUAUUGCAAUUUAUUUUACCUCAAAAUGUAAGCGCAGGGUCGGUAGCAUGGAGUUAUAAACGCAAUCGGAUCCCUGGGCAGCGCAAUUUUACAUUCUUGCGAAUUUACAUUUCUACAAAAUGGGUCAUACUCUUUUCCUCACUAGGGGGGCUCCACAUCGGAGGUGAGGUUUUUAAUGAGGCGAUCCUGAUGUAAUCAUUUACAUUAUGAAGAAAAGAAAUUCCCCCUGAAACCGUGCUCGAGAAUGCGCAUGUGAUGCGAUAACUUUACUUUUAUGUCUAAGAACACAUUCGCAUGGGGUGUCAGAAAGAACACACCUGUGACGCGAUAACUUUACUUUUAUCUCUAAGAACACCUUCGCAUGGGGUGUCAAAAAGAACGCGCUUGUGACGCGAUAACUUCACUUUUAUGUCUGAGAACACCUUUGCAUGUGUGUCAGAAAGAACGCGCAUGUGACACGAUAACUUUACUUUUAUGUCUGAAAACACCUACGCAUAAGGUGUUAAAAGAAUGUGCCUGUGACGCACCUUAUCAUCUUUCUAUAAGAGAAAGAGAUAAGAAAACACCUUCGCACAAGGUGUGAAAAGAAUCCGCCUGUGAUGCACCCAAUCUUCUUUCUAUAAGAGAAAGAGAGAAAGAGAUAAGAAAACACGUUCGCACAAGGGGAUAAAAAAAUGCGCCUGUGACGCACCUUAUCGUCUUUCUAUAAGAUAAAGAGAUAAGAAAACACCUUUGCACAAGGUGUUAAAAGAAUGCACCUGUGACGCACCCAAUUUUCUUUCUAUAAGAGAAAGAGAUAAGAAAACACCUUCGCACAAGGUGAUAAAAUAAUGCGCUUGUGACACACCUUAUCGUCUUUCUAUAAGAGAAAGAGAUAAGAAAACACCGUCGCACAAGAUGUUAGAAGAAUGCACUUGUGACGUGUCUUAUCAUCUUUCUAUAAGAGAAAAAUUUAAGGAAGAGAUUCGGCAUGUGAAGGUGUCAGAGAAAGAUAUCAUGAUCAUCGAAAACAAACUAGGAAGUAAAAAAUAAGAAAUUAACGUCGAAAGCAACCUAAAGGUUGCCAAUUCGACACACACAAGAGUUGGACCUGCGAAGGUUUUCAGCUAAAUGAAUCCAUCUCAGGCCAUGUUCAAUUAUAAAAGCUUACAAAGAAACAGUUUCCUCUGCAUCUCUAUCACUUUCUGAAAGGGGGAAGACCUUUUUUGUAAAAAAAAUUCCGAAAGUGAUCGAGACUUGAGGAAAAUCAAAAGUUUACAAUUCAAAAGGGAAGUUCGACAACACAGCCUACACGAACAGAGGCUAUGCUAGGAUCAAAACCAUUAUAUAUAAAGCAAUAUUCUUCAUCCUUGGGGCACUCAUUUUCGAUCUUGACCUCCGCAGCAUACGAUUCAAAAUCUGAUGCUUGGGAUCGACUAACCCGUCCACCACCAGUAGAAUCAAGCAAGUGACAUAGUGCAUAGCUGCGCAAUGGAUAAUAGGAACAACAAAAAUGCUAAAAAUCUUCAAAGGACUUAUCCGGGAUACUUAGCAUGAUAAACCGUCCAAGAAUGGCUACUGACGCACAAGCCUUCUCGAUAGAAUGUUCUGGGAACAACAUCACGCACAGUUUCAUCACAUGGAACCUGCGCCACAAUUGAUAUUUACAACAAAAUGAGUAAUAGUUUUUCCACUUAACAAACAUUAUUUACACCUUCGGCUCCUAUUCAAUACUUGGCAGAUCUUGAGGUUGUGCAUCAUGCGGCAAUGAUUCUUGGGGCUGGGAAACCCGAGGAUCUUCAGGCACGGAUGAUGUAGAGGGUUUUAUAGUUUCAAGAGCAGUAGACGCCAAGGGCGCCAUCUCUGCAGACUGACAGUUGGGCUUUGGGGCCGGCCAUUGACAUGGAGGAGCAUAUGAGCCUUGAGUGGCAGAAUCCCAAUGAAGAGCUUGAAGCUUGCAAAUCUCCAUUGUCUGUUUUUCCUGGCCAAGAUAGAACUAUGAGGUAGUAACCUCAUAGCAUCAAAAAGUAUUUCAAAAGCAUUCUCAAGAUUGCAAAAAAUAAAAGACUAAAGGAGAAAACUACCUAUGCGAGACGGUCGGCAGCCUUUCUACGGACACCUUCGCGGCCGCUUUUAAUCUAGAACUCCCUCAGAAAUAACUUUGACACGGCAUCGACAUUACGACUAGGGGCUAGAAUUUCAGAGUGAUCUGGAAACUUGAAACCGCAUGAUCCAAAUUUUUUGAAGUGAUUGCAUCCUUCACCUUCAAGAAUUUGAAGCAAGGACUCAGCAGUUGUACCCACGCCAUAAUCACCAACCUUGGAUAAGAUCUCAGGCAAGAAUUUUAACUCAUCCGACAGCCAUUGGAAGAGUGUUCCUGUGUUCCUAGACCCAGGAAAAGGCUGUGGCUCAGUGCCAAACAGGUUAAGAGCACCGCGAUAUUGGUGAUUUAUGUGAAGGCCCCAUUGCUAAUUUUUUUGUUCAUUUUCUUCAAGAAUUUUCUCUUGAGACGCAUUAACUUGCCUUAAUUUAGAAAUUAUCUUAUCCUUAGUCACCAAAUCCCUAGCUUGCGUGAUCGCAGUCAUCUUGAUAUUUACAAGCUCCUUGCGAACCCUGUGAAAGCACUCUGCAUCUUUCUCAAUCGUCACGCGAAGGUUAUCGAGAGCUAUCUCUUGUUGCUCAUUACGCAAGGUCAAAGACUUAACCUCAGCAUAGAGGUCUUUAUUGUUCGCUUCCAUUUGAGCAAUUUGAUCCUUUAGCCUCUGUACCUCGGCAGCGAGAUCUGCUUGCUCAAUGCGUAGGUCUUCCAUCUCGUUGAAAACAUUUUCACAACCAAGUUUUCCAGCAAUCAUCCCUUUCAUUGUGAACGUCGUCAUCAAUGAGCAAAGCUCAAGUCCAUUGAGACCAUCGAUUCAUGACUCAAAGGCUGCCAAAAAGAAUACAUUAGGAUUUUCUCUACAAGCGAAACAAAAAAAUAAAUAAUAAAAACGUCAUUAGCAAAGGUGUUAACCUUUCGAAUCGAAAAAUUGAUAUUGCGGAAUUUCAGUGUUAGCCUCACCAAAGUUAACAUCUGCGCCUUUGAAGGAAUCCCCUUUUUCAACAUUUGUUUCAAAUGACGUCAUGUCUCUAACCAAUCUCAGUUCAUCUGAGUCAAGUUGACUCAAGGAAAGCAACGCACGAGCAGCAGUUUCACCAUCUGCGCAAGCCAGGCAAUUUAAUAGCAGGACAAAUUGAAUACAAAACAAAAACACAAAGUAACAUUGGAGACAAGUCAAAGGUAACCUUUAGGGGGAGAGCAAAUCCCUUUACCCUUUACAUAUGAGGGAAUCUCAAGAACCUUAGGAAAGGAGAAAUCCUCAUCAGUCUUGGACGUAAGAGAAUUCCUUUCGUCAGCAAUCUCAGGGGGCAAGGUCUCAUUGUCUUUGCUUUCUUGAGAAUUUAGCACAGGAGACAAAUUAAGAGGCAAUUUAUUAGAUGAGCCAUCAACAUGCUUGGCCCCGCAUGACUCGGGCGUCAAUACUUUGCUAAAAACAGCUGUGUCUUUGUCACAGUCAAUUGGAUCCUCAUCUAAAUAAAUCACGCUUUCAUCUUGAUCCAAAAUGUCAAUCAUCCUAGCAAAGGCAGUAGCGGAGGUGCUAGGCAUUUCGGCCUCAAAAUUGAAAUGCAUGUCCUCCAUACGCUGAUAGUAUUCAGCAACCGAGCCUCAAUGUUGAUCAAUUUCACAUUCAAGAGCAUCAGUUCCACCAAACUAUCAUGAGGAGCAUCCGCAGGCUCGGGUGUGGGGGUCGCCUUAGCUCCCGGUGCAACUCCGCGUUCAAUCUCAUGAUGCUUAGAAGCAACACUUUGAGUUUCAAGCACUUGGAGUGAAGGCGAGCCCUCAACACUUGGCGGUGCGCUGGGAAUUAUCUUACGUUGUUUAAUAGCGGCACCAGCAGUUUCAAUUUCUCUUUUACGUUUCUACAGUGCCGUUACAACUUUCAUGGAUUCAGAAACAUCUAAUGACCCAGCAACGACCAGUUUUUUCUUCUUGGAAAGCCUUUUCUUCUUGACCUUGGGAAUCUGAGAGCCAACGUUUCCCGGCAAAACUAUUUUCUUCGCAGGCCUACCAGGACGCAGGUGCGGGCUGUAAGAAAUUUUCAUCUCGUCAAACACCUGAUUGAUUCAUCCACCGUGUUUCAAAGCUAUCAUCGCAGUCUCGUGUUCCUUCAAUGAAUAGUUACCAAUCAGAAGAACAGCCUGCCUCUCAAUUUCAGCCAUGAACUCUGCAUCUGAUACCCCAUCUGGCUUUUUAACACCAAAUUUUGGAAAUUUAAUCUCUAGGUCUGUGUCGGGGAUCCUUUUGUUAACAAAACUAGUUGGUUUCCAACCAUAGCGCGAGGGCCAGAUGCCAGCAGCCAAAAACUCUUCAAUGGCAUCUCGACUAGAAACAACUUGACUGACUUGGAAAUAAGCAGAUGUCCCUGGUGAAGAGCGGCUUCGACGGCUAAGAGUGGGCGCGAAUUCCAGUUCCAUAUCCUCAAUUCUUGCAGGCUAAAGGGUACUCCAAAAUUUCCUUACCCUCAAAAUUUUUUCCAGCAACAACAGGAAUGGUUGCAUAGAACCAAUACGAAUCCCACUUCUUUGACCACUUAUUUUUCUGGCCUGGGGCGAGGGCAACUGGCAUUAUGUUUCGACCCAACCACCACGUUCGGAAAGUGCAGCAUCCAUACUGCACCUCGAAUUCUUCUUCACCAAUAAUAAUAUGCUUCUUUUGGAGAUGCAAUUCAAAAUGGCGGGAGAAAGACUCUGCAUCUAUUUCACCUCUAAAAGAACGACUACACCAAAAAUAGUUUAGGAGCCGGGGGAUAGAAUUUGGGGUUAGCUGAUGAAUUCGGACCUUGUAUGCAACAAGAACAUCUACGAAAGUUUUUUCCAAUGGAAAUCUUAGCCCAGCCACGAAGAAAUCUCAAAAGACCACACACUCAUUAGGCUGUGGAACAGGAAUAUCCUCGUCCCUAGGGGGCUGGCAAUCUCCAGUGUUGAAAUAUCCCUUCUUGACAUAGAAGUCAAUGUCAUUCUGACUAACCAAAGAACAGCCAAAAAAGCAACUGGUGGGAGUUUCCGCAACCAGAUGUUUCACAUUAGCAUCCACAUCUUCAAGAUCAUCACCUCCUUCUUCUCCUUCUCCUUCUCCUUCUUCUCCUUCUUCUUCUUCUUCUUCUUCUUCUUCUUCUUCUUCUUCUUCUUCUUCUUCUUCUUCUCCUACACCCUCAGCAGUAUCACCAUCAUCAAAAUUGCUAGAUCUAUCCUCAUUAGAUCCCCCCUUAGAUGAACUGUUAGCUUCGCGGGCAUGUUGAGUGCCGCCCAGGUCUUCAUCUCCCACGUGAGGUGGUUCAAUAUCAGGAUGCACCGGAUUGUUGACCUGGAUAUCAUGAGCAAUCAGAUUCACCGGAUCGGCAGCAGGGUUUCCUUGAGCGUUGGGAUCCAUUAGAUUGGCAGCAGCCAGCUCCUCCUCAGUCAUCAAUCUAGCAGUACUUUUAACGCAUGCCACUUUAUCUAUCAAAAAAACAAAUUUGUAUAACAUUCAAUUCAUACCAAGUGCAGUGCUAACUUAAAGAAAGAAAAUCACCUUUGCUAGAUCAACAAAGGAUGAAUCGAAAGGGAUGCACGAAUCUCAAAGCACGAAAUCAGAAAGCAGCGACGGCACUUGUCAAAGCGAGGGUGCAGAAAAGUUACCACACCCCCCAAUGGUAACCGUGCUCAACAGUAAAAAAGCAAGGGCAAAAUAGUCAUUUAACUACCUUCGCAGAGAGAUCCAAUCCAGCGAGCAGGGAGACGUUUUUCAAUCCUUGAUCGAGAUCAAAUGAUAUUUCGAGGGUUCAGCCCGCUGGAGUGGACCUCGCCCCCGAGGGGCUACUAUUGGGGAUAUGGAUUUGGAUUGUUAACAUCACCCUCGCACGCCGCUUUAGAGAAUUGGAUCAUCACAAUGAUAAUCAAAAUGAUGUUCACCUUCGCUCAAAGCUAACACCCUCGUUUCCUUUUAUUACCUUCAUCACCUCGCCUGCGAGGGUGCGGCAAAAUUAUUUUGAUCGUGUAUGCAGGUUUUCGCACUGGAGGGCACGAAGCGAAGGUAUUCGGCAAACUUGGCAGAGCGAGGCGAAGGUUGUGAGCACAUUCGAUGUCCGAAAUCCAAGGCCCAUUCAAGAUCAUUUGGGCGAAGGUGUGAAGGAUUAGGGUCACGUUGUGAACGUGACCCCGGUGGCAUGAAUAGCGUGACUCGGUUAGGGUGUACAAAUCGGAUUAGGACUCUUUCUUUACCAAAAUGUACAGCAUAUUCUUAGAAUGUAGUGGUUGAGUGAGGGUAAAUUCGGUAUGUAAAAGUCGUUGGCCUCCCUAUAAAAAAGGAGGCACCACCACAGGUUCAUAUUUUUAAGAAAUACAAGCCUUAAGAGUUUUGUUUUCCAUUUGUGUGUGCUUUCUUUAAGUGUUCGAACCAGCUAAAAUUCAUAUUCCUAAGUAAAUUCCCUCCAUCAACUCCAACCACUAAUUCUCAUGCUUCUUUCUGUUAGUUGCCAAACACACCACACGGUCUACUAUAAGAAACUUUGACUAGAAAUUUCUAAUAAAAAUAUUAUAUGUUAGAAUAUAUCUACUACUAACAUCAAUCUCACGUUGUCAAUAUAUUUAAUUUUUAUAUAUUGAUUACCAAAGCUAAAAAUGUUUAACAAACAAAAAAUGGGAAUAAUUUUGGAAUUCCAAAUAUCUUUGUGAUAGGUGGGAAUAUCGUAUACUACCUCCGAUUGGAUAUUUUAUUUAAGUCUUAGACAAGUCGAUUCAGCCACCCACCUUUCGCCCAUAAAUUGAAUUAUCACCCACUUUUCACCCAUGAAUUGAAUUAUCUCAUUUGUUGUAGGGUUGUCCUUCCAUACUUUCUUUUUAUUGUUGACAAAGCUAGUCGGUUGCCAGUAAGUCGGCCCGUGUUCAAUCACGGCCAGGGUGGGUGGGUGCUCACCUCUUAGAAACAAUUCAGGAAAAGCUUUGCGACUUAUUAAAUAAAGCUAAAAUACUCCCGUCAUCUCUCCCAAAUGAGUUUAGAGAGAGGGGUGUCAGCGGUAGGGCUGCCGGCGGUGGUGGUGGUGGCAAUGAGACUCCUCUACAAUACUUCUGCUGGAAUCGCUAACGUGUGGAGAGAGGUACUGCAGGGGAUCUGCUUCCAGUGGUGGGCAGUAGGAUAAUAACAUAAGCAUUAAGUGUGCACAUUUUACACGAAAAUAUUAGAGGCACCAUAGACAUCUUGUCUACCCCCAUAAUCAUUGUGCUAAACUCUAAAACUACGACUGAAUAUAUUUGUUGUUGUGGGAAUAUUUUAUAGGAUAACCAACUCGAAAUGGAUUAUUCACUCACACGAGAAAGGAGACACUGCCUACAAUGAAAUGUUUGGAUGCAACAUCGAGUUCCUAGUUACAGUUCACAAUAUUACAUCCCCUCAUUCAUCUUCCUCGGAAGGUAUGUCCCUCGAGCCAUUUCAUCUCCUCCAUCUUCAGAGCCAGAAGAGUGUUUAGAUGGUGAUUUUGCAGGGAAACGCAGGUAUCCAGUUCAGUCAACCAAAUGCUCCACUCACAUCAGUAUGCUUCAGAGUAGAGUUUGCUCCUGCAAAACCAUCACCACAUCAAAUGGGACACCUCAAACAACGCAAGAGCGCAGUAAUUCAGCCAGUCAGUGGGAAAUGUUAUUGCAUUGAUUUUUUCUGAACAAAAUAAUACAGGAAUCAUGAAACCAACACCAAGUAGCUGAAAAAGGUACAGAUGCUGAAAAUAGGUAGCAUGACUAACCGAUCACGCAUGCCAGGACUUUGCACUACCACAUAUGUACACCUGCAAAAGAUACAGACACCUAGCUGAUAGGAGCACGAAAGCCACGGGUUAGUAUCAUUCAGUUAACCAAUCACAUCAGUGUUUAGGACGGAAGCGGCAACAGCACCACAUGAGCAUAUCACAUACGCUUGUAAUGUCGUUACGCAAUGGAACGCAGAGCAGUGGCGGAGCAUGCAGAGAAACUGAGAGGGGGCCAAUAACAGAGGAGAUUAGUAUACAUAGAGUGUUUAAGUAGUUAAAUUAGCUGUUCCUUUAAGAAAUUUAGGAGGUUAGGGGGGGCAUGGCCCACCUUGGCCACAAUGAAGCUCUGCCAGUGACGCAGAGGAUGCAUCUCCUAUGUCAAGAGGGAAUGAGCAGCGCAGGGCUCCCACAACGGCACCAACAGGGAUUAUUGGCUUGGUGGUCACACCGAUCAGGGUGCCUCUUCAGCCCCUCCUGCGCUUGGUUAUCAUCUCCAUUUGUCCGUACAGGUAGAGAACCUCCUUCAUCGUCGCCUUCCGGCCUUUCCUGAAGUUCCAGAACACAGGCACCACGUGCCGCUCACUGGGGUUGUACUCGUUUAUCUCCAUCAGCGCAGUCUUCACCGCAUUGCACACAUCAUCGCCGUACUCAAACCGCAGGAGCUUCAGUUUUGCAUCAUCUUCGUCUAAAACUUCCUGCAACAAACGAGGAUUGGUUAUGAUUUCUGGACAAAUACUAACCUCUAUAAACGACAAAGAUAUAUAAUACCUUAGCUGGAUAGAAAAAAACAGCAAAUACCUUAUGCUCUCCAUUAACCUGAACAGCCACAAAAGGAUGCCAGGAUGGCUUCUUCAGUUCACCCUGCCAACUUUCAACCAGCUUUGCAGCUUUGGUCUGGUAAUCGACGUUUCCAUAUUUUCUCUUACAUGCAUUUUGAAAUGGCUUCUCGUCAAGUUCUCCCAUUCUUUUGGUCCCAAUAGCUGGCCGGCCAUUUAACUCGUCCUCCAAACCCUGAGCAUCACGAUGCUCACAACAAUCAUUUCAUCAAUGGAAAACAUCUUAUGAACAUCAACUGAUGGAGAACACGUUAGGUGCAUGGUAAUUGCUAAACAUACAACACAUAUAAAAUAAAAUAAUGGAGCAGUACCAUAGUAAGCUCUUUUCGGGCUUGCAGUAGCUCAUCGUUACUUUGACGCUCUUUGCUCACAAGAGUUCCGUUCAAAUCUUCCAGGUCGUCAUUCUUGUCUUCCAGCUCCCCAAUCCACUUCGUUAGCCUGUCAUUCUUUGCUUGCAGCUUCUCAUUACUCUCCGUCAGGCCCUCAUUCUUGACUUGCAGACCCUCAUUCCGCUUUGUUAGGCCAGCAUUCUCGGCAUGCAGUUCCCCAUUCCGCUUCCUCAUCCUAUCAUUAUUGGCUUGCACCUCCUCAUUCUGCUUCACCAAGUCGACAUCCUUGGCCUUCAGCUCCUCAUUCUGCUUUGUCAGGCUGCCAUUCUUUGCUAGCAGCUCCUCAUUCCACUUCGUUAGGCCGCCAUUCUUGAUUUGCAGCUCCAAAUUCUGCUUGCUAAUACCAUCUAUAUUGGAUCUCAGCUCCUCAUUCUCCUUCACCAGGACAUCAUUCUUGGCUUGCAGGUCCUUAUUCUGCUUCAUCAUGCCAUCAUUCUUGGCCUGCAGAUCCUCAUCCUGCUUUCUCAUUCCCUCAUUCUGCUUUCUCAAGCACUGCAUCUCUUUCGCCUUCUGAGCCAGCUCAACUCUCAGCUUCUGAUUCGCCUCACAGUAUCCAAGCUCUUUCACAUCCACAUCUAGUUGAGCCCUCAGGUCUUCGACCUCCAUUAAAAUCCUCUGAGAAUCCUCGCACGCUACCUUUGAAUGCUCUGCCCAUGGGUGAAAAAAAUUAAAACCAUGGUAUGAAGAAAAGAGUGAAAGAUUGAAGCAUGUUUUCAGUAACACAUACCUCCAUUGCCAACCAGACUCGUCAAAUCUUUGGACAUAACUGCUGCAUUCCUCUUCCUGCUUCCAGAUUCUGCCCCAAGAUUCUGACCUGCUGCCACCGAAAAACAAAGAACGCUUCAGCAAGUGUAAGCAAGAUAGCCUGCGACAGGUAAAGCAAUGCGAGUAUACAUCACAAAAUGUUCCUGCCAACCUGUGGAUAUUACACAUCACAGUUGAACACACAAAAAUAGUUAAAGGAACGAGGAAACGAGAUAACUGAACACAAUGAUUUUUUUCCCAAAAAUCUAAGCAAUAAGAUGUGUCGACAAAACUGAUGAUCCAAGUAAUUUAGAGUUGACAUAUGGUGGCAGCCUUCAGAAACUUUGCACUCUUGAUUGACUAAAUGUCAUAGUUGAUUUCACUUUACAUUUGCCUUAAUUCAAGUGCAGUUAUUCGUAAGAAACUGUUUCGCGUCAAUAUACCUAUGCCUACAAGUUCCCACGACUCAGAUAGUCAGAUUGAUGCGCUUGGGGACCAAAAGGCUUGUGCCUCCAAUCGAAAGAGUAUGCGACCCUCAUCCAAAGGUCGCAACUUUGUGGGGAAAUGAAACGAACGAUUAGUAACCUGGUAUCGAAAUGCAUCAUAGAUCAGACUUGGUAUCGAGAGGUAGUAGAUAAACUAAACUGCAGGGGAGUAGUACUAGCAGAUCCCUCAAGGCAGGCUCCCUCGUAAACCAAAAAGAAAAACAAAAAAAAGAAAAAAGAACAAGAAGAAAAUGCGAUGAGGUAAAAGAAAAGGCAAACCGUGGCUUCUCUUACCACCACCAGCAGCACUUCGAUCAACGCCACGGUUCAUGGGUGGCCCGCCGGAUUCUCCAGUCUCGUCCCCUCCGCCGGCGGGGGCCAUGGCUACGGCGGCGGAGGAAGAGUGCUACGGCGGCGGAGGAAGAGGGCACUGAUGAAGAGUGAGGGGGCUUUUAUUGUCUUUCUUGCCUCCUGUCCUCCCGCAACCACAAUAACACUCUUAAAAGGGAAAAAUAUAUAUAUUAUUAUUAUUAUUUCAGUUGCCUACUAUAGUUAUUGUGUCAUCAAUCUAAAACAACUUACUGAAUAUAUUUGUGAUCGUGGCCUCGUGGGAACAUUUUCUAGGAUAACCAAUUUAAAAUGGAUUAUUUACUCAUAUGAGUGCACUAAUUCAGCCAGUCAGUGGGAAAUGCUGUUUGCAUAGAUUUUUCUGAACAAAUGAAUGUAAGUAUCAUCAAACCAACACCAAGUACCUAAAUUACGGUACAAAUGCUGAAAAUAUGCAGCAUGAUUAACCGAUUACGCAUGAAAGGUCAGAUGAUAGCACACAAGAUAAAGGCCAAGCAGGCUAUCACUUGCACUACUGCAUAUGUACACCUGCACAAUAUACAGACACCUAAGUAGGGCACGAAAGCCACGGGUUGGUAUUAUUCAGUUCACCGAUCACAUCAGUUUUUAGGGCCUGAAGCGGCAACAGCACAACCACAUGCUUCCACACAUCACAUACGCUUGUAAUGUCGUUACGCAAUGGAACAUUAACACAGAGGAUACAUCUCCUAUGUCAGGAGGGGAUCGAGCAGCACAGGGCCCCCACAAUGGCACCAAUGGCGCGCAUGCACGACUACUUAUUGGCUUUGCAGUCAGGCGGCCUAGGGCACCUCAUCAGCCCCUCCUGCGCUUGGUUGUCGUCUCCAUCUGCCCGAAAAGGUACUUGAGCACCUCCUUCGUCGUCGCCUUCCGGCCUUUCCUGAAGUUCCACAGCUCGGGCACAACAUACCGACCACUGGGGUUGUAUUCAUUUAUCUCCAUCAGCGCGGUCUUCACCGCAUUGCACACGUCAUCACCAUACUCAAUCCACAGGAACUUCAGUUUUGCAUCAUCAUCAUCUAGAACUUCCUGCAAUGAACAAGGACGAGGACAACUAUUAGUUCCAAUACUAGCCUCUAUAAAGAUAACACAACAGUCAGAUAGAACACGGUAAAUACCUUAUCUUCUCCAUUAACCUGAACAACCUUAAAAGGAUGCCAGGAUGGCUUCUUCAGUUCCUCCUGCCAAUUUGUGAUCAACUCUGCUGCUUUGACCUGGUAAUCAUCGUUUCCAAAUUUCCUCCUACAUGCAUUUUGAAAUGGUUUUUCAUCAAGUUCUCCCAUUCUUUUUAUCCCAAUAGCUGCCCGCCCAUUUAGCUCAUCCUCCAAGCCCUGAUCAUUGUGAUAACCAUUUGAUCAGUGAGAAAAAACCUUAUGAGCAUCAACUGAUAGAGAACACAUCAGGUGCAUUUUAAUUGCUAAACAUAUAGUACAUAGAAAAAGAGCGGUACCAUAAUCAAUUCUUUCCGGGCUUGUUGUAGCUCGUCGUUACUUUCACGCUCUUUCCUCACAAGAUCUCCACUCAAAUCUUCCAGCCGUUUCUUCUCACGCUCUAAUCUUUCACUCAGCUUCUCCAUCUUCUCAUGAAUAUCACCAUCAUCAUCUCCCUCCAAAUGUUUCAUUACUUGGAGUGUACCAUUCAACCGUGCAACUUCGAGCUCAAGUUGCUGCUUCUCAUGCAGUUCCUUUUCCAGUUGGAGCAUCCUUGCGAAUACAUCUUCCUUUUCCCUCUGAUGUUAUUAAAAUGUAUUAAUUCUCAUCACCAGAACCUACAGUGACCAUCUAGAAAGCAACAUAUAAGUAAGAAAGGGGCAAACCUUCUGGUCAUCCAAUAGCUUCAGAACAUCGAAGUCAGCCCUCUGCUGCUCUAUACUGGCUAACUCAAGUUCACUAUUAUCAUCUUUCGCCUGCACAAUUUCAAAAGAAACUUUAAGUAAUUAUAUAAGAUAUUGCUGUAUGCAAUCAUGCUAUCAUACCAAUAUGCUCUAACUGUCAUCAUUAGUUUAUGAGCCUAGCAAGCUUUGGUGCAUGCACUUAGGAUGUAGAAAGAGAACCGGUAUUCUGUGAAUGUCAUAGAACUUAGAUGAUAAAAUACUUCAUAACAAUACAUCCCUUGUCAAAGUGAAAGUACUGAUGAUAUAUAAUUUUAAACAACCUGUACAAGUUUGAAAUGGAAAUAUAAAACAGCAACAGUAAAUCCUUGUUUUCAAAGUAAUCUCAAUCACUUAACCAAAAGAAUGGUUGCCACCCUGUUAGUCCAGAUUAGUGCACCAUAAGCAUGAUAUUUCAGCAGAGCUUACAUGAGCAUAGCCUAGUGCUUCAUUCGUAUAGUUGUUUUGCUUACCUUCUGCUUCUCAUCAUCGAGUGUCUUCCAGUCGUUAGCAUUCUCAGCUGACAGCUUUUCAAGUUGCUUAGCUCGUGAAUUCAGUUCUCUCCUCUUAUUUUCUAAUUCUUGCCUCAAGUUGUCAUUUUCUUGGAAAAUUCGCAGAGCAUUUUCACGAGCCCUGCGAUGAAGAUUUCGCAUUUCUGAAAAAGAGGAUACAAAAUUAUGGAUGAGUUAAUUUAUAAAAGAGAAAAAUUGCUUUGUUAAAUUUGUAAAGCAAAGAAAUUAAAGCUAAGUAAUCAAAGUUAACAAUUGGAGGAGGUUUGUUCAUACGUGUAAGCAUUGUUCAUCUCAUCAGGUAAUUCGUAGUUUUACAGAUAAAUAUAAUGUUAAAAAAGGAAUCGAGUAAUUUCAUGCAGAAUGGCAUUACUAUCAGAAAAACCCUGCAUUCAUCUAACCAACCCACAACAUCAUUUCUCUAUGUAACCCAUGUCCAAUAUAAGACUAUUACAAAACUAACUUCAGGACUUACAUGCAAAAUAUCUAAUAAUAUGCAAUGGUACAAGAUAGAAUUAACAUCUGAGAUCUGCUCUGUUACAAAUAAGUUUCUGUUUCACAGCCAUGACUAGAAAUGUCACCAUCUAAACCAUCAAGUAGAGCCGAAAGAAAGGAAGCAAAAUUGUACAGAUUACCUUCAUUGUACGCCUCGUGUAGCUUCCUGUUGUCCUCCUCAAGCCGUGAGAUCGAGAGUUCUGUUGCAUUCUUCUUUGUCUCCAAAUCCUGCAAGUAUCGGUUCUUUUCCUCUAUCUGAGAUGCCAGUCUUGCAACCAUCUCCCCUGACUUCUCUAACUCAGUUUUGGAGACCUCAUCUAUUGUUUUCAGGAUGGUACGCUUCCUCAAGAACCUUCCCACCACAGUCCCUCCAUUGUAAUCCCCCUCUCGGGCAACCCACCCAUAAACCUUUACCUCACCUUCGCCACCCUCCCCCUCUGCAGCACCUAGACCACUAUUCCUAGUCUCAAAUUCCUUCUUCCCCAGCUUAUUCACACUAAAAUGGUUCUCUAGCGUAAGCGCAUCAUUAAAUCCACUCCAAUCAUUGGUAAACCUCACGAUUGCAAAGGUUUCCAUGCCUUCUAUCUCAUCGAUAAACAAAGGCACAACCUCAACAAAACUAAACAUGGCUACUCUACCAGCAAACUCCUCAGCAUUGAACCCUGCACCGGCUGCAAGAACACAAGCCCAUGGCCAAGCAUACCUCUCAACCUCCCGUGGCGGCCCCACGUUCUCCGCCGGCGCAGAACUGGAUCCCGUAGGACCAACAUUGGCUUUCGCCUCCGCGGUGGCACUUCCACUGCCAUUGGCGUUAGCAGGGGCGGGCUUAAUGGCACCGAGGAUGCCAGUGAUACCGACAAGGUCUUCCGCGAAGGACGGAUCGGUGCGGACAAAGCGGGCGAAGGCGCGGUGAGACGCGCGCUCGCGGCCGUGGCGGCAGUGCUUGCUGGAGACGCCGAUGCCGUCGGCGUGCUGGAGGAGGUCCUUGAUCUUGUACCCCUGCUUCUUCUUGCCGGGGCAGAAGGGGCAGCGGAAGGUGCCGUCCGGGUUGCGCACCCGGUGCUUGCCGGAUGUGAGGAGGCGGAAGGAUUGCUCCUCGUAGUCGCUCUCCGCGUCCGAGUCGUCCUCGGAGUCGUCGUCGGAGUCCUCGGAUUUGGGGUCCGCUAAUCCGGCGGCCUCCGCGGCGGCCUCGGCCUCGGCCUCCUCGUAGGGGUCGAUGUAGUCGUCCAUGUCAAGAUCCAUCCCCGGAGCUCAGGGAUUCAACAGAGACGAUUCCUGAACGCAAAUACAGCGGUUAUUGAUCGAAAUUUUACAGGAACGACGCGAUUUUUCUCCCCAAAUGUUCUUCGAUCCAAACAUACUACGAAAGAGGAACCGAAAGGACUCACCUUCCCCCGAACUGGAGCACGAUCGCUCCAAAUGGCAGCGAAACUGGAUGAAAUUGGGGGGAGAAACCCCCGCCCUAUAUAAAGCCCGGGCGAAAUCGCGUUCUCACGCACCACGAUUGAACGCAACGACGCCGCCCUCGCUGGAUUUAUGGUGGCAUGGCGGAAAUCGGCGAGAAAGGCAACAGCUUUACUGGGCAAGGAUUAACACCUGCAUUCCAUUCCAGUCCUGGGGUUUUGGGGGCGGCGCACGGGAGAGAUGCCACUGGUACGGGGUGGGACGAUGAUAUGUGGGGUCCAUUUCAGCCCGUCGACGGUGGCCGGGACCACGUGUCAGGGACUCUGACACUUUGACUCCUUUGGGAAGCGUUACGUGGGCCCGAGUUCAUCCGGCUCAUUAACUUUAGGUCAUCUCAAGAUGUUUUUCCUUUUUUUUCUCGUUUCACUGUUGAAAUCCCACCCACCUCCAUCUAAAGGAAAUAUUGAAAUUUCUAGGAAAAUAGUUAAUUUGGUUAAUGCAUUAAUGAUGGAAUAAAAAGUUUCCCCUUUUUUCAUAGAGCGUAUAAUUCGUUGACAGAAGAGUUUGAUACUAAGAUUUGGAGAAAAUUUACAGCAGAGGUACAGCAAAAGAUUUCAUUUGAUCUUCCCAUUUAACAUAUGGUUAAAAGGCAACGCAUGUAGAUUUUCUCCCUUCUCUAGUUGGAUGGAAUUCACGCUUAUAGCGUAAAGAGUAAUAGUUAAAUAGGCUUGUAAACAAACUAGGUGUCAUUUGGUAAAUUUAAUAAAAAAAACAGCACACUGCACAUACCCUACUGGCACGAGUAAAUAAUCUUUCUGUAUAUAUGCAUGACACAGGUAAUAAGUAAAUAAGCUUGUAUACAAAGAUAGUAAUAGUUAAACAAGAUUCUAUAGGAACCAACUGUCAUGUCUAUAUUAUACUAUUAUUAUUUUGUACAUGACAAAAGGUAAUAAUUAAAUAAGACUGUCUAUAAACCAACUGUCAAUUCCUAAGUAUAUAUGCUACUAUUACUCGGUACAUGAAAAAGAGUAAUAACUAAAUACAAUUGUAUCAAACCAACUGUCAUAUCUCUGUAUGAUACAAGGUAAAUCAAAUACAAACCAAUUAUUAAUUCAUACAUAUUAUUAUUACUCUGGACAACAUAAAAGGCAAUAUUAAAUAAAAUUGUUUACUACACAACUGUCAUUUCAAAAUAUUGCUAUUAUUCUUUACAAGAUAAAAAGGUAACGGUUAAUUCAGCUUAAUGCAUACCAAUCGUAAUUUCUUCAGUAAAUUCAAAUUAAAAUCAGCACAAACAUAUAAAUAAUCCAUGUUUUAAGUGCAUAGGUUGGUGCUUGAAUCUAGAUCGAUGAAAAGAAAUGAUCUUAACAAUUUUGCAAGCAAAAUUAAAAAUAGAAAGAAAUUCAGUGGUUUUUCUUACUCUUAUAUCCUUUCCCACAAGUUGGUUCAUCUUGAACGGUUGUUGCGGCAUCUUCCACUCCAUGAUCCUUCAAUGAGAUUAUCAUUAUGGCACCCAUGAACUAGACUCGAGUCAACAAUGUCUCAAGGAUUAGAGAGAACCUUGGGGAUUCCAUGGACGUUGGGGUGGCAACUGUGGUGGAGCAGUGACACAAGGAAUGGUUAGCUACAGAUCUAUCUAGCAUGUCUUAUCGACUUAUCGUCGAAGAGCGGUGCAGGGCAGUAUGCUGGUUCGUCAUAGAUAGCAAAGGUCCAUUGUCGCAAUAAGUAAGGCAAAAGGAAGAGGGAGAGGUGUGCGGCCAUGUCAGGUUGAGGACAAUAGGCAUGGCGAUGAUUAAAAAAAAGGGGGUGGCAGUAUGUGGAAUGCUACAAGAGGAGGGUGCUCUAUCCGCCAGAGAAGCAUGGUUGGUUCUACGCAAAUGAUAGGAAGGGGCGGCGGUGUGUGGGAGCAUUGUAGUGGCCCGACCAAGAUGAAGGAGAAAGCGCGGUCUGCAGUCAUGUUGGGGUUGAGGACGAUAGGCAUGGCGAUGAUAAAAAGGAGCGGCGGGCGGCGGCGCAUGGGACGGUACAAGAGGAGCGUACUCGAGCUCUUAGGGUUUUGAUUGUUGCAAUAUCUACAACAGUCGGGGCAUAAAUCAAGGGUCAAGAUCCUUGAUUUAGAUAUAGAAAGAAUGAAAAUACCCUCAACCGACAUCCGACGCUACAGAACCAUCGAACGGUUCACAUUGCUGCCAUUUUGCACUGCAACAUAUGGCCCCGUAACACAUGAGAAGAAUGGGUAUUGAGUCGGAUGGUUGGGAAAUACUCAAGGAUUGAAAUGUGGGAGCAAGAUUGUCAAGAGAAAUUACAAAUCACCAAUUUUCGAAUUUCUUAUCGAGUCAAAAUUGUUAGUUCGUUCGGACGGCGUUCGGACGGUUCUCGGGUACAUGUAGUAGAACAGAGGAUUUAUCCCAAUUCCCAUGGUACAUUAUCAAAUUUUGCAGAUCAGAACCGGAAAAGGAGUCAGUUGUCUGCUCGAGUCAUCUUCCUUAGGCAAAAGAGAGUACAACAUUUUUGUGAUUGGUUUUACGAAGAGAGGCUUUAUGGCAUGCCGGAUCCUUGCUCUCUUGGUCUUUUUUUUCUUGCACCAGGCUUACUCUACCUUAGUCCCUGGGCUAAACUUUAAGCCAUGCUAAAGUUUAGCCCCCUUAAAUGGAGGGUUAAAGUUUAGCCCCCUUGGGCUGUUUGAAAAUUAGGCUAAACUUUAGCACCUAGGUUUACAAAAGACUCAUUUACCCCCACUUCCUUCCUUCCUCCUAUCUCUUCUUCUCUCUCUUCCCCUUCUCUCGCUCUUCUCCCCACCUCCCCCAGCCGCGCCAGCCUCCUCGCACGCCGGCGGCCCUGCGCCCACCCGGCCUCCGCGCCCCUAGCUGCCCUCCCUCCCCCGCUGGGAGCCAGUGGCCACGCGGCCAAGCUCCCCUCCCUCCCUGCAUCGGCAGCCGGUGGCUGUGCCCGCGUGCCCAAGCUCACGUUACUCCCCGCGCCGGGAGCUGGCGGCCGCGUCCCAGCCUCCUUCCUCCCUGCGUCGCGCUCGACUCCCCGCACACCAGAAGGUCGCUUCACUCCACUCCACCCCGCCUCCCCUCUGCAUGCUCCGAUGGUGGCUCGAGGUCCGACGAAAGCCUAAGGCAGAGCCCCGCGCGGCACAACCGAGCUGCGGUGGGCGAGCAAUGGCAGAGCCCCAUGCAGCAGCACGAGCUCCGACGAGCGCCGGACCUCUCGCUAAGCCGGUAGCCGCGAGCUCUUCCGCGUGCCACGGCGCUAGGCCGGAGGCCAUGAGCACGCAGCCGGCCGCCCCGGAUCCAGCGUCAGGGGCGCCGCCAAAGAACUCGGCCGAGGCGGAGGCGGAGGCGGAGGCAAGAGGAGGGCGGCGGGGGCGAGGUUGGGCGGCAGAGGCGGCGGGGCCGGCCGGAGGCGGCUUGGCCGGCGAGGUGGAGGCGAGUGCAGUGCGGAGGAGAGAGAGGGGGGUGCGGGAGGGCAACCAGGGAAAGAUGGUCCUUGGAACCACUUUUAACACCCAUUAGCCCAUUUUAGCACCCCUUAAGGGGCUAAAGGAAAAGGGGGGCUAAAGUUUAGCACCCCUCCUUUAGCCUAAAAUGGGGCUAAAAGAGGCGGGCUAAACUUUAGGCCCCCCCUCCAAACAGGGCUUAACUCAACUUUGAGAAUGCCAGACAUAAAUUUUACCUAUUUUAGUUUAGGGCACUAGUUUUGAGGUCCGAUAAACCGUUUCGAGCACUAUAGAGUCCUGCCACCUCUUCACACUAUACCUCCAUACGACCCCUACACACUCCAGAGCUCAUUACCCGUGGCUAGCCUCUUCAUGGCGUGCUCCACUUUAAUAACUCCCUCCCAAACGAGUGGCUUGCCGUCUCCCUCAUCUUUGUGCUAACACAUGACUUCCUGAUAUGCACCCUGUGCUUGGGUCGUGACAUGGAGUUCAUCCUUAUCUAGGUGGGCUUCGCACUCCUGCAUUAGCUCGACCCAGUAUAUGCCCACAACCACAUCUUCAUCUUUCACGACGAGCUCCACGUCCUACCACCCUUCCUCUUUCCUAAGAUGUUGUUCGUAAAGGUCAUGCUUACCAACAUCUAUGACACCUGCAGCCCCGACACCAUCCAUGCUAUUACAAAGCUACACCGACGGGCUGUCCAAGUGGGAGGAAGAGAACCUCCACACGGUGCGCUUCGCACAAGGUGUUUUGAAAUGUUGGACUUUACAUGUUUUAAUGCCGCGGCAGUGAUUUGAGACUUUGUUUUAGCAGUUGGUUUUGCAUGUUAGUUUUAGGAACUUUUGAUGUCGCAGUAGAUAUAUUUUUGUUGCUGCAAAAGGUGAUUUGAGGCGCAUGGAAUUUUACAUGUUUCGAUGUUGUAAGGAUGAUUUGAGUCUUUCAAGUUGGCUUUGGGUGUUGAUUUUAGCAAAUUUUCAAUAUUGCAGAAGAUAAUUGUGAAGGUUUUUACUGCAAUAUGUGUCUUUAGAAGUUGGGUCUUACACCCUCCGUCCCAAAUUACUAUUCGUUUUGACUUUUCUAAAUAUGUAACCUUUAAGAUUAUAUCUACGUACAUAAUAAAAGUUAUGUACGUAGAAAAGUUAAAACGAAUAGUAAUUUGGGACAGAAGGAGUACGUGUUUUGGUUUGCAACGGAGAGUAUUUUAGCAGUUGAUUUUGGGGGUACAUGUUGGCCUCGUAAUGAUUUGAUAUUGCAAUAUACGUAGGAACAAAUAUUUGCGGGAGCAGCUCGCAACCGGAGCAGCAAUACGCUCCACUGCCGUUGGGCAGCUCGCCGUUGGGUAGCUCAUGGACCUCACUCGGACGCUGGAAGGUUUUCUUCUGCUUUUGCUUUUGGAUCGCGACGGGAGUAGGGUGCAGACGUUUUUUUAUUUAUUUAAUGGUUAAAUCGGUGCGUCAGACGUUCAGGAGCUAGCGAGACCAUAAAAAAAUCUAAAGAUAUUUCAUACUGAAAUGAAAAUAUUUUAUUAAUAAGGUACUAUUGUGUUCCUUUUUAUUGAUUUUUUCCCUGUACGGGACCAAACUCUUUUUUUUUUCCGAAACUCUACGGGACCAAACUCCAACGGCUCAACCCCAACAAUUUACAUUGUGCCACACGGUAGUAGUUCACGGCUUGACAACACUGUCACCUUUCACUGACCAGAUGCUGGUGCAAAUCACACCUCGACCAGAGAACACGGCAAAAAAUUAGCACGCAGCGGCUUCGAGCCUUCGAGCGAUCGACCGAGACGACCAAUGCACGGACGCUCGCUCACCAGACGGGCAGCAGGUAGCAGAACUCGGCGUCGUACGGCUCGACCUCCACCAUCUUGGCCGCCGGCGCCGGAGUCCCCACCGUGCCCCUGCCGCCGCCGCUAGCGCCCAGGACCUCCCUGAUGGCCCGCCGGAGCGGGCCCGACGCCCGGGGCAGCUGGCUGUGCACCCACUCCAGCAGGGACGCGUCGUCGUCGGCGAAGUCCCGCAUGUGCCAGUGCAGCAGCUUGGGCACCACGACGGCGCGCUGCCUCCGGCCGCCGGCGACGCGCACCGCCGCCUCCAGGUACUCCACCUUGGCGCGCUCCAGCUCGUUCGACACGUCCUCCGCCGUGUACACGCGCAGCUGCAGCGGCCGCGCACGUGAGGUCAGUGUCAGUCUGUGGAGCAGAGAAAAAAAAAUGCCAGUAUGUAGGAGGAGCUCUGGCAGUGACUGAUCGGCAUACGCACCGCCGGCGAGGAGCGGCUGCCUCUGCACAGCGCGAAGACGACGUUGGGUUCAGGGUACCCGAGGCCGUACAAGUGCAGAAGAUCCCUCUGUCCUUCGUCCAUGAUCCCCUUAUCAUCAUCAUCAGAAUAUCAGAUAACCUUGUUGUUAAGAAUUUAAUGAAGGGAAAUGAUGUAGUAGCAUCCUAUUCCUGCAAGAAAGUUUAUGGUUGGAUGGUGUAAACCUAAUCUUGCAUACCUGCUUGCCUUCGGGAGAGUGCCUCAGGAUGAGGUGCUCGAUCGACAGGACAUUCAGCACUGUUCCUCCGACGUUCACUGAAGCCUGAAUGCCAGUUUCUGUUAGCAAUGUGCGUAAAGAUGACGGAAUUCGAUCUGAAUCAUCAAAUUUUUUGUCAGCAAUGUGGAAAGAAACGCUACACCUGAUUCAGCAGCGCAACAAGCUUUUCCGGGGAUGGAGGUAAACCGUGCUGAAGAAACGCCUGAAAUCAUGCCGGAAUAACCUGUCCUGAAUCAGCAUUGUUGCUUUCGAGCAAUUGUUCUAUGCCUGGAGAUGCAAUUAAAGGGCAGCUUACAGUACAUGCAUCACGCAGAAGUUGUAGAUGUUGAUCCAGAACGCCAGCUUCUGCUUGUUCGUCAGAAGGCUCGGAUCGGCGGUGCAAAGCUUUUGCAUCAAUCCCCUGUAAGAGAACGCACACGCAAAACAAACGCUAUCAUUCAGACCUGAAGCUUCCCCUGACCGUUGAACAACAACACGCCCAAACGGGAAGCCUCACCUCAGGUUCUUGAUGUCGACGAGGCACAGCGAUAUGCGGCUGACGUCGACGGACGCCCUCGUGAACUCGACGAACCUCCUGUGGCACCCGGCACCGGCAGCGGCAGUCUCCUUAUCCGCGCCAUGUCCGGCCUUCGCCGUCGCCGACGCCCUCCGGUUCUUGAGCGGGCUCAUCGCGGCGGCGGCGCCGGUCACGGCGACCCUGGGGACGAGGCUCCGAGGCCCGAUGCAGGAGAUGUUGAGCUUCGACGCGCCGCCCAGCUCCAGCUCCCCCGCGUCCCCCGCCUUGUUCAGCUUUUGGAAGAUGGUCACCAUCAGCCUGAUCAGCUCCUCCGACAGCUUGUUCGGGCUGCUCAGGCAGACCUUCCUCUCCGGAGGCGUCGGCGUCGUCUCCGACGGCUUGCAGUGGCUGCUUCUCCUUGCAGUGACAUGCUCCAUUUCAUCUCCUAAUUAAAAUAUCAUGAUGAUCAAGCAGCAACAAAAAAAGAACAUAUGAACUCUGAACUCGCACGUGUUUUUGCUGAACAUUUCAUACCUUUGGCGGAGGCGGAUCCAACAGAAGCCUUGCUCUCGCAUUCGAGAGCUUCGUCGCUGCUUGGGCAGGGCAGCUUCGGCAGCUGCUGGGCACCCUGGAGCUGGAGCUCUCUCCUGGACACGGAGUGCCGGGGCUGGCGGCUCUGCGGCCAGCUCUGCUGCUGCUGCUGCUGGAUGCACUGGUCCGUCCACCUCUGCUCCCGGCGCAGGCGCAGCCGCAGGUCCUCGACCUUCUUCUCCAGGUAGAAUAUCUCGUCCUCCACCAUCGCCAGCUCCCCAAGCAGGCCCCUAACCUACAUACACCAGUGCGAACAAAGCAAGUGAAAAAUUCAUGUCAGUCAGCGAACACGUUCAGCAGACAGGCAUUUUGGUCAGGUUCCAGGCUUCCAGCCAUUGGCAUGAUGAGCACACAGAAGCACAGAGUUACCGACAGAAGAAGAAUUUUACAGCUGAUGCUGACAUGGUUAAAUACUUCGUGAGAUCGAUCGUACUGAUACCAUGCCAUGGAAGGCACUGAUCAUUGGUCAGCUAAUGGAGGUACAAUAAUGCAGGAUCCAAGGAAACCAGCAGAUCUGGUAGAUAAGAGGUAGGAGGCAGCGAUUGUCCGCAGGCGACUCGAAACGGCGACGCUCCAGAUCGGACACAGUACUUCCGCGUCCUUCGUUCAGAGGUCAGAGCCAGGUGACAUCGGAUGAGACAGGAACGGAGGCAGGAAUCCAAAGGACAUACUGUACCCGCACCUGGCGUUGCUCUCACACCCGGGGUACGGGGACCCUGAUGAGAUCUUGGGCCCGUGGAAUGGAGAUCAGGAAAAUGGCCGUGCUCUCUGUUACUGUUACUACUACUGCGUGCGUGAUGUUACCGUAGGUGAUCUUAUUGGGUGCAGGAUUUGCAGACAUCUGUACGAGGGUGACAGCGUCACGUGUGUGAUCUUUCAGUUCAGAUGCUGCGGUGAAGUGAAAUGCAUGCUAUGAUGGCAAUUCCUCUGCUGCUGCGGCUGCAGUGAUGGUACGCUGGCAAUCAUGCUUGUUCGUCGUCGUCCAGACUUCAGACUGAACAGCUUCAACUUUUUAAGCACAGCUCCAGACAUAUGCAAAGUGUGCCCUAUUGUAGUAUUGCUACAUAAUCUGAACUAUCAAGUGUAUCCUAUUGUAGUAUCGUUUACAGAUAAUGUAAGCUACCAACGGUAAUAAGGUAACAUGAAAGAAGAACAUAUCGGAAGCUGCAAGGCAGAAUUUGCUCGAAUGGUACUCGUGCGGACAUCAGUUCAAUCUACGGAUGGGGGAUGGCAAUAAUCCAUGAGCUUACACUGAGUGUCAGAUACUUAGACUGACGGAACUGAACAUUUAGCAGCCCAUCAAACAGAGAUGAUCGGACGAUCGGAAGGUGAGCAGAGAGGUACUCACAUUGGUGGGAACGAGUGUGGAGAGGCAGCAAUGGCAGACGACGCGCCCCUGCAGCGAGCACUGGAGGACCCUGCCCAGCCGCUGCUCCUUCUCCAGCACCGUCUCCAGCUCCGACACCUGCACACAGCAAAGGCCCACAGCGUUCAUCAGCUCUGAAACGUCGAGCGGCGGCGCUCGCCGAUCAUCCAUCGCGCGUGCACGCGCAUGUCAGUGUCAGUGCUCUGCAGCAGCCGGCCUGACCGACCUCGAACUCGAGCUCGAGGCGCUUCUCGCGCUGCUCCUCCCGGUCCAUGAGGAAGUACAUGAGCUUCAUCUUGCACCGGCGCACCCGCGGCCUUCUUAAACCCGCGGCGCCCGCGCCCGGCCUCCCCCGCCGCCGGUGCUGGAGCGAGGUGGGGUAACUCCUGGCGCCGCCGGCGGCGGCGGUGGGGCGUAAUGGCGUCGGCGAGCUCAUUUAUGCGUCUCCCCGUCAAGAAAAAGGAGGAGGCUGGUGGGAUGGAGGCGCGCGCGGUAGGCAACGGUGGCGGUGAAGCCGGGGGGACGCGUCGGCGUCGGCGUCGCGCGCGUCACGCUUCCCGUGCGGGCAACGGAAAUCUCUGGCCCAUGCGACGCAUGACCGGCUUAAAUUCACCAGCGGUUGACGCCAACGCUCGCUCGGGGAGGAGUUUGCUUGCUUACCGAGGGGCUGAGAAUUUAUGCCCGUGACGGGAUCUGUUACCGAGGAGACUUUGAUGAGGGGUCUCUCCUCUCCUCUCACAUUUUCUCUCUCGAUUUGUUAGGCCAGUCACAGCACAAUUUCAUUGCACAUUUACCUGAACUACGUAACUGUGCUAUAUAAAUUUUACUAGAACUCCUUCCUCGUUUGAUGAAACUUCCUCUAUUAAUUAUCUUACCAAGUCAGCAAUUUUGCUGAUGUGAUAUUAAAUUUAAUGCCAUAAAACUUCCCAUCGAGACUGGUCUUACUGUACCAAUAUUUUACUGUACCAAUAUUUUAGGCAAAAUUUGAACCUUGAAUAAUAUGGUUUGGUUUCCUAUUUCAUUCGUUAAAAACAUGAUAAUUCUGAAGUGACCGGCACUCUUUCUUUCUUUUUUUUUAACCCAACAAUUCCCAGGGUCAGUUUCCUUUUCAGAUUGUUGAAUUGUAUUGUGGAAAAGAUUGCAAAACAUAGUAUAGGUUCAAAAAUUCAAAAAAGCUAGCACUUCCCCCGUCAAAUGUAAGGCUUCAUGCAUCAUCACCCUAAUCUGAUCCUGCCAAUCAGCUCAAGGUACAGAUACUCUUUCAUUUCUCCGAAAGUGCAUUGGCUAGGGCAGCAUCGCUAAUCCCCUUAGAUGUGCCUACAAAAUGUUUUGUUUGAUCGGCCAAUAAUGAACGCAUCAUUCCAUCAUGGUACAAUUCUGACGCUGCGUCCCAAUCAUCGCAGGCGUGGAAAAGAAUCCUAGUCCUAGGACAGUGUAGGGUUUCAUACCAAUACUGUUAUGUCAUCAAUGAAAUCAAAUUAUCACUUUCAGAACACAGUUUCAUAGAUAACCUGCGAGCGAUGAAACUAUAACAUUCUAGUUUCAUAAGGAUAAAACUCCCCUUUCAUCUCUCCUCAUAAUUAGAUUGCCAAGUCAGCAAAACGGCUGAUAUAACAGAUUUGGACGGUUUCAUGAGGAUAAAACUCCCCUUUCAUCUCUCAUUGCCAUCUCUCCUCAUAAUUAGAUUGACAAAUUGCCAAGUCAGCAAAAUUGCUGAUAUAACAGAUUUAAUGCCCAUGAAACCUAGAAUUUAAUACCAUAAAACCCCACUGAAACUAACCUUUAAGGCUGGUGAAACGAUGAGCGUGGCCUUAGUGAAACGAUGAGCGUGCCAUACAACUGCUUUGCUGCCUCCGUGCAAAGAUUAGCUGACCCGUUGCAUUCACAGGCCCGGCUAAUCCGCCCUCAUUAAACACAAAAGACACAGAUAAUGCAAAGUUCCAAACGGAGUCACUACUAACGUGGCCAGAGCAUUUGGCUGGAUAGCCGGCAUCCACCCAACAACAUUAGGAUAAUGCAAUCAAAACAAGCCUAACGAUUCAGCAACCUAAAGGUCCAUGUAGAAAAACAGCAUCGAAUCUGGUGUAAUGUGACUCACCACAAAAGGGGGCUAACAAAAAAAAACCAUUAUUGAUAUGUCCAGAGGUAGUAAACAUUAUUAGCAAGCUCAAGCUGUGGCCUCAGAAAAAGCUACAUAGCACAGAAAACAAUUCUGUUCCUGUUCAGCGGAUCUCCGCGUCAGGGGUGGAAGGGUCGGGGACACAUCUUAGGCGGACUUCACGGUGGCCGAGUUGAUGAUGUCGAUGAACUCAGGCUGCAGACAAGAUAGGGGAUAAGAAACAGUCAGUAACAGAGGAUGUUGAUAAGGCCAGACACCAUCAUUUUGUUGCAGUCUUUGGUUUACAAAUUAACAGGACAUCAGCUGUCUUCCAGGAUUUUUCGUUACCUUCAAAGAAGCACCACCGACGAGGAAACCGUCAACAUCGGGCUUUGCUGCCAGCUCUUUGCAGUUUGCAGCAGUCACAGAGCCUGUAGGAAGAAGAGCACAAAUAAUCAUGUACCAAAAAGAUUUAGCAGCUGGUGCACAUUUGUAAGGCAACUGCUCGAGAAGUGUAUACCUCCGUAGAUGAUCCUGGUAGAUUCGGACACCUCAGGGCUGACGUUGAUCUUUAGCCAAUCUCUCAGGGAUGCGUGCACCUGCAAAGAUAAUGCAAAUCUGAGUGUUUGUGCGACGUUGUAGUAGAUGAAGAUAUUUAUAAUUGCAAGAGCAUAGCCCAAUGUUGAAAAAUGUAUGAACCAGUAGAGAGUUGUGAGAGUUAAGAGAGACUUACUUCCUGAGCCUGAUCAGGGGUGGCAACUUUACCAGUUCCAAUGGCCCAGACUGGCUCGUAGGCAACAACCACGUUGCUCCAGUCCUUGAUCUUCUCUGUAAAACAAACAAGCAUUACAUCCUUUCAGCCUGAAUUUCCACAUGGCACCAAUAUUUUUAACUUGGCAAAUUGAAGAUAAGGCACAAAGUUAACAUGAAAUAAACAAUCCAGGCAAAAAUAAACACGUAAUCCUUCCAAUCAACAGGGGGGCACAGGAACCAAUUUCUGAACUACAGCUGCUAGAGAAAAACAGUAAUGCCUGAACUAGAAGAGUACAUUUUCUAACCAAACUGAACGCCGGGAUCUAAUUAGCGUAAAACAAGAUUAGAAACGAAGUGUUUAUCAUAAGAUGUAUGGCUACCUUUUUUAUAAUUUUGAAGUUCUAUAUGCCUGGGAGAUAGACAUAAAAGUAUUUGGAUAUAAUCAAUCAACAAUCCACAUGAAAAACACUAACAGUGAAUACAUAAAAAAGAGAGUAUGCACAAUCACAGGACUGAAUGUAAAUGUGAAGUACCAGCAAUUGCUUUUGUUUGUGCAGCAACAACAUCCAUGGUCGAUCCAGCUUCCCUCUGCUCAAGGGUCUCACCAACACAUGCAAUGACCUUUAGUCCCUGAGAGAGUGCAUAGGCGACUUUGUCUCCAACAAACUGGCAUCCAAGCAGAAGAUUGAACCAUUAGAUGUGAACAUUCUUAGAACAGGUGCAUCAAUAAUCAAAUAUAUCGCAGAUUCAUGUCUAAGGGAAGGAUUAAAGAAGAAUAACUGAACAAGUCUCAGCUCAGUAACUGUAACAUAGUCCGAUUGGCAAUAUGCAUAACAGCACAACCACAAUGCAAAUGACACGAAAGACAUGCUGAAUUUGAACUGGAGCAUACCUCAUUUGAUUCUCCCAACAGAGCUCUCCUUUCAGAGUGUCCAAGAAUGACCCAGGGAACGCCAAGGUUGACGAGCAUCUCAGCACUGCAUCAAUAAUGGCUUGCUUAUCAACCAACACAAAAAUUGAAUGAGGAAUGCACCGAAGCGCAAUGUACAAACAGCUUAAUAAGGUUAUAUAUGCAAACUGCUUAACAUGGCAUCAGCAGUAUGAAAAUAACUAAAAUUGAGUGAAAGCCUGAAAGGUGAAUUCAAAAGACUCCAUGCAUUAAUGGUCAAAGGAACAUGAGCCUUGUGCUUGUGUAAACGCUGCAUGAAUUUGCAUUUCAGAUUCAACAUUAAUCCUUCCUCACAAGGGCUAUACAACAUAUGGGGUGGACAGCCAGGAGAGAAUUAGAGACUAACCUGACUUCACCAGUGAAAGCACCUCCCUUCUUCACCCAGCAGUUCUGAGCAGCAACUUGGAACUCUGGGCGGAGCUGACUCUUGACCACAGGAAGGAACACAUAAGGAGGGCUGACAACAACCUCUGCAAUGCAACAAUUCCAAAUAGCUAAGUACAUCAUACAAGUAAAAUUUCUCAGAAGUACCACAAAUCUGCGAUGUUCAAGGUCACCCCUAAAAGGGAAGAGUCCAUACCAACAACAUCUGGAGGGGGAACCUGCCCUUCAUUCAGAGUUUUGACAAUCUUGUCAACCUGAUCGGCGGUUCCAUUCUGCAAGCAUGAAGAUCGACCAUGUCAAUAAUCAGUUAACAAGCAAUUCACUAGAUAUGCAUGUCAUUUGUAUGAGAAAUUUGGCAAAGCAACAGGCUCUUUCACUACCAACCGAUUUGCAAAAGAAGCUCCAAUCUAAGCUCAAAUUUACCGAGUUUCAUCACAAGAAAAUCCAUAAUUUACGAGCUCCAUCACAAAAACAAUAAAGGUUCAAGUCGCUAUAUCUAUAACAAGCAUUGCACGAUCUUAUAACGAUACAGUGAGGAAUAGUAUGUAAAUUGGGGGCUGAUCUGCGUGGCAGAUGAAUAUGGAUCUCCAGAAGUUGGCAGAUCGAACUUCUAACCGCUCCUGGAAACAUGCAUCACACAAGGUUUUAACGGUUUGUUCUGAGCACGAAGCACAGGCGGGUUGCAAGAAUCACGCAGGCACUUUUCAGCUAGGUCCAAACAUACAAAGACCAUCAACAUCACGUUGUCUGAUUCCGUACGAGAAUGACUAAAUCAGUUGUAUUCCUGGCCGGAUCUUAAGAGAUAGCACCUGGAGCAACACAUCCAGUCUUCCCAAACAAGACAGAACAAAAAAAAAUAUCCAUACGUCGAUCUAAAUCGAGAUGGGUAGAAUUCACUAGCAAUUUCCGCCCUCGAAUCCCCCAAAAUCACUAGCUCAACCGCAAACAGAACGCGAAAAGGGAUCAGAAAAGAAAUCCAAAAGCUUCCCACCCGAUCCACGACGAGAAAAACAGGCAGGUAGGAGGGGAAGAGCGAUUACGCAUUUCCAGUUGCCACCGACGAAGAACUUGCGGCCCAUCUCGACGAGGUGUUGGGUUCGGAAGGAAGAGGAUGGCUGGAUGGGGACUUGGGGAGCUUCUAGGUUGGAUUUUGCUUCUUGUGGAGGAAGACCGGAAGAGACAGGAUGGAUGGAUAAUAUAAGGCGGGGCGAGGUGUGUGGCCUCUGAUGUGAUCACAUGAGGCCGGCCGGCCAGGACUCACGAUGACAUGUGGACCCCGCAGCCACCAUCGAGUUUUUCUAGAGCUUUUUCCCCCUAAAAAAAUGUCUUGGUAUCUUUAGGCAAAAGCUAAAUUGUUACGUGUACCAAGGAAGCUUACUCGAAUCUUUGCUUAUGGAUGGCUCGUAUGAUUGCCUCAAGCUCCAAGCUGAUGUUACAAUAUCUCUAAAAAUAGCUGGAAGUAUCCUAAUUCGCCACCAUCUUUUUUAUAUAAGGCAAACAUAUCAAAAGUUCUCCAAGUUCCUAUGCAGCUUGGAAUAAAUUAAACCAAACUAUAGUUUAGCACAUUGUUAAAGCUUGUAAGAGGUUAGUAUAAAGUAGAAACGUUUUAUUUCAAAAAAAAGAAAGUAAAAAAACGUCAUGUUCGUAUGCUCAUCUGCUGCGCGCAUAAACGAAUUCUGGCGGUGGCCUUAGCUAGGUUGGCCACAGGGGACGCGGCUGCAGACGAUCCCACGGUUGCGGGUGGUAUUGUGGGCACCUGGCACAGCAGCGCGGAACAAGGGGCGGCGAAGCAGCGGCGGAUGCGGAUGGCAUGGCAUCGCGCUCGUGCGUGCGUCAUACGUGGCUGCUGCUGAAUCGAUGCGCAUCUCCGCCUCGGUGAUUCCGCUUUCCGGCUUUUGCCCGUGCUGCCUCCUCCUCCUCCUCCUCCUUUUGGUUCCUCGCCUUCAAUAUAGGCCCACUCGCUCCGGAACGGGCCACAGGUCGGCAGGUCCCAUCUCAGCAGAUUCGGCCCGUUUUAGAGACCCAGCAAAAUGAUUCGUUAAUAUUAAGUAUGAUUGAUGAAGUACGGAGUAAGUUUCUAUUUUAAUCGAGAAAGUUGCCCGGCAAAAUUUGUAAAAUUCUCACGGUGAAGGUGCGAGAUUUAUAAAUCACACCCCUCCUAAGACUACAAGAUGGACGAUUUGACAUAGAAUUCGGUUCAACGCGGUACAAAUUUCUACGGCACAUGGGCCUACACCAUCUUGCUGCUAUAUAUCACAUCGAUUUCUUUAUAAUAUUUUUUUAUCUCACUUCAAACUUAUAUAAAAAAGAUUAUAGCAUCAUUGACUUUUUAAACAAACUUUGAACAACAAUAUUUAUUUAAUGAAUUAGUUUAAUAAAGCAAAGUAAGUACCACAAUGCCUAUUAUAAAAAAAAUGUAGAUUUAACUUAUAAAUUCAUCUAUUUGCAUAACUAUUUGUAGAAAAGAUUAAUAGUCAAAUAAAUAAAAAAAAUUAAUGGUGUGCUAUGAAACUAUGCAUUGAGAUUGGUCAAACUAAUAAUGAAUGAUUAACAUCUUUGCUACGCAAUGGUCAACUGGUUGAUAGGAAAAUAAAGAGAGGGGCUGCGUGCUUUAAAACUUGUAGAAGAAAUAGCAGGAGUGAGCACAACAACUCAUCGCUGACCACCAACUCUCUUUGCCAUUGGCGCCUUCGCCUUUCUUUCCAGGUAGCGUUCGUUAUGAUGAUGGUUACAUCCGCACUCGCUACCAUGAUUUAGGCAUCUCUUAGCUUUGUCGACGUUUCCUUCUAGAACUCAAUGGCAAUUGGUCUUAAAAACUGAUGAUAUGAUAGGACGUGUGCCUCGCCGUCCUACCGUAACCACGAAAUUUUAAAGACGACUGGACGCGGGUGAGCAAUCCUCUUGUCAUUGUUUUGUUGUCCGCAGGAAAGGAGUUAGUAGCAGCUAGCUUUUCGUCAAGGUUGGCAAGACCGGCUGCGUAGCUCCGUCCUUAAUUAGUUACCACGUGAAUAGCAUGUUUUUAUAUAUGCUUUAUUAAUUGGUAGCUCCAUCAAUAACUACCGGUAUUUCAUCACUUCCAAGAUUCAAUGGGUUUUGCUUACCGCUUUUUUUUCCAUUAAACCAUCCUGUCAACACUAGUUAUGCAAUGUAAUUCGCAUGGUUGCAGUAGGGUCUGUUUGGAUGUGUUAUUGCUAAAGUUUAGUAUUUUCAUCCAUUAGUACUCCCGUUCGAAGACAUGGCUAAUGGAUGGAGCUAAAGUUCAUGAAAAGUCACUUUUGCCCUUUUAUCUACUCACCUCCUCCCUUUCUCUCUCCCUUUUUGUUUUUUCACAAGCUAUUAACACCCAUUAGCUUCUCCCCACCCGUUAAUGCUUUUGCAAUUUUUUGAAGAUGGGCUAAAGUUUGGAUAGGCUAAUGCAUAAAGAGGUUAACUUUCGUCCAUUAAACACGCCUAUAAUCAAAAGUUGCUUCUUCUUUUUUACUGGCUUUUGACCAUCAUGCGAUGAGUGAUGCCGUGGCGGUUGCGGGGUGUUUUGAUGAGUGAUGCCGUGGUGGUUGUCCUUAGGGGGUGUUUGGAUACUAGGUGCUAAACUUUAGCAGCGUCACAUCGGAUGUUCGGAUGCUAAUUAGGAGUACUAAACAUGAGCUAAUUAUAAAACUAACUGCAGAACCCCUGUGCUAAUUUGCGAGACGAAUCUAUUAAGCCUAAUUAAUCCAUCAUUAGCAAAUGGUUACUGUAGCACCACAUUGUCAAAUCAUGGACUAAUUAGGCUUAAUAGAUUCGUCUCGUGAAUUAGACUCCAUCCGUGCAAUUAGUUUUGUAAUUAGCCUACAUUUAAUACUUCUAAUUAGCAUCCAAAAUACCCGAUGGGAUAGGUGCUUAUUCAAACGGGCCUUAGUUAUCACGUGAGCAGCUAUACCAGCCUUCCACCAAACUAAGGUCACCCGGUGGUCCACAUCCACAUGUUAUUUACAGAAAGGUUAAUAUCAUCGACCGUGACCUGAAUGAAGCCUUAAGGAGAAGGUUCUCCAUGCCGGGACGAGUCAUCGCCCUCCGUGGCACGCAGUGCGAUCUCUCUGGUUGCUGCUAGUCAUGAAACAGGCGAUGUUUCAGAGAUCUCAGGAUUUUCAGACACGACGUCGUGUUUCUUCCUUUUUCAUGUCAGUCAGAGUCGGGCACUCAGGCCUACACGAGUCACCGACCAUUUUUUCAUCAGCUGCUAGGCUAUUUUUCUUCACCGAGGAACAGACCACAUGUCCGGCCAACGAAGGUUCAUCGCGUCCUUUGAUUGGUGACGGUAGAGCUCUCGCGCCUCUCCCGUUGACGUCUGGUGAUUCUGUCUGCCACACAUCUUAUCUGACAUUCUACAAUCGUUCAAAGAUCUCACGCAUCCAUGAGUAAGGUUUGGGGAUGAUGUUGCAUCCGGAAAUUUGACGACCGCGAGUGGUAUGGUAAUAAAUACACGGACUGAGCUUGAUCAACGUAGCUUACUCCACAUGUAUACGUACACUAUAUACACUAUAUCUAGAUGCAUAAUAAUAUCUAUAAAACUAGAAAAGUCAAAAUGACCUAUAAUUUGGAACAACCAUCAAACUUAAGUGUCAAAAUUAAGGUUCUCGAUUCAUCGUCUAGCAUAAAAUUUGCUUAAACCCCGACCUGUUCUUUUUUUUACUGUUGCAACUUGUUCCACGGUGGAUAAAAUCGUUGGCGCAACUAUAUAAUGAUAGAUCCGAUUUGAACUUGAUUCGGAAACGCAACUAGGUUGGCUAAACAUUGAAAACUGCACUAUAAAUGUUGGCAAAGUAAUUUGUGUUGCCACGUCAACCUCGCGUGAGAUGGUCUGGAAUGUGCUUUUUAGGCUGACGCUCUACUCAACUUCUUAAUGAGGUUUAUUUCUUGUCGGGGACAUUUGUCGUGAUGCCUUCUCUUCCAUCUUAAGAGGAGUUUGGGUUGAAAGACCUUGUGCCAGCUUUCGGUCGGCGUUGACAGUGCUUGCGGAUGUUGUUUCCUUGCUGGAGGCAUCAUCGUUGUUACCCUUUCCCUAAGUUAGUUACCUGUUUUGUGUGAGUUGGCUGUCAACUGCAAGUGUAGUGGCUGCAGUUUCUUCCUUGUGGUGGUUUAUGGUUGUCGUGUGGGUGUGGGCUAAUGGUUGAUUCUGAUGACUUGUAAUUGUUGUUCUUUUAUUUCAUAUUCUCUAAAUUAAUCUGUGGGCUUCGUCUAAAAAAAUAAAAUUCAGCCGCGUCUAAAAAACUUUUUGCCAAAUUUCCUGUCGUAUCUCUUUUUUCCCUAAAAUUCUUCCGACGGGCCGGGCCGGGCGCGCCAUUUUUGGCUAAAGUUACCGCAGUGCCCCUUUUCCCCCAGUCGCAGGCUCGCGGCGCAGUGAGCCACACGCCCGCACAUCACGAUCGCUGCUAGCGGGCCCCGCUUUCAGUGACCGCACACCGAACGAACCCGCGCGUGGGACCCACCGCCCAGCGGUCGAACCACCCCUCCCUCUCUCUCUCUCAGCUUGCCGCGACGAUAAGCACGGCAAUCCAAUCCACCACGAAGCCGCCAUCCGCCAUUAGCCCUGCACCACCCCGUCACGCAAUAGGCAGGAGAGAGGUGGAAGAAAGAAAGAAAAAAAAACAGAAAGGAAAAACACCAGCUUACACGAAUCGUCUCGAGCCUCUCGGGUGAAGUUAUAAAUAACCCCCAUCGGGGCUAGGGUUGAGGAUUUUCUUUCUUCGCUUCUCGCGAAUCGCCGGACGAGCAGGGCAGCAGGCCGAAUCGGUUCGAGGUCUCCGCGGGAGGCUUCGCGGCGCGGGAUCUGCCGCGCAGGAGUUGACGGUGUGAUUCGGGAGGUGGGGUUUUGGCGGGCGGCGCCGGGUUCCCGGUUGGCCGAUUCGGGCGAGAGGCUGGGGCGCGGGGGCGGGCGAUCGGGCCACUGGAGCUGCACCCACUGGUUGCGGGCCAUGGCCGGGAUCGACGCCGGGGAGGGGGCGGCCGCCGCGCCGCCGGAGAUGUCGCCGGAGCAGCGCAUCGAGCAGGUGCGUCGCGUGUCCGCCUGGGGCCCCCUUCCUUCCCUCCCUCCCUCCCUCGUGUGUGAUCCUCACCCCAUCAUCGACCCCGUGCGGCGGUGGCUGCUUGCCGGGUGCCGUCGCCCCUCUGGUUCCUGGUCUCGUGAUUGGUUGGAAUCGGUUCGGCGGGUGAUUUGAGAUUUUACCGGUCGAUGGGCGCCGUGGGACUCGUUGCUGUCCGUUGGCGGUGGUGGUGGUGCUUGCGAUUUGCGAUUCCCUUCGAUGGUGCGAUGAUUGGUGUGUUUGCUGUGAGCCUGUGACAGGAACUGACUGGUGUAGGGAGUUUGGGGGUAGGUCCUGUUUUUUAGGGUGACGCAUAUUGGGAGAAUUUGAGAACAGGCCUUUUAAAAAUGUGUCAAUUUUUCAUACUCCGCGUAACUUCACUCUAGUUCUAUUUCCUUAUUAGUACCUUUGAAGAAUUUGUCUAUUUUUUAGUUGAUCCCUAAGAUAGGGAUGGGAGAUUCCUUCAGAACUGGGUGUGUUUCUCGACUGUGUUGAAGAUAAUCAGUUGUCUUGUUGCAGUUGCAGUGAUAUGAGUUUCACUUCAUGAUAAAUUUAAAUGAUCCAGCAGGGUCUUUUGUAAUUUGCUAAUUAUUUGGCAUUGCCCUCACCCUGCAGAAGCUCAUUCUCUAUGGAGUACCCGAAGAGCAACUGCAAGAACACCAAGAAGGCUUACUCAUGUACAUAGAGAAGCACAAAGAGCAGAUACCUGAUAUAGUGAGGCUGAUCUUGUCAGUAGGUACUGAUAUUCUGGAGGCCCGAAAGCCCUCAAAGAAGGAAUCAAGUAGCAGCAGCAGUGGCGAUGCGUACAGUGAGAGUUUGUCUUGGUUGCAGUGGUUGAUGUUCAACCAUGAGCCAGAAGCGAUGCUUCAAGACCUGGAUCGUUCCUCUGCAGGAGAUCGUGCUGUUUGUGGGUCAGUCUGGGGACAGAGUGAUCUUGCGUAUCGCUGCCGGACCUGUGAAAAUGACCCCACGUGUGCAAUUUGUGUCCCAUGCUUCCAGAAUGGCAAUCACAAGGAUCAUGAUUACUCCAUCAUGUAUACAGGGGGUGGAUGUUGUGACUGUGGAGAUGCUACCGCCUGGAAGCGUGAAGGGUUCUGCUCAAAGCAUAAAGGGGCCGAGCAGAUUAAGCCUCUUCCAGAGGAGCUUGCACAUUCUGUAGGACCUGUGCUGGAUGUGCUUUUGCAGUUCUGGAAGGAGUGGAUAUGCCUGGUGGAACCACCCCCUGCAAAGGGUGAUGGUAGUAGCUCAUGCAAGAGGGUUGCUGAAGAGUUGACAAUGUCAAUUACUAACAUGAUGCUUCAGUUCUGCACUUGCAGUGAAAGCCUUCUUAGUUUUCUGUCCCUAAGGAUCCGUGAGUGCCAAGAUCUGUUGGAUGCAUUAAUAAGGUCAGAAAGGUUGCUUGACAAGAAGGUUGCUAAAAAAUUGCAUGAGUUGCUAUUGAAACUUAUCAGCGAUCCUGCUUUUAAGUAUGAGUUUGCCAAGGUUUUUAUACGCUACUACCCUGUCACAUUUGGUGAAGUUAUCAAAGGGUGCAAUGAUUCGCUACUGGAGGAGUAUCCACUGAUGCCAACUUUCUCUGUGCAAAUAUUCACAGUACCUACACUAACUACAAGGCUUGUGCAUGAGGUUAAUUUGUUGGGUGUUCUUCUUGGAUGCUUGACAGAUCUGUUUCUUUCUUGCAUUGGUGAGGAUGGUCGUUUACAGGUAUGCUCAUGUCUUCUUUUUAUGAUUUGAAGAGUUUGAUGUUUAUGCUGAACUAUUUUCUGGUAUAAUGGAUGUAAAUGUUAGGCUGACCAUAAGACCUUACGCCAGGAGUCUAUCAAUGUUGUUAUAACGAUAUGUCAUCUGGAUGCCUAGUAUCUUAAAUUGCACAGAAAAAAAAGACUAGUAGAAUUGCCACUUUGAUAUCUGGGAAUGGAUGAAUGAUAAACAUUUCUGGACAAUACCCUUGUUGGUUUCUGUUAAUUUUUUUUUGAGAAGUGGCAUUGAAGUGCGAAAAUAUUUAUAGAUAAUACUGAUUGACUGGUAGUCUUAUGCCAUUGUAUAUAUCAACUCAGUGCAUACACAUACAAUGCCACUUUACUUUCAUAUGGUUACGGGAGACCCUUUUCACCUUGUUAUUUGCAGACAAACAAAUGGGGAAACUUAUUUGACGCUUCUGUUCGAUUAUUGGAUGAUACACGCUAUGUCUUGAGUCAUGAGGAAGUUUCUAAGUAUGUUGCUUAUGAGAGGCCUGAUCUAACAAGGUCAUGGAUUAAGCUCUUAUCACUUGUGCAAGGUAUGGAUCCUCAGAAGAGAGUGACAAGUAUUCAUGCUGAAGAUGAAAAUGAACAUCUAUCUGCACCUUUCGUGCUGGGGCACUAUUUUGGAAUUGUCCAGAACCUUCUGAUAAAGGGUGCAUUUUCUCCUCCUGAUCAACAUGAAUCAACUGAUGUUACUGUUUGCUCCUCUGCGAUAAACGGCAUGGAGAGUGCUGAAAAUCAACGGCAUGCAAAAGUUGGAAGGGUCUCCCAGGAGAGCUCAGUAUCCAAUUUAAGCAUCCGAGACAGUUCUUUGAGUUGUGGUUUGCCGUCACCUGCUGCCUGGUUAAUUCUUCAAUGCCUGAAAGCUAUUGAAAGUUGGUUGGAACCUGACAUAGCUCUGAGGAGCAAGCUGUCAUCCCUUGAUCCUAGCAGCAGCGAUUCUCGUAAUUUUAUGGCUUCGCCUGAAGAUCGGACUUCUGAUAAGGGAACCAGUUCAAAUACAAAUAUAGGCGUGAUGGGUGUCAAGAUAAAUGAAGGAUCACAACCAGAUGGUACUGCAGAUUAUCGUGAUGUAUCUAGUUCUCCUGUUCAUGGUAAUUGCGACAGGAUGCAGAUUGACCAAGAAGAGAUACCUUCAGCUAGUAACAGGACAGGCAAAGGGAAGAUGCAUGACAGCAGCAACACUACAGAUAUAGAGUUGCACCCUGAGAAUGCCAUUACUUAUACUCUGACUGACGGUAGCCUUUUGCACGCUCAUCCUGAUUCAAGAAUCGAGGAACUAGGAAUACUCAACACAAGAGGUUGGCCUCAUGUUAUCUUUGACGUCAGUUCACAAGAAACUUCUUUCCAUAUCCCUUUGCACCGUAUGCUUUCAUUGCUGUUGCGGAAGGCGAUGAAGAAAUGUUUUGGAGAGGAUGCCAGGCCAGAUGAACAUUCAGUUGUGCAAUCCUGUGAGUUCUUUUCUCAGGUACUUAGAGGUUGUGAGCCUUAUGGGUUUGCUUCGAUUGUGAUGGAGCAUCCACUGAGAGUCAGAGUAUUUUGUGCACAAGUGCGUGCUGGAAUGUGGCGUAAGAAUGGUGAUGCAGCUAUACUGAGUGCUGAGUGGUACCGCUCUGUGCAAUGGUAAUUUCAUACUGAUCUCAUGUUGAUUCACUGUUCAAAUAAUGGUGCUAAGGUUAUCUUGUUACCCCUAUUUCCAGGCUUGAACAAGGUCUGGAGUCAGAUCUGUUUCUUCUUCAAUGCUGUGCUGCACUAUCUUCUCCAGAGUUCUUUGUACGAACAAUUCAAGAGCGAUUUGGUUUGUCCAGUUAUACAUCUUUGGAUCUUGCGGAACAGAAUGAGUAAGCCCUAAUAUAUGCUUGUCAACUUCUGUUUCUUUCUAGUAUUGCUUCUUCAAUUUCUUGCACUACCUUACCUAUAUAUGUAGCUUUGUGGGUUUGGCGCAGUCACUUUUUUGUUUCCACCGGUAUCUACCAAUAAAAGUUACAAUGGUGACAAAAGUUAAAAUGAUUCUUCCCACCUUCCAGCAUUACUUCUCUGACUACGUAUUGCUCAUCUUUUGGUUCCCAUCAGUAGAUUUUAUCUGUCAUCACAAAUAAGGAAAAAAAAUAGCCAUUUUCAUUUCUUUGUGCCUUUGCUUGGCAAGAAAGUAAGGUGCCAUUCACUCCGUUCUGUUAUAAAUAAGUCCCAGUUUCUGUGAAAGCCCAAUAUUAUAGGUCCAUUUAUAGCAGCUACUCCCUUCUUGUAUGAAGUCAUAGAAUCUGUGCCAUCAGACUUUCUAAAGUUCAAUUGCCAAUUUGUUUAAAACCACACUAUAUCAAAACGCUUUCACAAAAUUAUAACGUUAUUAGUAUCAAUUGACGAAGUUAGGGAAGUAGCAGUCAAAGUCAUGUGUCCGAUACCGCAAGAACCAAGAAGUAAAAAAGUGUGAUUCAUAAAAAGAAAGGAGAGAGCAUUUAGUUCUAUCCAAAUUUAUCAAAGACAACAAAGUUUUAAGUAUUUGGUCAAAACUAGCUUUGUUCAAUUUGAGCUCCAUAAUCCAUGAGAUCCAGUCAUGGCCUAGGGAAAUAUUGUUUGCAUGCUUGCCUUUUGCCUUCUCUAUCGUCCCUUCACUGUUUUCACAGUUAUUCAGACUAAUUUCUUACUGAAAAUUUUCUCACAAAAUUUAAGAAUUAUUUUAUGCCACAUGUAGGUUCUGACAGUAUGUUGCUUUCAGGUAUGAGUCAGUUCUAAUGCAGGAAAUGCUAACUUUUCUUAUACAAUUGGUUAAAGAACGCCGUUUUUGUGGGCUUUCCACAGCAGACAACUUGAAGAGGGAAUUGAUUUAUAAGUUAGCUAUUGGAGAUGCCACUCAUAGCCAGAUUGUGAAGUCUCUUCCUCGCGAUCUUUCAUCAAGUGACCAACUUCAAAAUGUUCUGGAUUCACUGGCAGUUUAUUCUAAUCCAUGCGGCAUGAAGCAGGUAUUAGUCCUUCGGUUUAUGUAACACAUUCCCUUAAAAUGCAAGAUUAAUGUAAAACUUUAUCGCAGGGUAAGUAUGUACUUCGCAAAUCGUGCUGGAACGAAUUGGACUUGUAUCACCCCCGCUGGAAUUCUAGGGAAUUGCAAAUUGCGGAGGAGAGAUAUUACCGUUUCUGCAAAACUUCUGCUCUUAAUGCUCAGCUACCUCGGUGGACUCACGUUUUUAGCCCACUGAGAAGUAUUUCUAACGUUGCAACCUCAAAGGCUGUCCUUCAGAUUGUUCGUGCUGUUCUCUUUUAUGCUGUUUACAGUGAAGCAUCAUCAGCAUCACGCGCCCCUGAUAAUGUUCUCGUGACGGGUUUACAUCUGCUUUGGUUGGCACUUGAUAUUUGUGAAUCAGAAAGACAAGUACAUGCCGACCAGUAUGGCAUGGAUGUGGUGCAGCAUGAUGAUGAAUCAUGGGUUGUUCUGUCAUCGUACACAGAAGAGGCUUUUCCCAUAUUGACUUACUCUACUGAAGUAGUUUCCCCGGAGUCUGACAAUGUAAAGAAAGAAAGCAUGUUAACCCUACUUGUGUUGCUAAUGCACAAAUACAAAGAAGAGAAUGAUGCCACCUUUUCUGGAUCCAAGUACUGUAAUAUUCCAUCCCUAAUUGAGAGCUUAUUGAAGAAAUUUGCCAAGUUAAGUAAGAAGUGCAUGUUUACAUUAAGACAAAUGGCGCCACAUGUAGUCCCAUCUACACCAGACAGUUCCAGUAUCAAAGAAAGCCUAGGAACUUCAUCAGAUCCCAUGGAAAAGAAAGCAAAAGCACGUCAACACCAAGCUGCAAUUAUGGUAAGAUGUUUAAUUACAAAAUUCAUAUAUAUUUAGUUACACAUUAGACAUGUCUCAGAUAACCAAUUACCAGCCUUAUUUGAAUGCGAGUUGUCUUUGUUGAAUGAGCUUACCAAAAAUAGACAACUUUAUCAAUUUUCUUUGUAUAUGUACUAGUUCUGCAGUUUCCUUGGUUUGGUGUUAAUUUUGUUUUUACGGCUUGUAAUGUCUACACUUAUUUUGCACAUGCUUAGGUUGUGAAGUUAGUGGUUUUGACCUUUUUCUAAGUUACAUUAAGGCAUUAAGCACAAUUUUCUUCUAUUGGACCCUAUUUAUUUUAGGCGAAGAUGAGGGCAGAGCAGUCCAAAUUUGCUGAAAGUAUGAAGUCAUCAGAAAACGAGGGGCAUGAUGUUCCAAUGUUAGAGACAGAUGUGUCCAGUUCAACUGGUGCGGUCUCUGAGGAGUCACUACCAGUUUGCUCCUUGUGCCGGGACUCGGACUCCAAAAGCCCUCUAUGCUAUUUGAUUCUUCUUCAGGUAAUCAUUGUUGACUUGACAUUAUCUGGUGAUACCUGAUAGGUCUUAAAGUAGCAACUGUCCUUUCUGCAUCAUUUUGGCGUGUAAUGUUUUCUGACUAGUGUUUGAAUAGCAUGUUGAUGUGACUUAAGCUUUCUUAUGUGUCCUACAAUUCAGAAAUCUCGGCUUGCAACUUUUGUUGAGAUGGGUCAUCCAUCCUGGGAUAAUCCAACUCAAGCAAACAAGACGUCUGGAUCAGUCAAGAAGGAAGAUUCAACUGAUUCCUUGGUCUCUGGUUCUUCAACUUCCGAGGAACUUGUCGAUGACACGACAGUAGAGCCAUCUUUUGAUUUAGACAGCAUGGAAGUUGAUGCCUUUCUUGAUUUUUCAAAUGAGCAGCAUCCACUAAUUCGAUAUAUAUCGUCUUUCCCAAGUGGACAUUGCAAUGGCAAUGCAGAUGACACUGUCUCGCUUGAGGCAAUUGAGGCUGAUAUUUACAACUCUAUUUUAAAUGAUGUAUUUGGAUCCAGUAAUGCACACAUUCAGAAUGCUGAGCAAACGUCGCCAUCAUCUGCUUCAAGUAUCACAGUUGAUUCCAAGAAAACCAGAAGCCCCAAGCGUUCUGUGCUGGGAACAUAUGUUAGUUGUCUAUCAGCAAAACACCGCCAUUCUUCACUCUAUGAUGUAGCUUCCAAAUCUUCUGCCUCUGUUAGUACAAGAAACAAGUUUGGUCCGCUUCAUUGUGAUGGCAUCCACAUUUCUUCUUGUGGACAUGCUGUACAUCAGGAAUGCCAUGAUCGGUAUUUGUUCUCCUUGAAACAAAGGUAUGCUGGGUUUUCUCCUUCAAAUCCCUUUUGUUCAACUGUAACUAUAGGCAGGAAAUAAAUAUUUUACACUUGUGCCCUUUGGGUAGGUGUUGUGUUUGAAUGGUGAUCCAUCAGUUAUAUGAGUACAGAUGCACACGAUGGUUGACUUAUAACCUUUGGAUGAUGCAUUUAAUUUAUGGGCAAUUAAUUAUUUGGCCAUCAAAUAAGUUCCAGUCUAUGAUUUGCCAUCGAGCAAGUCAGGUUUCGCGCCAGCAUCUGUAUUCUAAAUUUCUUCACUGCAUGCCAUUGCCGGAUGGCUUGGUGUGAUUUUUCUUUUAAUUUUAAAAUCAUGAUGGUAUGGAAAUUGGACUUGUUUGAUGGCAAAUCAUGAACUAGAAUCUUCUCCUAUGGUAGAUUUUGGAUUUAUUCUUCAAUGAUCUUUCAGUACUCUAUACAACUUGCUGUUUAGGAGCCUACUUGAAUUAAUAUAUAACACUGGCUGCACACCUCCUGUUGAUUGAUGCUUGCAGAAAUUUGUAACUUAUUUUCCCUUACAGAUAUGUCCGGAGACUUGGUUUUGAAGGUGGUCAUAUUGUCGAUCCUGAUCUGGUAUGUAUAUUGUGUUUGAAACUUGUCUUUUUUUUGUUUUUGUUGAUCCUGUGCUUACACAUUGCUAUGUGCAGGGAGAGUUGCUUUGUCCAGUAUGUCGCAGAUUUGCGAAUUCCAUUCUUCCAGCAUCAACUGAUUUCUCUAGUAAAACAUUGAAGGGGAAACCAUUUGUUGAAACCUUGACCCGUGAAGUUGUUAUUACAACUACGUCACAUCUAAAUACAAGUCACUUACAGUUUCCUCGAGCACUAUCACUUCUUGAAAGUGCUGGAAAAACUGUUGGACAAAGCAAGUUUCUAAAAGCUUUAUCAGGGAAGCUUAAUGAUACUACAGAGUCAUCCCUAGAACCUUCUCUUCGAAGAUUAGCCAUGCUUUACUAUCAUCGUGGUCCCAGCGGUUUUUCAGCAUCUGAAAGGAAAAGGCUCAAUCCAUCCUUGUUUCUCUGGGAUACACUAAGGUACUCUGUGGUAUCUACAGAAAUUGCUUCUCGUGGUAGGAUGUUAAACCAGUCUGCUGAGUCAAAGUCCUGCUUGGAAUCUUUGCGUGGUGAACUGAAUUCAUCAAGUGGAUUCAUAUUGUCCCUAUUAUUCCGUGUUGCUCACUCUGCACGAAAUUUGAAUCGUCUUGAGGUUCUUUUAAGGUUUGAAGGUAUCCAACUAUUAGCGGGGUCUAUUUGCUCUUGCAUUUCUGGUUAUAAAGACGUUCUUAAUGCUACUAAGCGAAAAGGUAUAUAGUGCACCCUUUCCCAUUACUUUUUUUAAUGUAUUUACCUGCAUGUUAGAUGGUACUCUUUUCCUUUGUUUUGAAGUGUCCUAUUAAUCCCAGUUCUAUCACAAAUCAUGACUUUUCUAUUUCAUUCAGUUUGGAAUUUACAAUAUUUACAAUUAAUACAAUAUAUUCAAAUUCAUGGAUUCUUAUAUGUUAGUGAUUUGAUGAUUGAUAUGUUGGUUCUUAAUUGUUAGUGUUUGUAGAACGGGUUGAUUCUUUUUUUUUUUGGCAGUGCUACUAUUAUCUUGUUGUUUUCUCUGUUGUGCUGACUAUGUUGUGCUGAUUAAUUGUUAUUGUUUCUGUCUUAGAUCAGAUGUACAAUUUUUUGUGGAGUGUCACUAUUGCCUUUGCUUUAUUAUUGUCCUGAUUUAUAUGCUAUGAACCAUUUUAAGUUUUUAUCUUAUUUAUGAUCCUAUUUUGCUUUCCUCUUGAAAGCCCUAAGUGUUGUAUAUCCUGCAUCUUUGUAUUGGUGAUUGUUAGUUUUAUAAUUUGUAUCUAACUGAAUUUUGAGUUGAUAGUACUUGCAUAGUGAAGAAUUCUUGUCUAGAUAUACUUGCAUUGAUUUUGAAGUAAUAAAUAAACCUUCCAACUUGAUGUAUUAGUAACAAAGUGCCUGAGUAAAGAAAUUGAUUUUUUCUUUGCAAAGACCUAAGCAUUCAUUAUCCAGUGCUCGUUAAAGAAACUAAAUCAAAAGGGCGCGGACCAGUUGUUGUAGGUUCUGUGCCUUUCAACAAAGUGCCUGAGUAAAGAAAUUGAUUUUUUCUUUGCAAAGACCUAAGCAUUCAUUAUCCAGUGCUCGUUAAAGAAACUAAAUCAAAAGGGCGCGGACCAGUUGUUGUAGGUUCUGUGCCUUUCAAGAAGGCUCCAUUACAUGUCAAAGUAGAAGUUGACCUAAACGAAAGUCAAUUUUCUUGUAGAACUGAUUUGGUCAUCAUAAUAUGCUAACAUUAGAUGUCUGAUGUACAAGAAAAAUAUCAAGAGGUAGUAUUUGGUUCUAAUGAUCAUAGCCCGGCAACUUGCGAAUUGCAUUUCUAAAAUUUGUGUUGCUGGCCUGGAUGGAACUUGAAUUAUUCUAUCUCUUGUGCACAUCAUGUCUCCAAAUCACUUACUCCCUCCGUUCCAAAUUGUAGGUCGUUUUGGCAUUUCUAGAUUCAUAGCUUUUAAUAUGUUUUAAUAUGUAUCUAGAUGCAUAGCAAAAACUAUGAACCUAGAAAUGCCAAUUUGGAAUGGAGGGAGUAUGGAAUAUAUAUUUAGGUAUCAAUUCUCACCUUUUUCAUCUUCAACAGGCUCUUUGCCACCUAUGGUUGAUCCAGGUGAGGAGGGUCCCCUCUUCCCUGACGUCCAAUUUUGGAAACAGUGUGCUGAUCCAGUCCUUGCUCAAGAUCCAUUUUCUUCUUUGAUGUCAACACUUUUCUGUCUACCUGUUCAGUUUGUAUCAUCUGCUGAAUUCUUCAUCCCUUUUGUCCAUCUGUUUUAUGUUGUUUGUGCCAUUCAGGUAUGCUGUUUGGUGUUGCUUUCUCUUGAGAUUUGCAGUUUAUAUGUUAGUUUUAUUUGAUUUAAAGCAUGUUAUUACAUGAAUUUUCCUGUAGGCCCUGAUAACAUGCUACGGAUCGGAAACUUUUGACCGAUCUAGCUUCAGUGACUGCCUUCUUAAUGAUGUUUGCAAGACAAUGUCAGGAUAUGAUAUUGCCAGAGAGUAUUUUGUAUCCAAAUAUAUCGACCCGUAUUGUCAUCCAAAAGAUAUGGUCCGUAGAUUGACGUAUCCUUAUCUUCGGAGAUGUGCAUUGCUUUGGGAGCUGCUAAGAUCGUCUGCCACAUCACCCUUAUAUGACAAUUCCAAUAUUUGGGAAGGAUCACAUCUUUACCUGAGCAAUAGCACACAAGAUGGAAGUUCUUCACUGGCAAUGGAGCUAAAUGGAAUAAGCGAAUUGGAAAAGCUGUUCCAGAUUCAGUCACUGGACCUGAUUCUCCGAGAUGAAUCUGUACAUGUGCUGGCCUUAAAAUGGUCUCAACAUUUCUGUGAAGAUUACAGUUCUCGCAAAUAUAGAGGCUCUCUCUUUUCUACCCCUGCAGUUCCAUUUAGGCUGAUGCAACUACCACCUGUCUACCAAGUUCUCCUUGAAAGGUUUGGUCUGAAUCUUCUAAGCUGAGAUGAUGUUUUGCAUGGGCUGUGCCUUGAUGGGCUAAGCUUUUCCCACAUUUCUGGAGCUAAUGGCUUGUCAUUUUUUGGAUCAGAUAUAUCAAGAUGCAAUGCCCCGAUUGUGGCUCAGUGCCUGAUGAACCGGCAUUGUGUUUGCUUUGUGGCAAACUAUGUUCACCUAGCUGGAAACCAUGCUGCAGGUGAUAGCACUUUGCUUUUUACAGUUCCAAGUAGCCUUGUUUUGGUUCUACUGUAAUUAAUGCUAAAUCCUAAUUAUUGUUUAUUCUUUGUAGGACUGGUAAAUGCCUGAAUCAUGCAUCACAAUGUGGUGCCGGUGUUGGCAUAUUUCUUUUAGUGAGGGUAUGUAUUAGCUUAUUAUUUGCCAUCACACCAAAUUAUUAUGGCCAGUGUACUUUCCUUUGUUCUUUCUGAGACCAAGCUCCUUUCCUAUUUUGACGGAUGUGCUGUGCAGAAAACAACGAUCCUGUUGCAGCGAUCUGCUCGUCUUGCCUUUUGGCCAUCUCCUUACCUUGACACGUUUGGGGAGGAGGUAUUGAAUAAUUUCGUAUGCUUUGUUGUUGUUUAUGGACUUAAGCCUGUUUGUUACGAUCCCCACUAAAUUUUCCUCCCAGGUCUCAAAUGGGAGCUUUUUUCUUUUUGAUGUUAUCCUCGUGCUUCUCCAUGAAGCAUCUCUUACAAUAGCAAUACAAAGUGAUUUAUGAUGGCUUGAUGCCGUGCCUAAUCAUCUGAGACCUUUUAUAGAUCAAUGCUGUGCCUAAUCAUCUGAAUCUUUUGAUACAUCAGACAUACUGCUGUAGGUCUGAUGGCGUAUUGAUCCUCUUCACUUUCUGUUUUCUGUGGAUAAACAUUGAUUAUUUAAGGUUAAUAUGGGUGGUAGUUUAUGCCUAGCUUGCAAGGCAAAUGCACUGUUAAGUGGGGGUAGUUGAGAUUUGUCCUUGCAUAGUUGCAUUCAUACUGCAAGGUCAUUAGACAAAUGCCUACAUACAAAAUUUUGCAAUGAGGUAAAGGGGGAUUUUUUUUUACAUGUCUAGAUGUGAGCUUAUUCCCCUUCCCUUCUGGCUUUCUGUUUGAAUGCAGGAUCAUGAAAUGCAGAGAGGAAAGCCUUUGUAUCUAAGUCAAGAAAGAUACACAGCCUUGACCUAUCUGGUAAUAGGCUGACACCCUUUCCUCUUUGCUUUCUCGACUUAAUGCUAUUAGGAAUUUGCACCAUUUUUUAUAAAUGGGAUGCAUGCCCUUUUUUAUGUGAUAGGUGGCAUCUCAUAGCCUUGAUCGAACUUCUGAAGUCCUUCGGCAAACGACUAUCAGCUUUUAUGGAUCUGGAUCUGAUUAAAUGCAAUUUCCAUGGAACAAUGUUGAAAGGUUUGGAUUAUGUUUAUGUUUGGCAUGUUGGAUUUAGAGAAUGGAAGGAUUGGCAGCUUUGUUUUCCCAAAUGCUUGUUCAUUGGUCAUAAUGGUUGGUUUAGGUGACAAACGGAAUUUGAUUAGUUAGCAAGGGCAUAUUUGUACUAUGGUAUGUGGUCACUAUUUACUUCUCUUAGUAGGCGUGCACAAAUCUAAACAUUGAAUAUAGAAAGAAGACGGAGUAAUCUUAACAUGUGUAUUAGACCCACCAGAGCAAUUAUGCUGCUGGCAGGUCACCCAGCCACAAACAAGUUUUGUCAUGUACAGUUCUAUGAAAGAGCUUGCCAAUGGAAUGAGAGGGGGCCAAUAAGAGAGUGGAUUAGAUAACAAUUAAGUGGUGACAUAGGGCAUUGCUUACCCUUGGCCUUAGAGAAGCUUUGCAAUUGUCUUGAACUGCAACAGCAGUACUCCCUCCGUCCCAAAAAAAAAAGUCAUUAUAGGAAGUUUAAGACAUACUAAUAAGGAGGUAAAAUGACCUUGUUUACCCCUAUUUAUUAGCCAUAUUUAGCACAAAUGGACAGCAUUAUGCAUAUGCACAUACCAAAUAGGGUAGAAUGACUUGUUUUUUGGGACAAAUCUUGAACCCUAGAAUGACUUUUUUUUUGGGAAGAGGGAGUACAUGAUAAUCUCUGUCGAAUCAUCACCGCUCACACCUUUAGCAGGACAAAUUUUACAUUGCAGUGUGAUACUAGGGUUAUUGUUAAUUUAUCAUUUGCUGCCUUGUCAGGGUCUUGUGGAUGUGCAUAUUUUUGGGAACUCUAGUGCAACUUGGUGUUCAUAUUUUCCAGCGGUAACAAGUGUUACCUCUCCCAAGGUUUACAUCUACAAGCUUCUUUUGCUAAUGGGCGUUUAAGUGCAAAAUGCUGUGACAUGCCUGUGCCAUUGUUUUCGCUUCUGAUUACUUGUCGAUCUUCCGGAUGGCGUGGAUCCUGCAGGCUUUGCCACCGGUCGUGCUUGGGGGCCCUGCCGUCCUCUCUUGCUGAAUGUACGGUUGUUUUCAUGCUUCUUUUCAUUGUUCAUGGCCGGUGCUUCCCAAAGUGGAUGAUAGGUAGGCCUAGUGGCGACCUGGAAUAUUUGACGAUCGACUGCUUGAUCUGUCUGUACAGUGUAUUACAUUGGAUCGGUGUAGUUAGUAUGAAAAAGGCAGGCAAGUGCCAUUUGGUCAUCAUGUGCUUUUGUGUACCAUGUUGCUUUGUCAUUUGUCUGCUGAAUCUUUCGAGUUCUUGUUUCUUUUUUCAUGCAAGUUCUUGUGUUGAAGCGAGGUCAGAGUGCUCUGCAUAGGCACUAACACAUUGUUUCGUUGCAGCACUAACACUCAGCUUGGGAGCGUCCCUUGUUGCAACCUACGUACGGUGUGCUUUGCUUCGAAGGUUGGGUAGAAAAGCAAUGAGAAGUCGCAUGAAAGAAAUGAGUAUUCAAGUCCGCAUAUCGCAUAAAAGGUGUAACGGUAAUUAAAAAAAACUCGACGAGUCCAAGGCUUCAAGCCUUGGAAACACAGUGGCUGUACCAGGUGUAUACAAAAGUCAUCUGCGGGAGUACUCAUCAACCAACUUCGUUCAGCUUGAAGAUAGAGGCUGAACAUCCGGCGAUGGACCAUGUUGCUUGGUUCUUCUUCGAGGAGGCACCUCCUGAAUUGCUCUGCUUUGGCGCAGCCAACCAUCUCCAGACGUUUCAGCUUGCCUAGAUUCUCUGCCUGGUCCAGGGCUGGACAGUCCUGCACGAACAAAUCCUCAAGCUUGGAAAGAUUGGCGAUCCUCGUAAGGCUUCGGUUGUGCUUCACCUUGAGCCACACAACAGCGGGAAGGUCCACAAAUCUCAUGUAGGCUAUGCGCACCUUCGACAAGUUUGCAGCCCUGUGCAGAUCUUGAGGGAGUGCCCUCAAUUUUGGACAAUGCAGUAGCGACAGACGCUUGAGGAGAGGCAUCAGUAUCACCUGGUUGGGGGAGUCUCCGAUUGUGUUCUGAUUGCACAUGCCUACUGUGCUCAGUGAGCAGGCCUCCACAAUUUUAUGAACAUUACAUUCAGCUCAAAUUCCUCAAACAAGACAUUGAAAAGCGAGGGCAGGAGAUUCAGCACGCUCAAACAAUACAAAAACGCCUUAAGCGAUCAUAUAAGCACACUGCAAAAAAGACAGAAGGCGCCACUGAAGAGGUGAUUUACAGCUAUCAAUCAACAAAAUUUCCGAUUCGACUACAAUUUUUUUGUAUCGAACACGCAAGAGAUUUGACUUGGUCAAAGUUGUGUUUUGAAGACUGGGUACUGCUUAUUUGGAACUGGAGUGAGCAUUAUACGUGUUUUCUUUAUGAAUAAUGUACUAUAAGAACAAAACAAAAGUUGUUCCAAACUAACCAAAUAAAAGUUCGCAGUAGAAAACUAUUGCUACAGUUAUAUCAGUUCCUUUUUGCGCAGCAUCCAUCUUUGGCGACAAUGGAUGGUAAUGUGUUCAAAUUUUAUUCCGUUCGGGUGCAAGUCUACUGUUGAAUGGCUUGGCUUCAAAACUUUGCCGCCCAGUUGUGCCUUGCGGACUUGCAGUUGCGGUGGUUGCCCACUACUUCAGCUUCCAACGGUCCAAGGUGUUUUGCACCAGCCACCAGGUACUGUGCCAUUCUGAAGAGCAUAUCAAAUUGUCGAGGAUUUUGGCCCAUAGCCAGACAUCAUACCACAGUCCAAGGUGCACACUGCAAUCCACCGUCGGCGGACCUGCUGAUCACAUGAACAAUGUCUGGUGUUGAUGGACGGCUAGUAACCAUGAUACCGGAACAAUUUACAAGGACGAAUGACGUUUCAGAGUAUCAGUAAAGAACAUUGCCAAUCACAAAAGGAGAAUAUAAGCUGAGAAAUUGCUGAAACAGUAGCAAAGCCUAAAUGUUGAUAACAACAUAUCAGUAUAUCACAUUAGAAAUGAAGCCAUACACUUUACUAAGCUAGUUUGCUCACCUUUCUAAUGAUAGAGAGAUUCAUCUGGAAAUAUAUCUCGGCCAUCCGCACCAACUGUUGCAACAUGUACUCAGAUGUCUUGUUCUUCUUUCAGGAGACAAUUCCUGAACUGCUGUCCGUUCAGGCAGUCAACCAUGUACAAGCACUUCAGUGAAGAUUGGAGAUUCUCCUCAAAGAUUUAUUGUUCUUGACCGUGAGCCACAAAACUUCAGGAAGGUUUACAACUUGUUGAAGCUUGUGAGCACCUUCAAUGUGAAUCCUUUUUAAAUUAACAGCUCUAUGCAAAUCUUCAGGGAGAGCUCUUAGUUUAGGACAAUCAAGGAGCAACAGGCGCUUAAGGCAAGGCAUCAGAACGAGCUGUUGAGAUUUGGUCUCCAUGUUAUUACACAAGCUUCUUGUUUUGAGGGACCAACUUUCCAAAUUGCGCAUGCGAAUGAUGUGAAGCAAUUCGAGCUUUGGGAAAACAGCUGCUGCUUUAGUCACACCUCUCCCCAGGAAUUCUGCACCCAUAGUCACUACUGCACCUGCACCUCUAAUCUGAAGAACUAGUAGUUCUGGCAUCUGGCCUACUGGUGGUAGUUGUAAACAUGAUAUGCACUCAUUGAGCUGCAUGUGAGACAAAUUUGGAAGCUUAUACUCUGGCUCUGAACAUAGCCAUUCUGGGAACCUUACACCAGGGAACCCAACAAAGAAAAUGUAUAAUAGGCUUGGUGAUGGAAUAAGCAUCUCAUAGACUUGCUGAAUUUUCUCAAUCUCACUGGCUUGGUAAUGAGUUUUAUCAUGAAUAUUCAUGCCCACUGUGCAGCACAACCCCAGUUCUCUGGCUUGGUAUUGCCUUUUCAAGCUUCUCAACCCAGAGGCGUUGGAUAUUGGUGAGACAUUUUAAUUCAUCCAAUCUGAACCCAGUCUCACUUUCAAAGACACCUCUGAGGUAGUAGAGCUGCUGGAACUGGCAAUUCCUUUUGGAACAUGAUCAAUAGCAGUCUUUUCAAGUUUAAGAAAACUUAUCUGUGAUAGUCUCAUUAAACAAACUGUCAGACUAUCCAACUUAUGGCAACCACGCAAUGAGAGAGAUUCAAGGCUGGUAAGCCUUCCAAUCGAAUCUGGAAGUUUGCUGAUCUCUGUAUAACUUAGAUCUAGCAACCUCAACAACACCAGGUUUCCCACUGACUCUGGAAUGAUUAGGAUGCCCGAUCCACUUAGAACUAAGACACGGAUGUGCUCAAGCUUUCGGAAAAUAUUCGUGUUAACUGACUUGAAGUUCUUGUUAUUGAAAAUUAGGAGGCUCCUCAUGCAUUUAUACUCUCCUAUAGCAGGUAUUUCUUCUACAGAACUGCUGAUACUUAAGCACCGCAGAUUAGGCGGAACUUCAUUAUUUUCUGCAUUCAUGAAUAAGGAAUGAUACCUUGUCAAAUACUGCCCAAGUGACCUCAAUAGAUCGUGCAUUGUUGAAAUACCUUUGUCCACGAAUUCUGGUUUUGGUUGCAGAAGAUUCCUCGUAAUUAGCUCAUAAUAGUAUUCUUCAGCAAUUGCAUGAAUCGAGCACUUGUGAUCUUUCCUCACAAAACCUUCAGCAACCCACCAGUAAGCAACAGCAUUACGCUCGAUUGCAAAAUUUGGAGGCAACAAAGCACACUCUUAAGUUGAGGGGUUAAGUUGCUAUAACUCAUAUAUAGGGGGCCUCCUAGUUCUUUGGGAAGUCCGUGGAUAGACCAGUUGCUAUCUCGGAUGCUCUCCCAUUCUGCCCUUGUUCUUUUAGUAGAUAGAACACCCGCAACAACCGCGAUGGCUAGAGGAAGACCAUCACAUUUUCUUACUAUUUGACACCCAACAUCACUAAAUUCAUUUAGUUGCACAUAUAUGGUCGGAAAGACUUCUUCAUUAGAAGUUCCAGGCCAUCAUAAUCAUUCAUUUUGUUUACUUGGUGAGUAUAUGUUGCGUGCAUUCCUGCCAAAACAUCCAGGUUUCUUGUGGUGACAAGGAUAUUUGCAUUCGAGCAUCUCUUGAAAGGCGAUCGGAGAAGAUCAAUCCAGACAUCAGAUUUCCACGCAUCAUCUAAAACAAGAAAUACACUCUUUCCUCUGAUAGUGUCCAUCAGAUGGAAAAGAAGUUCGGUCUUGGUCUCAAGCUGACCACAUGUUGCUCCAGCCAUUCGUAUUGCCUGCCUUGGCAAACCAAUCUCUGUGUAGCUCUGAGAAACGCACAACCAUAUAUGAACUUGGAAUUUCUCCCUUAUCCUCUGCUCAUUAUAUAUCUUCUGAGCUAAUGUUGUCUUACCAAUGCCUCCCAUCCCUUGAAUACCAAAAACAGUUGAUUUGUCUUCAUGAAAAUUACUAAGAAUCAUUUUGACCAUGUCAUCAGUCGCCUGUCUGAUAUCUCUUCCAAAAACCUCUAGUUCAUCUAUGGGUGAUGUCUGACUUCUAUCCACAACAGGUACUUGAUACUGUUGACUACUGGUCCUCUCCAAGCUGAUGAACAUGUUUCUGUUCUUUUGAAUUUCAUCUAGCUUUCUGUUUAUAUCCUUGAUUCUUUUAGCAACCCUGUGAUCAAAUGAAAGUUUCGCGAUAAAGGACAAAAGGGACUGGUUGCAACAUUCCAUUCUAGGUGGCAGCAAUAGCUUCUGUGAGUGAACCAUGAAGUGAUCUAUGACAUCAUCCACAUCAAACAUAACGUCAGUCAUGUUCUUCCACCAUGACUCUGCCCCCCUAUCUUGCUUCAGCAUCCUCACCAACAGCGCCAAAAUGUUCCAGAUUUUUCUUGAGCCUCUUGAUAUCCCUUUUCACACUCAAUGUCAUUGCAACUUCAUCCUGGAUAAUCUGACUAAGCUUUGCCAGGAAUUUUGAAGUGAGAGCAUCCAAAAAUGCACCCAUACUGCUCAAACAGCUAGACCUAUGGAUUGUCACCGGAUCUCACUUGCCCUCAAGCUUCAGAUUGUAUAUGAUAUAUCUCAGUUAACCGCAGCUCAUUCGAGAUUGGAAAGGGUAGGAGAUGUUGAAAUAGAGGGAGUGCAGUUUGAUGGAAUUGGAGAGGCCAAUGCACAAGUGAGCUGUUAUAAGUUCCCAUCACUGUAAAGACCCGACCUAAUCAUAGACACCUAAUGUCUUGGGCAUUCCCAUUUGCUUCCAAUCUUUUCAACACAGGUAAGAACAUAUAUCUCAAAAAACAAAGGACUAUUGUUGCAGACUUGCUGACGGGAGGGAAAGAGUCGCCACCAGAAAAUAUUUGUUUGACGGCAGACAUUCGUGCAUUUCCUCGAACAGUCCAUAUGCGUUCAAUCGUUGGUCUCCAACUCUCCGUAGACUAAGUUUCUUGUUUAUAAAAAAAAAUCGAGAGAGAAGAAUUUGCGAUAGCUGCUCCAUCGUUUUCGCCAAUCUACGUACAGAGAGAGAGCGAUCAAAACAGGCCGUCUACUAACAUCACCAGAAACAAAUCAGCCCGAAACUUCCAUUAGAUUUGUAGGCUUUUUCGCAGAUACACAGAGAGACCUGCAUGAGAAGCGCGCGCUGCGGUUGUCCACUGCAUUGAUUGGUUGGCGACGCCGACUACCGGCCGCGGCGAUAGCCACAGCUCGUCGGCCGGCAGCGCCGCCCACCGCCGGAGAAGAAGCCUGCCAUCCAGGGGCUCCACAUGUUUAUCGGGCCCAGGCGCACAGCCCAGCCCAGCGACACGUUAGUACAACACAGGCCGGGCCCUCUCUCUCUCUCUGUUCGUGUCACGCCGCCCGGACCGCCCCCGGGUCCAGCAAACUAUGAUGAACAGCCCAACCUUGGUGGCCCUCAAAUCAAACCAAAACCAGGAGUCCAGGACCGUACAAACACAUGCUGAUCGAAUAGGCGAUAGGCCGAAGGUCUGCGAUUGAGAUGAUGAAUCGAUUUUUCUUUUUCACCAAUGUGGCAAUUUAUUAACUAUCCGCUUCCUCUCCCUUGCAAGAAGACAUUUUCGCCGUUGCAAGAAAAGCUCCCAGUGAAAGGGGGGCAAAAAAAAAUCAAGUCACACGACAUCGAGAGUACACAAAGAUGGUAGAUGCAUAUAGAUGGAUGGUUACACGAGACACUGAAGACAGUAAGCAGGCAGCACAUACAACACGGAGCAGAGCAUUGCCUGCUUGCUACACACACUGACACUGCUACAGAUGAGCCCCACAAGCGACCUGCCUGCGAGGAAGGACACGGCGACGACGGCGACUCGCAUCUCAGUACCAUUAUUCUUCUCCAUCAGUACGAUUACUAGCAGCAUGCGCAACACUGUUAUUAAGCAUGCCACACACACACUUAGGACACAACACUGCUAUACUAGGGUGUCCUUCCGAUCGCCUCCACCGGCCAGGGGCCGCGCCAUGAGCUCAUCACUUGCCGCAGGUGCAGGGGUUGCAGGUGCAGUUGGGGCCGCACUGGCACCCGCCGUUCUCGGCUCCGGCGGACGCCGCGCCGCCCUCGAACCCGCCGUCGGCGUGCCUGCGCAGAGAAAGCCAAGAUAUGACAGAGUCAGUGGCCUGGCUCAUACAUGCAUACAGAGCAUUUUUGGCAUGUUCGCUACCAGCAGCUACAUACGAGUGCAUGACGUCCCAGACUUCUCAGUUCAGGACAAAUUAAAGUUCUUUUUUUUUUCUUUCUGUUUUUGGGCCAGCAGUUUGUUUGUUUCAUGAUUGCCAAAAACUGCUUUCGUCGUAGCUUACUGCUCCCUGCUCGUUGCUGAUGGCGACUGAAAUUUGUACUACCACUAUGCGGACAAAUACCACAGCUACGCAUGCUAACAGAAGUUGGUACUGCUCCCUACACGAUCGAUCGAUCUACCCCCACAACACAAGGCAAAAGACAGUAAAAAUAGUACAGCUAGUAAUUCUGCACCACAGAAACUGACUGCUAUUAUUAGCAAAGGUGUGGAUGGUGGAUCAUUCAGAUCAACACAACACCGGAAUGAUCUAUGAGCAUGAUGUAGAUCAGUAGAUGGGAAAAGGGAUGGAUGAACAUACCCCUUGUUGGAAGGCGCAACGCCCGUGAUGACGGUCUGGGUGGUGGUGGUGCCCUGCUCAGCCAUGUCCGGGAACAUCUUGCACCUGCAGAUCAUGCAAGCGGCAGAUCAGCAUCAUCAGAAAUUUCCCUUGUUGAAGGAGCACAACUACAGCAUGCACAUCGUUUCAGAGAAACGAAGUUCAUCAGACAGGAAUUCACAUGCGCAGCAACAUGAGAAAACCUCUCUGUUUUUUUUCUAAAAUAAAAAAGGGGAGCUUGAUCUCCCAGCUCUACAUAUCCUAUACUCAAAGAUCCAUCCACAAAGGUCCAGCAAGAACACAAGAACAACCGAAUACAUGCAUUCAUAUGGGUAUUGACACAUGAUAGACACGCAUCAGACUAUCAGAGAUCUGAGGAGCGUGGCGUCGUGGGGCUUACCCUCCGCAGCCGCUGCCGCACUUGCAGCCGGACCCGCACCCGCAGUUGCCUCCGCAGCACGACAUCCUCGCGAGAUCGAUUCAGAGACGAACACAAGCAGAGAGCGGCGUUCUUGGCAAUGAGUCACUGAACAACAACGAGAUGCAGUAUGCCUUCCCCCUGCCCCGACGGGGAGGCCGCAUUUAAAGGCCCGGCGGGCGGCCAUCUGGCCGUCCACGCGGCGCGGGCCGUCCUGACCCGCCCGUGACGUGGGGCCGCCGCCUCGGCCUGCGGGUCCGGUUGUCGAUUGAGUGCACGGCUCUCGGUGGCGGAUGGCCGGCCGUCCGUGGGACGCCGACAAAGGCGGUUCGGAGCACACGUACGGUAUGAUCCAGAAUUUCGGUGUGGCCUCUAGCGUUGCAUUUUUACUGGCAGAGUAGAAAGAAUAGAUUCGUCUUCUCCCUGCAGUUAACACAGCUUAGCCAUUCGUGAAAGUUACCAGUAGAUAAAUAAAUAAAUGCGAAAUUGACUUGUUGAUGACCCAUUGAUCUCAUUGUUUGUGACUGGUGAAUGCCAUGUGUUUCUUAGCAUGAUGGUGAUUUCUCAAGAGAUGUUUAUUUCUCGGUGGUUAUGGCAACAAAAACCAUUCUUGUGCCAGAAAUCUUUCCCUCCUCUAAUAAAAAUUCGGCAAAACUCUUGCCGUCCGUUCAAGAGAAGAAGAGAACGGUGCGAAUUGUUGCUUUCAAAACGACGAUGUUGGUGGUGCGGCCGAUCGAAGCACCAGGUGCUUUCACGAAAGAGAAGAAUCGGAAUACCGACUGGUGAUGUUUUGGGCUGGUCCUAUCCACCUCGGGGAGGAGGAGUCGGCAUUGGCAAAAUGGACCCGAAAAACCGGCAGCACGAUAAGGCCAGUGUGCAUGGAUGGAUAACGUACGCAUGCUCAUGUGCAGCAGCAUCUAUGAAAAAGGCUCCUUACCUUUUGCUAUUUCUUGUGAGCUUACCAUUACACACCCGAGAAAUAGCGUGUCACGCCACAUCAUGUUAUGUUUCUGUUUUUUUUUUCAGGAAAACAAGAUUUACAGUCUUCCUCACUGUGCUUUUUUUUAUGGUAUUCGUUCAUCUAACAAAGCAGUUUCCUUCUCAGUUCCCUUUUUUAAAAACGGUGUGAAUGGCAUGCCACAAGAGCUGCAAUGUUUGGAUCCUUACACGAUACAAAUACAAAUAUGCGGAUCGGAUAAUAUCAUCAGUGUUGUUGGUGAGGACAGUGACACGAAUCAGUAAAGCAGGCCAGGGAACAACAAACCUUUCUGUGUCACGCAGUUACCGGCCCAAAGGCCGAAAAGCUGGAGAAGCUCCAAAUUCACUUUGCAUCCAUCCCAUUCAGUUGGGAUGAAACGCGUGUAAACUUUUUUUUUUGAAGGAAAAACGCGUGUAAACUUGAGGUCCAUAAAAUAUCUCUGCUCGGUGCACGACGUGGCCGGGCCCCUUUAUUUUUGGACAGGGACGCCACCCCCGCCUGUGUCUCGCAGUAAAAUUACAUGACCAUUAGAGUAAUAGCAGCAGAUUAUACUUUUUUUACGGCACUGUGUGUGUAGCUGUAAAAAAUGUUUGAUUAGACUAGAGCCUUCUUGAGGUGGCGUGCAUGCACAUGCCCUGAACUGCACGCAAGCAUGUCGCUGUCGGGUGGCAACAGGUUAAAAACCAGUCCUGCCCUACCAUGCACGCAUCAGUGACUUGCUGGGAAUUUUUUUUCCUGGCCUCGUAAAAACAACAACGGUUGCAUUGCAUUGCAUUUGCAUGCAUUGUGUAUUUGUGUGGUCUCGUAGAAGACCAAAAAACAAACGAAAAGAAACGCUUACACCAGUGCUCUCCUCUCCUACAACAAUUGAUCAUAUGAUUCUCAGUUUGGUCACAAAUUUUUGGUGCCCCACGAAUGAAACGUCACUGUCUUGAAAAGGAACAAAAAGGAAAAAAAAGCAACAGGCCGGCCAUUGCCAUUCGGCUGCUACUGCACCGUGCUGCUGGGUAGGCAUGUGCCUACCAUAUUCCCAUCACGGGCUUUACCUCUUAUCCAUCCAUUUGCUAUCUUUUCUCUGUUUGUGCUGUGCUGUGUUUCAGCAAAGGAGGAAGAAAUCAUGUCAAACGGGCCUGCUCGUGGAUAAGAUUUUCGCUACGAAUCGUUUCGUACAGGAGGUGGCGAAAAAGUCUUCUAACGCUUCUACGAGUAGAUCAUGUCCCAUGUGUGCCGUCUCUGCAGUGCGUGUGUGGGCGUCAGGUACUGCACCUUCUUGGGCACCAUGAUUGAAGGCUCUGGAACCAUCCUGAUGCAUGGUGCAGAAAAUAUCUGGUGUCAAUGUCAUGCACUCAUGCGUGGAAGAGAAUAAAAAUUUUGAAUUAUACCUUUUGUUCAUUGUUUCCUACGAAAUUCGGAGAAUUGGAGAGAGAUCUGGAGAUGUGCACAGGAUAACUGAAGAAAGUUCGAGAUACGGAAAGGACUCGUUUGUCAAACAGGUUUCGAGUUCAGACUGGCCAAGUGUUCAGACUUCAUCAGAGAGGUGGAUCUCCCGGGAUGCUUCUCUUCGCUUCAGAUCAUACCACGUAUGAAUGUACGGUGAGUCACCCAACUACAUACACAGACUUACUGCAGCAAAACCAGCGAUAUGUGUACACCACUACCGCAACGCCUUUUUUUAAAAAAAAAUAAAAGAAAAAGAAAAGCUAGAGCAUCGGGGUUUUUACCUUUGGGGAUCUCCAAGCUUAUUAUCUGGGCCUAAUCCAGGAGCACCCCGCCCCGAGCAGGAACAAUCGCAGUCUGAUGACUAGGGCCCAUCAGGCUUUGAAGUUUGAACCAUCGUCAUGGACCGGCUCAGUAUAUCAGCCCAGAAAAGCCCACAUGGCUCAAGUCUCUUUGGCGUCACGUUCAUGGCAUCAGAGUAUCAGACGAUCUCAGGAGAAUGGAUCCGAUCAGUGGAAGCAAACUCAGCAAUAUGCAGCCACAAAAUCACCAGUGGUUUGAGCAGAGUAGAGCUUUGUAAGCGCUUUUUUUUUUAGAACCGAUUCACGAACUGCCAUUUCUUUUUGCCUUUGCCUACCUGACAAAGUGACAAAUAAUCAUAUUUAUCAAGAUUAUACAUACAAAUAGUACUUAAAAACAUUUCCUCCAUUCAUUUAUAGUAACCAGCAUGCAAAACUUUCUAGCACAUGAAUUGAAUUCCUAACACCUAACAACAGUACUCCCCAAUCCCCAGAUUAUGUUUUCCUCCACCGAUGAAAAAAGAAUCUGUAGUAUGUACAUCAGAAUGAUUCCAAGCCUUUGCUCAAUAUAGAAUUCCUAACCCCCCCAAAAAUGUAACGGGACAAAAAAUAACUAGCUAGACUCAAAACUCUGCAAGCUGAAGAACGAGCUCUGUCAGAAGCUUGUCAAACACAAAGUCUGCCACCUUGUUCCCCAUAUCAUCAGCAUCUUUCUCAAAAUUCAUCCAGUGGUCGCUCUUUGCUAGGUCCUUCGACAAAAUACUGUCGACUUCGAUGCUUGACCAUGGUCGUUCAUCUAUACGACAGCUCACUCUAGACCACAACUCCUUGAGGCCACGGUGUCCCACGGGUUUUGGUCUACCGGAAGAUGAGAACCAGGAGAAUCUGGACUUGGAAACAGAAUAUUUCUUGUAGAUGUCGAGCAACGCUUCGUUUGUCAAAUCAAACAGAAGCAACUGAUCAGUAGACAUAUCAGUGAAGUCACAUGCUGCUGCAGCAGCUUCGUAGUGUUGGCAAUCCUCUUCUUGGAGAGCUCCGAUAUUCUGUGCGUACCAUUCAUCAAGUAGUAUUUCAUUGCUGAAGCUCGACUUCUUGAAUAUAUCCUUCACAUAGUUGAACUCUGCUUCGUGGAUUGGAUCUACUUCGAAGCCAUUCAGGUUGCCAAAGUCACUUUCUUGCACAAUAUCAGUGUCAACUGAAACAUCAGCAUCAUUUAAAUGGAGAAUUCUUGGCUUCAGUGAUGUAUCUGCAAGAGGCAAAAACAAAGAAAAUGUAAAUAAAAGAAUUGUAACUAGUGCUUGCAACAAGAGUAGCGCAAAAGUAAAUUCAAGAUCUAGAAGUGUUACUGUCACUGGUGAUUUUUUACACUAGUUUAAUAACUGGGCCAUGAAUACUAAAUAUAAAUCUCACCAUCCAGCAGUGUAUAUUUCAUCGGACUAGCAGGAUCAUCUGAGAAGGCCACGUCAAGAACAGAUAUUGGACUUUCAGAUUCUUGCUUGCAACUUAGACUUAUGUCAGCUUCGAAUUCGUGACUGGGAUCAGGAACACAAGAAGUACCUUUUAUUGAUUUUUGAAUCUGGAACGCGUGCAUUUGGUUGUCUUGAGAAGUUGGUGUUUGUUCUUCUGCAAUGUUGGUGUACUCUGAAAGAAGAGUAGUGCAUGAAUCUGCUUGUACUGAAGAGUGGAUCUGAGCAUCAUGACAGGUUUCUACAUGCUCUUCUAGGAUGCCAACUUCUUCUGACAUUGAAUGGGCAGCACACAACUCGAAUUCAGCUGAUGAGGGAACCUGAUCAUUAUUAUCACAGGUUGCUGCCUGUUCUUCUGAAGUAUCAACGACUUCUGAAGGUGAAGGAACAAUAUAAGAAUCUUCUUGAGCUGAAACAGCAACAUCACCCUUUUCCUCAUUCAUGUGUUCUUCAAGAAAAGCAGGUUUUUCAGGGUCACCAGCAACUACAUCACCAGAACUGUCAUCCAUAGUAACUUCAGCAUCUCCAUCAGCAUCAGUUUUCUCUUGAACAUGCGGUGCCAAGGCAUCUUCUGCAGUUACAGGAUUUUCAUCUAGUCUACCCAAACCUUGUGAUCCGAGUUCAACUUCAGAAGCUCUUUGCAAUGAAGUCAUGACACCAGGGGCGUCCAGAGAAUGAUCCCGAGUAGACUUAGAGCUAGUCAGUAUUCUUUUGGAUUCACUACUUGAAAUGGCAUCAAGUAAACGAGAGUAAUCUUCCAAAGAUUCAUUGAGUGAACGUGAACGCCGAAAACCUUGAUUUACAUGCCUCUUUGCAGCAGUACCAAUAUAAGGUUUCAGACCAUCCCUAUCAUACGUGGCAGAGGCUGAUCGGGGGAGACCUUCACUGAUUAUAUCUCCGCACACCUUCUUUCCAUAAGGGACCUUAUGAAGAACUCCAUCCAUCGAAAUGCUACGGUGGCUCUUUCGCUUCACACGACUGUCAUCUCUUUUUAGGAGCAGUGAAGAACUUAAAUCACUAACACAACCAUCUGGGAUGCUAGAUGUAGAAUGGCGCAAGUUUGUGUCGGUAGCAUUUUGUAGUGACAAUUUAGUACUAUGUGAAGAGCCAUCACCACUGGAAGCGGAUUCACCAUCAAUAACAUAUUCGUUGCUUUCCAAAUAGUGUAUCGAAAUGGUGCGCAAUAGCUUUGGUGCAACAGGAAGCAUCUUUUCUUUCUGACCUUCCUUUCCAUAUAAUUUCUUUAGAAUAAAGGACCUCAAACUAGCUUUACCAGAAUUCUUUUUUGAGGCCUUCUGUUUUUUUCUAAUCUGGAAUAGAAAUGAAAGGAAUAAAUUAAGUUAAACUUCAAAUGGUUCAGUUGUCUGUUUAGGACUGUGUAGUUUUAGAAGGCACUUCUAUAUACUGCUUGUAUUAAACACUACAUGCAUGUAUCCAAAGAAUAUAUGUGUAUACUAAUGCCAACCUUACAGCUCCGCAAUAAAUGUGUAGAAAUAGUAAGCAGACAGUUUCAGAAAAAAUAGUACUCAUUUGAACUAAAAGGGAAAAAACGGAGGGCGCGGCAAUGCAUUUUUAAGUGCUUAACCAUCAAGCAGCAAAUAGGAAGUGAAGAUGGUUUAUUGAUGACAGACCAGGAGAUCAUAGAAAAAUAAAAAUAAGUAUUAUUCAAGGAAAAAACGAUUUUAAAGUAAGGAUGGGUUAUUCAACAUACUUCAGUAUUUUUCUCAUCAUCCAUGGUGCCACUGUCUUCGUUUUUCAAUGGCGCAUAGCAGCUUCUGCGUCUACCUCCUACAUUGAUGAGCAUAAUUUCUAUAAUUAUUAUUUGUUCACACGAAUUCAAAGUACAGUUUUGGUUAAGUCCACAUAAUGACAAAAAAAUACCAGCACUGAAAAAGCGAAAUAGUAACCAGUUAUAUUUACAUUGCAUCAUUAUCUGUACAGGUUGUCUUGAUGAUCAAACAUAAACAGCUUCCAAUAUAUGAAUUCUCAAUUGCACUCCACUACCUUAUGCUAAUAUCCAAGUCCAUUUCACAAGUAUCAAACAAUGAAGGACUCGAGAACUUACCACCACUGCUUUUCCGCUGACCAUGUUUCUUGUCAGCUAGCAUCUUCAUGGACCGCAGGCGACCCCGAAAUCCAAAGAACUGAAGAAUGCCCCAUCGGCACCCAUGUAAUUCCUUGCCAUAGAACGCGGAAUCCUGGUGGUGCAACAGCUGGGCCAUUUGGUGUUUGCUCGCCAGCAAAGAAGAGGGGUGGUUCCUUAUGAGCACCACCCUUGCAAAAUAAGGGACAGGCCUUCAGCUUUGCUCAACUUGCCCACCUGUCAUGAACAGACUGUCCGCUGAUUAACAACCUCGCAGAUAACACACCUAAUGCCUUUCCAACCUGAAUAAAUCAUUGCCUCCAGACCAUAUUGAAAGGCGUAUAUGCACCAGACAAAUUUAAUACAGGAAAAGAUGGUCUCCAACCAAAGUACCAAACCCACAAAAUUAACAAGCUAAAGUAAGAUAAUAAUGCUGACAAAAUGCACAAAGUAGCAUAAAAAAAUCAUUUGCACCAUAAUCUAUGAACGUGCAAAUAAAGCCAUCUUAACAGGGCUUUUCGACCUUUUCCUAGACUAAUGAACGAAAGAUGCUGACGCAACACUCCUCUUCCCAGAAACACGCAGGCAGAAAUCCACCAACUGCAAUGGAGGCAUUUAUUAAGACAGACCAAAUAUAAGAUAUCUUUCCAUAUCCGUGUUAGUUAGUGUAUCCCUUGCUAAUGAAUACUCAGAUUAGCGUCUCCAUUGCUAAUGAAUAACUAGGUGAUUAUAGAGGAAUGAAAGGUAUAUGCCACCGAGAUAAAGAAGAAAAUAGUGAUUGUAAGUCCUUUUUUAACAGUAUACUAAAAUUCAUGGACAAACAUCCUCAGUACAACAAAAAGGGGAAAAUGAACACGCACAAGAAACAACAAACGGAAGUGGGUAAAUUUCUCAUGAGUUAACAAUAAAAAUGUCUACCUAAACAUUACUAACAAUUGAAAAUUGAGGGGCAAAAGAAAGCAAAGCAGAAAUGUGAACCUAUACUAUAGCAUCACAACCCUUCAAAUAAAGAACUAAGUCCAUUGAAACAGUGCUAAGCUACAUAAUUUCUUUCAACGUCUAAGGGAAAUUUCCCGCUGUGAAUUAAAGGGCAACCUUUUGUAACUGUACUGGCUAAUAGCCUAAUAUAAUCACCACUUCCUCAAUCAAUCAAAUCAUGAAGUGCCAGAAAUCCAUCUUCAACAAGUUCAAGGGGGAGAAAAAAAAGGCACCAGGAUGAUUUCUCAAUGCUUUCCAAGAGCGAGAAAAUACUUCAGAGGAGCAAAUACAUGACUCUACAAUCCACAUGUACCUCGAACCAUGAAAAGGUAAAAAAAAUAAAAAUAAAUCACCUUUCAGCCCCAUGUCUCCAACAGGAUCCAAAAAACGUGACAAGAUUUAUGAAUUAGUGGUUACUGACCCGUCAGGCUUAGGACUCGAAAACAAUCAUAAUUCAUAAGCAGCAGGGAAUAAUCCUGAUGGGCAUACAAACAGAAAUGAAAAGCAGUAAACAAAUUUCAGUCGGCAGUGCCUAAACGUGACAUCUCUAAACAUGCUCUCUACGAUCCAAACAAAAACGACGAAGAGAAAAGGCAUCUCUUCUCUUCCCAGCAAAAUCAGCGCGGAACGAAACGCAACCAAAGCACGGAUGAAUAAAAACGCGUCCUGAAGAACACGGAUGGAAAAACAAAAUCACCUCCAGACUCGUGAGCUGACAGCGUUCGCAGCACUCCGACUCCUGUUGGUCGAUGAAACCAGCAGAAACGUAUGGACGCCUUUCCACGAACAGAUUAAACGCGCACGCAAAGCAGCGCCGCCAUGGAACCCAGCCACCCAGAAUUCGCGAAACACGCAGCAAAAAAGGGCCCAAAGAUUCGCUUUUUCUCCUCCGAAACUGACCUUGGGUUCAUACGACGACGGCGCCGCCUGCAGACGCAAAUCUGGUAGGUUUUGAACCGAGGAUCGGAGACUCUGGAUUCUGGAAGGGAGGAGUUGGUGAGGAACGAAACGGGAAUGAAUUGAGUAUGGAAAGAAACGGAUGGAUCCGGGAAGCGAGGAAGAGGAAAUGAGAGGGGGGUUUCCGUUAAAUUCUGGUCCGUGGCGGCCCCUGCCCGGAUGCCUGGAUGGCGGGUGUUGGUAGUUGAAAACUUCCGCCGCUUGGACAGUUAGGUUUUUAUUUCUUUUUACGAGGAUUAGUUUAUUUUGUUGUUGUUUCUGUUAUAUAGGUUAAUCCUGUGUUAUUCUCUCUAGAAUAAUUGUGACAAAUUCGGCGGUGAAAAUAUGGAUUCUUUUCGGUUUGAUCUUCUUUGUACGUUAAUGGUGAUUUGAUAUCGUAUGGUGAUUUGACAUCGUAUAUCAUCGUAUGAAUGAUUUUUAUAAAUCAGCCGUGGGAAGAAGAUCGUGAUUAGGAAUAGUGGCGGUGUGUCUUACUCGUCUAUGGAUCCAACAGAAUAUUUGACAAUCUUAAAUAUGAGAUUAGAUACCGAAACGCAUUUGACAUGAAGAUCAUGACGUAGGAUGACGUAGUCUACAUGGAAAGACAGGAACUAGUCGAGGAUUAGUAAAAUACUCGUUGUAAUUGUAACCAACCGACUUGUAACCCUACUCCCAGCAAUAUAAGAUGAAGUGGGGACCCCCUCCAAAGCAAUUCAAUCCAACCAAUACACAUGACGUAGAGUAUUACGCAAUCUAGCGACUCGAACCUGUCUAAAUCGUGUAUCUGCGUUUACCUUUGAGUUAACCAAAACACUACCUUAAGCAACCCUUGCCGAAUUUAAACACUGACAGGAUUGUAGAGAGCGUUUCCAACGGUGAGGUGAGGGUACAGGAGCCUUGCACACGUGGUGCUAGGGGCGGCAAGUGGAGAGGCCUUCGCUCCGUGGAGGGUGACGAUUGUGGUGUACCGCUUAAGGCAGGAGGCAAUGGCGGGGGGAGAAGAAGACACAGCGGACGAGCUAGAUGAAGAAGAAAGAGAACCCACCGUCUGAUCAGAAUCUAAUAUAAGAAGUGUUCUUUUAUCCCCAUGAAAAAGGUUAUUUUCAAUCCCUUGAAUAAUAGCAUCAUCUUAAGGUCACUAAACUGCAUGUCAGCAUAUGUUCCGGCUUGUUCACGUAUACGUGCAUGAAUUAUGCAUAGAAAUCGAAAGGAAAUAACUUUAUAUAGUUUCUUUUAAAAUUAUCUAACAAGUUAUAAUAGAAAUUAAUCUGAACUCACGAAUUCUUCUUUUUAAACAAGAACUCAUGAGGGUCUAUGAUUGAAAUUUGUCUCUUUCUGUAUCUAUUUGCUCUAGCAUCAUCUUAGCUUAGGUGAUUAAACUUACGCUUGUCCUGAGAACUAAAUCCAAAAGACGAUGAUAUAUGGGAUGGUGGCUAUCAUUGUCAACUGCAUAGCGAGCAAACUAAGGACACCAACAAACGCAUAAAGCAAGGCAAGGUAUGGUGAAAGUACAUAGAACCGCGUUGUCGUCCAGCCAAACGGGCUUUAUUGCCUGGCUUUUGGAGUGAUAAAACCAUUUGCUUUUGUGUUCCAAAGCCUCAUGUUCCUCCUUGAAUUCAGACCCCUUUUCGUAGACUUCACCGUGCGUACUACUCGUUGGCAUCGUGGUGGGCCAGAGGAAAAUGUUUGUGUGAAUUUGACCCCUCCCAAGAGAUUUUUUUCCCAAUUAAAAAAUCAGCGAGUAAUGAUUUCAGAAGAAGAAGUGAAGGGUAAAAAUACCUAGUCAAUGCCUGCAGCAGUGCCAAUCAGACUUGGCAUGAUUUUUGGCUGAUUCUUAUUGGCUGCGAAGCUAUCAUUGGAGUGUCAAAGGUAGGUCUUCAUCAUGAAAUAAAAGAGAUAAAAGAAAAUGGUAGGAAAGGAUGAAGUUGGGCAGUCUUGUGCUGACCUUUUCAAUAUCCCAUGCUUCCUCCAUAUAAAUUGCAUUAUAUUCCGGGCUCUCUAGAAUUUGUCAAUUUGCAGCUUGGCCCUAUAUAUCUUCCGCAAAAAUUUCAUGUCAAAUAUGAAAUUGAGGUACAAUUACCUUGCAAAAAUAAAAAAAUAAAACAGGGUUAACAUGAAAUCAAGGUACGAUUACCUCGC